rnacentral:lncRNA from 1 species
AAUCUCUUUGCAAACUUUACUGUUUGCAAACACUGAGAAUUGACGCGCUUGAAAAAGGUUUUCCAAAGGAGAUGAGCAAUUUGAUUAGCAUGAGACAUCUUCACUAUUUUCAUGAUGAUACAAGAUGCAAAAUCAAUUUGAUUAGCAUGAGACACCUUCACUAUUUUCAUGAUGAUACAAGACGCAAAAUCCAAAUGCCAUCCGGGAUUGGACGAUGGACUUGUCUUCAAACAUUGGAGUUCUUUAACAUAGGUCGUCAAGAGGAAGGUCGUGGUAUCCAAGAGCUUGGAACCUUGGAAGAUCUUAAAGGCUCCUUGGAGAUCAGAAAUCUUGAAUUAGUAAAUGGCAAAGAUGAUGCUGAACUGGCGAACCUAUCUAAAAAGCCAAAUCUGUAUCGGUUGGUAUUUGAGUGGGGCAAUAGGGAUCGGGAAAGUAAUAAAUGCGAUGAAAAUGUGUUGGAAGGCCUCCAACCUCACCCAAAUUUAAAAGAGUUGCAUAUCCGGAAUUUUAGGGGUGAACAGAUUCCACAAUGGCUUGUGAACUCAUCAACAUUAGUGGAAUUGUACUUUGUCAAUUGCCAUGUUUUGCUGGCAGAAAAGGUUUUGAGCAAUAUAACCACACUCUCGUCCCUUAAAUUAAAUGGUGACUUAAAUCUCUUUGGUAAUCAACGCGUCGAGUCUCUAAAAUUAGUGAUACGACCAGAGAGCAGCUUGAGCGACUCUGUCUUUUUCCAACUCUUCAGCGUGUAGUAUUGGGGGAUGCCCAUAAUGUAACAACAUUAAGAGGAAUGAGUUGCGCCGCUUGUCUUAAGAGAUUGGAGAUAGACCGUUGCAAGAAUUUACGAGAGUUGCCAGAAGAUCUGUAUCAAUUUCAAGCUUUAGAGCACUUGGCGAUACGGGGUUGCCGGAGAAUUGAUUCAUUUGGAUAUCCAAAUCCUAAAAAUUCAUUUGGACAGAAAGGCCUCCUUAAGUCUCUUGAGCGAUUUACUGUCGAAAGGUGCGGUGCAUUAACAAGUUUGCCAGUGGAGAUGUUCGAGUCGUGUACGUCUCUCCGAAAGCUGAAUUUGUCCAAUUGCCGCAGUCUGGUCUCCUUUCCCCUUGAUUUGCGACGAACCCCUUCUCUUGAGAGCUUCUCAUUAUACUGGUGUGCCAACUUGAUUGCUGGGAUGCCUAGUGGAUUUGGCUAUCUUACCAGCUUAAGGGAAGUGCACAUUGGUCCCUUCUCAGAUUACUCAGUAAUCGAAUUUGAUUGGGCUGGAUUAGCAUCUUCAUCAUCACUCCGACACGUGUCUUUUCGUGGAACGCCUGAAUUGAAAUCUCUGCCACAUCAGCUUCAAGACUUGACUACCAUCACAUCACUGUCUCUACAUCUCUUCGGAGCAAUCGAGGCCUUACCAGAUUGGCUUGGGAACCUUGCGUCUCUUGAUGAGCUAAUCCUCCGUGGAUGCCCAAAGCUUGAAUAUUUACCCUCCGUAGAUGCCAUGGAACGCCUCAAAUUAAGACGUCUGGAAAUUGACGGUUGUCCUCUAUUAACCGGAGGAUGCACACCUGAAAGCGGCUCCGAGUGGCCCAAGAUCUCUAAUAUUUCAGAGCGUGAAAUUUAUUGAUCCGGUAAGAUCUCAUCUCAAAAUUUUAAUUAAUUCCUUCUCAUUAUUGGAUCAUCUUAUUCUACCCGUAUUUCUCCGGGUAUACCUUCCAUUCCUAUUUUAUUGACAUUAAAACUUAAGUAUAAGAUUAAAGCCAUCAUAUCUUAUAUAACACAGUAAGAAUCCCAAUACACGAAAGAAGUAGUAGUGUUUUGCUGUUAAUUUUCUUGUUUGCUUAUUUUCAAUUAUAUUCCUAAAAUGCAUUUUAACUUGAGUAACAGAAAUAUGUGAAACAAAUGAAUGACAAUUUUGGAACAUUAACUUAUCCAAAUAAUUGUAAUAUACUUUCUAAAUUAAAACUUAGAUAAAAACUACUAACAUUAUACAUACAACAAAUAAUUAUCAAUCUGAUACAACUACUUAUAUUGUUAAGAAUAUGUAAAAUAAAUUUGCAAAUCACAUGACUAAUAUACUCUAUUCUAAAUCUAGAAAAAAUCAUAAAUUAGAACUAAAAUCAUUAGCAAUUACAAAUAAAUAAAGAAAUUCAUACAAAUAAAUUAACAAAUCUUUUCUGAAAUAGCCAAUAUGUACUUCUGAGGUUUCGGCCGAACCAAAGUGGUGUCGGAAAGAAACACAUUCAAAAGUUGAAUUGAUAUCUUUAAAAGCCCACUACACUCAACAGCACUUGAAGGUGACAAUUUUUGGUUUUUACCGCUAGCAUUUAACGGGUGGAUAUGUUCUUAAUAUUCUCUCUGUAAGACUCUGAAUUAUGAUUGCCGUAAAAUUAGCUCAAUGUCGAUUAAGUUGAAAUUGUUUGCAGAGGAACUAGGCUGCUGCUAAAACUAUAAAUUCUUAUCAUCUUUUAAAAUUUUUGAAAUUCAGAUACUAUAACUAGCUACUUUUCUAUUUUGUGAAUUGGAUUGAUAAUAUUAUGGCCUUGUAGGCCACAAGUGUCAGUGAAGCAGCAAGCAGUGAUAGCGCCGAAACAUUGUGAAAGGCUCAAAAGUGUGCUUAAGGCAGAGUCGGCCUGGAACCUCUAGAGCAUCUUAUUGCACUUUUCGCAUUCUCUAACUGCAACAUCAGGUUGUGGUUUCGAAUCAUUUUUGAAGAAAGAUGAGGAGGUAUGUGGUUUGGAAAUGACUCCACCCAACUUACUCGAAGUACAGGGGAAUUGGUCCAGUUUGUAUCUGACAUAGAUGAUGAUUCUUGAGACUCAUACUGCUGAAAAUUCAUUGGCCCUGUUGUAUAAUUAUAACUGAAGUUAUCCCACCAUCCUUGAUCAUACCCGUUUGGAUUAGGGUUAUACCACGUUUGAGACCAGAGUGAAAAAUCUCCAUAAUUAUUGAGUGGGACACUCAGAUUAUCUUGAUAUUCGGGGCACAUACCGGUUGAAUGAUCCCUGGCAUAACAAAUUUUACAGGUUGCAGCAGCCAUUCUAUCUCUAAUAGAGUUUAGUGCCUCUGAAUAUGCAAACUUAGCAAAAAAACUAGCCUCAUUGCCUUCCCUGGAAACAAAAUCCAGUCUAUCACCAAAAUACGGAGUGUUAGAAGCCAUAAACUAUAAAAAAAAAAUAAGAGAAAAAUAAAUAAAAUAAAAUAAAAACACGAUGAACUCAAAAAGAAACAAAUAAUCUGGCACCAGUCCCCAGCAACGGCGCCAAAAAUUGACAGGGUGUCGAGCCUGUGCAAUAAUAAAUACCUGCUCAAAUAAAAUAUAAUUUCUAUAGAUAGUGAUAAGUAGGGUCGAAUCCACAGGGAUUGGGGAUAAUUUAUUUCUUUUAGAGUCCGAAGUAUGGGGGGUUUUUUUGGAAAAUAUAAAAUAACUAAUUAGCUAACUAAUAAAACAACUAAUAGAAAUAAAUAGAAAUUAAUCAAUAACCAAUAUGACUCUAGCCAAAGGUACAACUUUUCAGACACGGUCCAUGCAACUGAUCAUCGACGCAAAGAUAAUUCAAUUACUCAUUAAUAGAUUGGUUAUAGUUGCCAUACACGCGAUGAACAACCAACCUUUCCUUAAUUUCUCGAUAGUUAAGGUACGACCGUUAAUGAUAGAACCGUUAUUUGGCACGUUUUGCAGUGUUAUUUUGUCCUGAUUUUGGCUAUUUACUGUGCUAAGUACUGAGGUUUAACUUAUAUUUCAUAUUUGUACGAAUUAUAGGUGGUCGGCACUAAAAUGAUCUCUUGAGGCAAAUUUACAGAAGACCCUUUGUCUCAAAGCGUGGCCACGCUUUACAAGGUAGACGUUACCGAAAAGACGGACCGUGGUCCACGUGAACCCGAAGCGCUGGAUUAGAACCUUUAACAAAAAUUGUGGGCCUCCUAACCCUGGAAAGACGUCUCCUACGGCUGCUUCAAAUGAAAAAAGAAUAGGAAGGACCCACGAUGGCUGAUGAAGACUUCAGCUUUUAGUUUUUCUUGGGUUUUUUUUUGUCAGACGCUUUCCGUCGUUUUUGCUUCUUCUUCGGCAGCAAAUUAGAUAGCCAGAUUGACAUUGAAUCAAAAUAGUAGCUUUAGUUUUUCUUUUCCCAGGCGCUAGACGUCGCUUUCCUCUUUUGACUUUUAACUUUUCCGCUGGACAAUUCAUUCGUAGCUUUGGCUUUGUAAUUGGGACUCCAAAGCAGAGACGAAGGCAGGGCCUUUACUGUUGCUAUUGCAGUUAAUUCCCCUUUCCCAAUUCUUUGGCAAAUAAUUGAAUGAAUUCAAUUAAACCACGCGGGAUUGAAAUGAUGAGGAGCGGCUAAUUUUCCCCUCUACCCAAAGGUUGACGCAAGGGCGUGGUCUAUAAUAUCUGUGAGAUCCAAUCAAGCUUUCAUUAUUUCCUCCAAUUUGUUGCUAUUCGUGCGUUUUCUGAAUUAAUUGUUCAUGGGUAUUUUAUUAAUUGAAUAUCAACGGUCGGGUAUUUGAUUUAAUUUAAUAGCCUACUGCCACGUUAAUUAAAUAGAAUCCGUAAUUGUUCAUUUAGUUAAUACCCCGUGGCAACCACCAUAAUUGGCUUUAUGAUGGGGAAACGCAAGAUCUAAUUUAAAUAAACCCUCUCAGCGUGUUUAUUGGUUAGGGUUGGGUUCUUCUAGAUUUAAUGCAAUUGGGUAAUUAAAUUCCUACGGUCGUACCUAGGGUUGUUAUCUGAUUAGGGAAGCAGUCAAUGGUCGUAUCUUGACUGUCGAAAAGGUAAGGAAGAACUGGUUGUCAGAGCUUAUUGAUAACUAUAACCAACCUAGUGAUGAAUAGAUGAAAUAUCUUUGCAUCGAUGAUCAUUUAAUUGGACCGUGUCUGAGCAGUUGAUCCUUUGGGUAGAACUUUUAUUAAUUGCUAUUUUUAGUGAAUUGUGCUUUGUGAGUUAGUUUUGAAUUUAGUUCGCUUUAUUUUUAUUUUACUUUUAUUUUAUUUAUUUCUCUCCCAGUGAAAAUCCCCCAAUUUUGUUCUAUUGAUUUGGAAAGAAAUAAUUUCCUACCCGCUCCCUGUGGAAUCGACCCUACUUGCCAUUAUAUGCAAAAAUUAAUAUUUUUAUAGACAAAUCCGAUAUAUCGGAUCAAGCAAACUCUUCGGGAACAGGGUGAAUCAAGUAACCCAUUGCACACCUAGGGUCCCUGCUCCAGUACUUGGAUUUGUUUUAUAAUUAUUUAAUUGAGGUGGUAAUUAGAACUUUUUUUUUAGUAAUUAUUAUUGCACAGGUUCGGCACCUGUCAAUUUUUGGGGCCGUUGUCGGGGAGUUGGCGUUUGGAUUAUUUGUUUCUUUUUAAAUUCAAUUUUUAUUUUAUUUUAUUUUUCUUGGUAUUUUUGCUAGUUUAUGCCCCGUUCUUCUAGCAUAGGUGAAUUGAUAUACGAUCCUAAGGUUGAGAAGGCAGCGCGUAGGCGGAGGCAAGAGACCAAGAGACGAAAAGAAGGGCACUUAUUUGUUGCAAACGAGUCAGUAGAAGACGAAAUAAGCAUGGCCAACACCCAAACAUUAAGGGAGCUGGCUGCCCCGGAGUUGACUCACCAGCCCUUAUGCAUCACAUUCCCCACUUUGGCAGAGAAUACUGUUUUCGAACUGAAGUCAGGGCUGAUUCACCUCUUACCUUCUUUCCAUGGUCUCUCUGGCAAAGAACCCCACAAACAUGUCAAGGAGUUCGAGGUAGUUUGCUCUAGCAUGAAACCUCCUGGGGUCAUUGAAGAACAAAUAAGACUUAGAGCUUUCCCCUUCUCUCUCAAGGAUGCAGCAAAAGAUUGGCUAUACUACCUACCAGCGGGUAGUAUUACCACAUGGGCACAGUUAAAAAAGAAGUUUUUGGAAAAAUUCUUCCCUGCAUCCCGGGCUGCGAGUUUGAGGAAAGAGAUCUGCGGCAUUAAACAAUAUCCUGGUGAGUCCUUGUAUGAAUAUUGGGAAAGGUUUAACAAGUUGUGCACUAGAUACCCGCAGCAUCAAAUUAGUGAACAACUGUUAAUCUAAUACUUCUAUGAAGGGCUCCAAUCAACCGAUAGGAGUAUCAUUGACGCUGCGAGUGGGGGAGCACUUGCAAACAAGACACCGAGGGAAGCGUGGGAGUUCAUCGAAGCCAUGGCAGAGAACUCCCAGCAAUUUGGCUUCCGUGAGAGCAACCCUCCCCGUAGAGUCAACGAGGUAGAGACUUCAUCUAUACAGCAGCAACUGUCAGAAUUGACGUCUGUUGUUAGGCAAUUAGCCAUGAGAGACACACCGCGAGUGAAGGUGUGUGGAAUCUGUACUAACAUGGACCACUGCACGGACACGUGCCCCAUUUUGCAAGAGGACGGGACGGAACAGGUAAACAUGGCCGGAGGCGUGCCCACGCCCCGCAGACAGUACGACCCAUACUCCAAUACGUACGAUCCGGGCUGGAGGGACCAUUCCAAUCUCAGUUAUGGGAACAGGCAACAAAAUUCAUUUCCGAAUCGUCCACCAAGAUUCCACCAGCCAUGGCAACCAAAAUCUCAACCCUCGUCCUCCAAUUCAAGAAGCUCCCUGGAGGACCUAGUCAAAAGCCCAAAAAUUGACAGGUGCCGAACCUAUACAAUAAUAAUUACUAAAAAAAAAGUCCUAAUUACGACCUCAAUUAAAUAAUUAUAAAACAAAUCCAAGUACUGGAGCAGGGACCCUAGGUGUGCAAUGGGUUACUUGAUUCACCCUGUUCCCGAAGAGUUUGCUUGAUCCGAUAUAAUGGAUUUGUCUAUAAAAAUAUUAAUUUUUGCAUACAAUGGCAAGUAGGGUCGAUUCCAUAGGGAGCGGGUAGGAAAUUAUUUCUUUCCAAAUCAGUAGAACAAAAUUGGGGGAUUUUCACUGAGAGAGAAAUAAAUAAAAUAAAAGUAAAAUAAAAAUAAAGCGAACUAAAUUCAAAACUAACUCACAAAGCACAAUUCACUAAAAAUAGUAAUUAAUAAAAGUUCUACCCAAAGGAUCAACUGCUCAGGCACGGUCCAAUUAAAUGAUCAUCGAUGCAAAGAUAUUUCAUCUAUUCAUCACUUGGUUGGUUAUAGUUAUCAAUAAGCUCUGACAACCAGUUCUUCCUUACCUUUUCGACAGUCAAGGUACGACCGUUGACUGCUUUCCUAAUCAGAUAACAACCCUAGGUACGACCGUAGGAAUUUAAUUACCCAAUUGUAUUAAAACUAGAAGAACCCAACCCUAACCAAUAAACACGCUGAGAGGGUUUAUUUAAAUUAGAUCUUGCGUUUCCCCAUCAUAAAGUCAAUUAUGGUGGUUGCCACGGGGUGUUAACUAAAUGAACAAUUACGGAUUCUAUUUAAUUAACGUGGCAGUAGGCUAUUAAAUUAAAUCAAAUACCCGGCCGUUGAUAUUCAAUUAAUAAAAUACCCAUGAACAAUUAAUUCAGGAAACGCACGAAUAGCAACAAAUUGGAGGAAAUAAUGAAAGCUUGAUUGGAUCUCACAGAUAUUAUGGACCACGCCCUUGCGUCAACCUUUGGGUAGAAGGGGAAAUUAGCCGCUCCUCAUCGUUUCAAUCCCGCGUGAUUUAAUUGAAUUCAUUCAAUUAUUUGCCAAAGAAUUGGGAAAGGGGAAUUAACUGCAAUAGCAACAGUAAAGGCCCUGCCUUCGUCUCUGCUUCGGAGUCCCAAUUACAAAGCCAAAGCUACGGAUGAAUUGUCCAGCGGAAAAGUUGAAAGUCAAAAGAGGAAAGCGACGUCUAGCGCCUGGGAAAAGAAAAACUAAAGCUACUAUUUUGAUUCAAUGUCAAUCUGGCUAUCUAAUUUGCUGCCGAAAAAGAAGCAAAAACGACGGAAAGCGUCUGACAAAAAAAAACCCAAGAAAAACUAAAAGCUGAAGUCUUCAUCAGCCGUCGUGGGUCCUUCCUAUUCUUUUUUCAUUUGAAGCAGCCGCAGGAGACGUCUUUCCAGGGUUAGGAGGCCCACAAUUUUUGUUAAAGGUUCUAAUCCAGCGCUUCGGGUUCACGUGGACCACGGUCCGUCUUUUCGGUAACGUCUACCUUGUAAAGCGUGGCCACGCUCUGAGACGAAGGGUCUUCUGUAAAUUUGUCUCAAGAGAUCAUUUUAGUGCCGACCACCUAUAAUUCGUACAAAUAUGAAAUAAAAGUUAAACCUCAGUACUUAGCACAGUAAAUAGCCAAAAUCAGGACAAAAUAACAUUGCAAAACGUGCCAAAUAACGGCUUUAUCAAAUCCCCCCACACCUAGAUAAUGCUUGCCCUCAAGCAGUUCGGAGCUCAGAAGUACAACCAGGAGAGCAGAGGUCAUGCAGCAGUCUAUACUAACAUAAGCAUUUCAGAUCCCUAACAAUAUCGUCAAAAUUAGAACACACCGGACAGAUUGUAAUUUAAAGAAGAUAUAUGAAUACUAGGAACGCUCAAAUCAACAUCACAGAAUGUCAUUACCAUAGGCUUGCACAUUUAUCACAUCUCCACCACUCAAAAGUGAACUAAAUACAUAAUCAAAGGGACUUUAAUAGGGUUGUAAUGGGGCUUCGGGUGAAAGGCGAGUUAAGAAGGUGUAGAUAGGGGGUAAAGUGUCAAGAAAAUGUCCGAAAUUCACCAAUAACCACAGUGCCUUACCGGAGGGGUUCCACAAACAAGGCAGUUUUCAUUUGCUGUACACACUGUACAAGUGUCCCCAAUUUUUUUUCUCUUUCUCUCUUUUUUUUUUUUUUUUUGGAGAGAACUGCUCGCAAGGCGUGGGCACGCCUUGUAGCCCUCAGUCCUCUGGUCAAUGGCCUUUUUCCAAUUUCUCCCCCUUUUUACAAGGAUAACAUCAUACAGCUCCCAAUCUAACAGCACUUGCAACCCCAAAUUUUGUUUGCUUUGCACGAAUGAUGGAUUUCAGACAUCCCUUGACAACACAGGGAUAAACAAGAAAGUUUAAAGGGGUUUCGGGUUAACAAACACGGAUAACAACCAAAAGCGAAGGAUAAAGCUCAAAUUGGUUCACUAUUGGGAAACAAUAUGAAUGCAUGAUUUCCUUUCGAAAGCUCAAGGAGGGUCAAAUCCUAAAUGCCCUUAUCAUUUUGAAUGCAUAUAGUUCAACAUAAAUGUGGUCUUGACGUGUACAAAAUAGCAAGUUCUAGAAUGUUCAUACCAUGUGCGAUACCCACUCAAUCAAACAAGAAUAGAGCAAACAAGAAUAAUAUGCUCAAACAAGGCUCAAAAGCUCCCCAAAAGUUUCAAGAAUGGGUCAAUUCCAGCAUAUUCAACAUUCAACGACAUUGCUUAGGGAAACAAAAUGCAUAGCUAGCAUACUUGACCACAUAACCACUCACUUUGAUUGUGUCAUUCAUCAUAGCAACAUGCCCCAACACUUAACAAGCAUAGAAAUAACCAAAAAACCGACUAACUACCAUUUUUUUUUCAUCAUUUUGUUUUUUCAUGUUUUUUUCCCUUUUUUUUAUGAGUAACAAAGCAAAAAGAACUAAUGAAAAAGAGAAAGAACUAAUGAAAAAGAACUAAUGGAAGCCACUCCCCCCACACCUAAUACCUACAUUGUCCUCAAUGUAGAAUAGACAAAUAAAGUAUUUAGGAGGAAAGAAGAGAAACUUUCCUGACCACUGGGGAGGGAAAACGAGAUACUAAAGUGGAGGGGGGUGACGCGGGGUGAAUCCAAUGUGCGCGAAGAAGGCCGCCUGAUUCUCUGCCUGAAUGCGGGCGAAGACCUGGAGCGCCAUAAGACGGCCAUCUAUUCUCGACAGUUGGGUGUUGAGCUUAUCAACAGAAUCUUGGAGGUCCGGGUAGCAGGGGUCCCCAGCAAGAGGAGGAUGAGAGGAGGACGGACCCGCCUGAUCCGGAUGGGGUGGUGAGUCAGUGGAGGGUGCAGUGGGAGGCUCCCGAGGCUGCGGCCCGUCCUCACCAGGGAGCGUAAACUGGUAGACGUCUCCCGCCUUGAAAAUAACUCCCAUUCGCUCCAAACUUCACAAAUCAAGUGGCUCAAUUUCUCGAGCUAGGGUGAAGUUGUGCUCCUUGUCGAGGUCUAGCAAUCCCAAUCGGAUGGCCAAGUGGGUAAUGAGCGAGCCUAGGAUAAUCGGUUUACUGCGCUUGUGAAUGACUGACUCCAUUUGAGUGGCUACCCAACAUCCAAAAUUAACCUUAACAUUGUUGCGCAUGCACCAAAGGAAGUAGAAUUCUGCUUUGGUAAGGGUGCCGGAGGAAUCAUUCCGCCCCGAGAAAUUGUGAGCCAAGAACCUGUGGAUGACCUUCAAGACCGGAUUCUUCAGUUGAGAGGCCUUGGACUGACUCGGAUUAUAAACCUGCCGAUCCGUGGACCACUCCCUCCAGAUGUCGAUAUACUCAGUUUUGAACGGUCUGGUGUAGUUACAAGCACUAUUGAUAUAAGCUCCGGAUGCAACGGUAUCCUCACUGACAAACCCCAAAGUCAGAUUGAACUCAUUGAUGGAGAAAUUAUACUGUGUGCCUUUUAAUCUAAACUGAAUAAUCUCCGGCUCAUCCAAAGUGAUGUAUUCAUUCCUGAUAAACUCAAAAGAGCAGUAGAAUUCACAACAAAGCUCCUCAAACGUGGGGUAGUUAAUGCUCAGAUACUUUUUCCAGCCUAUCGCCGAGAACAACUGCUCAACCUCCCGUGCAAUUCGCAGAUGGUCCAGGGUUGGGGCAUGGAAGCACUUACAAGGGGCAAAAGGUCGAUGCACCAAGGUGUUAAACCGGUCCUGUUGGACCCUUGUAAGAUUAGUGAUCGGUUCCCCCCACUCCCCAGGAGACAUGGUGCUCUUAUUCAGGCCCAAACGGGACCAAAUGGGGGGUUGAACCGUGGCUCGUCUCUUACGCGGUUGGGAGCCAGACGGCCCAGCAGUGGUUGCCUUCUUAGGCGGCAUUUAGGCACCACAGGAAUAAUAAAUCAGCUCAGAGACAGCCAACCAACCACCAAAAGCAGAUAGGGGACCACAGUCAACAAAAAUUACUGAAUAUUCAGCAGCUCAACAACAAAAGGGGACACAAUUACCCCACCAAACAACGACCAGACAACAAACACCACCCAAUGCCCCACUGCCGUCAAUUAGCCGACAACAAUAAAGAAGACCGAUCCAACUCCCCUCAAAGCAAGAUAUCAGUCAAUAAAAAUCUACAAUCAGCGAGCUACUGCCCACUUGAACCAAAAUAUAAUUUCACCAGAGCCCACAGAUAUCCUAACAUAGAUAAUGAAUGAAAAGGCAGAUAUGACGGCUCUCACUUUCAGAUAACAAUCAAAUGGUCCCCCAACCAAAACCAACAAGUAAGUCAACCAGACAGGAGGCAAAAAUUCCCAAUCGAAGUCACCAAUCCAAAAUCCAGCGGCAAAAAUUGUAGUAGAAUAGAGUUACCCAAAUGCACAAGACCGUGGAGAUGACACACGGCAGUCGAGUGAGGCGCGCGAGAGGGGGGAGGUCACUCCGCUGCUGGACUGGGCAAACCGCGCGCGCUGUUCUGCUGGUCGAGUGGGGGCGCGCCUAGGGGAGAAGCUCGCGCGCGCAAGCUGGCACUGGGCUGUGCUUCACAGCUGUUGCGCCUGGCUGACUGCCUGGGUCGCGCGAGACAACUGCUGGCCUGCGCAGGGGAAUGCGGAGCGUGCGCGGGCUGGUGCUAGGCUCUCUGGGCGCGCGGGUGGCGCGCAGGCAGGAGGGUCGCGCGCGCGCUGGGCAUGGGAUAGAGCUGCUGGGUUGCGCACAGAUCUGGUGGUAGUGCGCUAAGGUCGGGCACUGAGUGGGGCUAGCGUCGCGCGCGGCUGGAGUUCUGGCACGAGCAGGCUCUGCACGCGCGCUGGGCGCGGGCUAUCGCGGGCGGCACCGCACGCGGGCUUCUGCGGUUGAGAGGGAGAGGGAGGCGCGCAGGUAGCGUGCCUCUGCUCGCUUGGGCGCAGGUGCGCUGGUGCUUGCGCAGGGGAAGGCGAAGCGCGCGCAACGAGGCACUGUGGAUCUGCUACGGCGGACGAGUCCUUGCGGACGGCAGCGGCGGCGGCGUGACCAAAACAGGGAGAAGAAGUGCAGCGUAGCCAAAAGAAAUUCGGAGGAAAGAGACCCAGACCAGUCAAAGAAGAAGGGAAAGUGGAAGAAGUAGGGUCUUGGUCAAAAAAUUUUUUUUUUUUUGACUUUCGCUAUCGGAGGGGUUGGAAGGCGUGGGCACGCCUUGGAGGAUAUGUUCUUCUGACCACGGCAUCUAAAUGCAGUCCAAACCAAUCUCUGUCAAGGCGUGGGCAUGCCUUGGGGCUGCUAGUCUCUAAUUUUCUCAGGGCACCUGGCGCACUAAACCCCUAUUCUUCUGUCCAUCACCACAAAAACAAUCAAAACCUUAAAAUAAAAUAGAAAAAUUGUAGAGUAAUGAAAAAUGACCACAACUAAUACUGGAAUCCUUGGGUUGCCUCCCAAGCAGCGCCUUUCUUUAACGUCUUUGGCUAGACAUGGCCUUUAACUGUUUAGACUUCACCAUCUGGAUUAUCAGAGAAUAGAACCUCCACUUGCUCACUAUUAUACCCUUCAUAAUAAGGCUUUAGACGGUGACCAUUGACUACGAACCUUUUUUCCGUCUUAAGACUUUGGAUUUCCGCUGCACCAUAAUAAGAAAUAUUAGUAACAACAAAUGAACCAAUCCAACGGGAACGCAACUUACCAGGAAAAAGCUUAAGUCUCGAGUGAUAAAGUAGGACUUUUUGCCCUAUGACAAACGACUUUCUCGACACUUGUUGGUCAUGAAAAAUUUUACUCUUCUCCUUAGAUAUUGCAGCGUUUUCAUAGGCUUCAUUCCUUAGCUCCUCCAACUCUUGUAAUUGGAGCUUCCUAUUUCCUCCGGCCUCCAUAAGGUCCAUAUUACACCGCUUAAGCGCCCAGAAUGCUCUGUGUUCAAAUUCCACCGGAAGGUGGCAAGGCUUCCCAAAAACUAAUCUAUAUGGGGACAUCCCAAUUGGUGUCUUAUAUGCAGUGCGGUAAGCCCAGAGAGCAUUUUCCAACUUCAGACUCCAGUCUUUCCUAUCAGGCCUCACCAUUUUCUCCAAGAUGGACUUAACUUCCCUAUUUGACACUUCGGCCUGACCAUUCGUCUGUGGAUGAUAUGGAGUGGACAUUUUGUGGAGCACACCAUACUUACGAAACAAUGCAGUGACUGUCUUAUUACAGAAAUGGGUGCCCCUGUCACUCACUAUAGCUCUCGGCAUUCCAAAACGGACAUUAGCCCGGGUGGCUUUUGUCUCCACCCAUUUAGAAACAUAGUCAACAGCAAGUAUAAUGUACAAGAAACCAAAAGACGAGGGGAAGGGACCCAUGAAAUCUAUACCCCAAACAUAAAAAAUCUCAACAAAUAAUAUGGGGGUUUGACUCAUUUUGUCUCUACGAGAGAUAUUCCCCACCCUUUGACACUUAUCACAAGAUUUGCAAAACAAAUAUGUAUCCUUAAACAGAGUAGGCCAAUAAAAACCACUUUCUAACACUUUACGAACUGUUCGCUUUGGCCCAAAGUGCCCUCCACAUGCAAAUGAAUGACAGAAAGUCAAAAUAGACUGAAACUCACCUGCACUUACACGCCUUCUUAUCACUUGGUCCGAGCAUUGCCUCCACAGGUACGGUUCAUCCCAAAUAUAGUGUUUGGCAUCACUCUUUAGCUUAUCUCUUUUAGCUUUUGACCACCCUAUCGGUAAUUGAUUUGUUACCAAAAAAUUGACAAUGUCAGCGUACCAAGGUAUUGACGAAUCAAUGGCCAAUAAUUGUUCCUCAGGAAAUGAGUCUCUUAACGGUAGAUCCGCUUGAUUUGUGAGCAACCGGCUCAAAUGAUCAGCCACCAAAUUCUCAACUCCGCUCUUAUCCCUGAUUUCUAGGUCGAACUCCUGCAGGAGCAAAAUCCACCUGAUCAGCCUUGGUUUAGCAUCUUUCUUCGCUAGCAAGUACCUCAAGGCUGCAUGAUCAGAGAAAACUAUUACUUUUGCACCCAAUAAAUAUGACCUAAAUUUUUCUAGUGCAAAAACAACAGCUAGUAAUUCUUUCUCCGUCGUGGAUUAAUUAAACAACAGCUAGCCAAAGGUACAACUUUUUAGACACGGGGCAUGCAACUGAUCAUCGACGCAAAGAUAAUUCAAUUACUCAUUAAUAGAUUGGUUAUAGUUGCCAUACACGCGAUGAACAACCAGCCUUUCCUUAAUUUCUCGAUAGUUAAGGUACGACCGUUAACUAUUUCUCUAACCAAGAAAUAACCCUAGGUACGACCAUAGGAUUUAAUUACUUGACUGCAUUAAUAAUUAGAAAAACCCAACCCUAACCAACAAACACGCUACGAGGGUUUGUUUAAGUUAGAUCAUACGUUUCCCUAACAUGAAACCAAUCACGCUAGUCGCCACUGGUAUUAAUCGAUAGAACAAUUACGGAUUCAAUCAAUUAAUAUGACAGUAGAUUAUUAGGUUAAUUCGAAUAUCGGGCCCUUAACAUUCAAAUAACAAAACAAUCUUAAACAAUUAAAUCAAGAAACGUACAAAUACCAAUAAAUAAAAGAAAUAAAUAAAAUAAUUAGAUCUCACAGAUGUUCGGAACCGAGUCCUCAAAUUGACCUUCGACUAGAUGAGAAACUUAGCCACGCCUCAUGAGAAAAUCUCCACGUAAUUUAAUUGAGGUCCAGGCCAUCAAAGGAACCAAGAAAGAAUAAAACUAAACUAUGCUAAAAACUAAGCUAAAACUAUUGAUCUCCAAAACCUCCUGUACGUUUGUCUUCUUAAAGCCAAAAGAAAUGACUCAAGUUAUCUAGUGGUCCCCACGGAUUAGAAGUCAAGGAGCAAAAGAAUUGGAGCCCUGCCGAAUUGCUUGUUUCCUAUUGCCAGUAGAGCUCUAAUCUCCUAAUCAGCAAGCAAAUGCAGUCCAUCUCUUCCUCUCCUUGUGGGCCAGGUCGAUGGAGCCUUCUUGAAGUCUCCCACUUAUGGAGCAAGUCCCUACUUUUUUGUAGUUUCUUGCUCCAAUCCCUGGAAUUAAGUCCAAAUACCAUAUAUAACCAAAUAUAAGUAGAUAUUAACAAUUAAAACAAUAUUUGGCAGGGACAAAGGGAAAAUUAAUAAUAAAAUAACUGACAAUUAAGACCCUAUCAAGCAUGGUAGCUGGUACUGGAGAGCUAUCAAGGUACAAGACUUGCUUGAAGAAAACUGGACGUGCUAAUUCUCAUGCUGUAAAUUCUAAAAUUCUGCGAGUUGGUAUUUAAUUAAACUCUUUCAAAAUUAGAUUUUUACAAUUCUUUUCUCAUCUUUUCUCUCUAGAAUUUUUCCACUCAAAAUCUCUUUCACCUCUCCCAUAGAAGAGAUCAAAUAUGGUCUUGCCCCAUCAUAAGGAACUUUCUUUCUAGUUUUUUAGUUUCUCUUAUUUAAAUAAAUUCUCUCCAAAAGUUUUUCAAUGAGAGAUUCUUCUCUUUUAAGAUCUUUUAGUGAGAUGCUUUUCUCUCCUAGAUUGUUUUCUUCUAAUGAGAGGCUUUUCUUUCUUAGAUUGUUUUAGUAAGAGUUUUAUCCUUUCCUGAAAUUUUUCUUGUGAGAGUUUUUUUAGUUUUAGUCUUUUUUUUUUUUUGUGAAAUUUGAGAUUUUGUAUAUCUAGGAUAUAGUUUCUUAGAUUUGCAAUUUUCUAUUAUUGUCAAAUUUAAAUUUCUCUUUGAACUUGAACUACUUUUAAUCAAAUCUAACUGUCAAAAGACAUCCACAAAUCAUGCACAUGGCAUGCACAGAUGUAUUGGUUAAAAAACUUUCACAAGGAAAAAUCAAUGAAAGAAUAAAACUCUCACUAUAAUAAUUUAUGAGAGAAUAAACUCUCACUAACUGAUCCUAGGAGAGAAAGAAUAUCUCAUUAGUGAAUCCUAGGAGAGAAUUUAUUCAAACAAGAGAAAAUUACAGAGAGGGUUCCCUCCCUUGGGGAAAGACCACAUUUGGUCCCUCUCUCAUGAGAGAGAUGGAGAUUUUGAGUGAAAGAAUCUAGAGAGAAGGAGGAGAAAAGAGUUUUAGAGGAGGGAUUAAAUUUUUUUUUCUCUAUUUCAUAUCCUAGAAAGGGAAACAGCGUGAUUGUUGCUGGAGUCCUUGAUAUUCCCAUGAUAUUGUGAGAUUUUGGGGUCGAACAUUCUGAAGAAAUCAUCGAUAAUACCAUCUCCAAAGUGAGGUCGAAUGAUGGGUUCAUAAGCAGCUCCUGGUUAUACACUUGCCACUGGUGUUUUUAUCGAAAGCGUAAUUCUUCCCAUAAUCGGCAGCCUCCACAUCAACCCAUUGCACUUCAAUGAUAUCCAAAUAUCCUAUCUUAAAUGCAUGAUUUUUCUCAAUUAUGGUCCUUAGUUCUUCCACAGAGGGCUGAUAAUGUGGAAGGUUGAAAUUGUCAACUGCUUUUUCCUCAAUAAGUCCCUGAUCAAUUACACUUCCUCCAUCAGUUGUCCAGCUAAUUAGUUCCAAAUACGUUUUCAUUAAUGAAAUUAAUCGUUAACGUUUCGAAACAAAGGAAAAAAAAAUAAAUUUUGCUGUGAUAUUUUCAUAAUUGUGUACCUCUGUAACCAUGUCAUUCAUUGUCAUCCCUAACAAAUCAUGAUAGUUAUAAGUAUAGGUGGCAAACUAUGUUUUCAGAACCGGACCGGAUAGCGACUCGGCCAAGGUCAGGGGUCAGGGGUCAAUGGGUUCGACCGGGGGUCGAUAGGGGUCGAACCGGAUGACGUCAUAAAUAAAAAUUAUUUAAAAAUUAAAAUAUUAUAUAUAUCAUAUCUAAUAAUAUAUUGAUAUUAAUAAAGGUAUAUUCAUAUAUAUUUGUUGUUUCAAAUAUAUUUAACAAGAAAAUACAAAGAAAUUAGAACAAUCAAGUAACAAUUUAUAUUAUUUAAUAAAUAUUAACAAGUUUAGAAUUAAAAUUAUGAAUUUAAUUGAAAAAUAACAUCAAAUUGUAGAACAAUAUUUAUAAAGUAUCAAAUAUUUGAGGUAUAUCAAUAAGUUUUAACAAUUUAGGGGGUCAAAACAUAAUAUUAUAAAGUUUGAAUUUUUUUUAAAAAAAUUACUGUUGAACCGGAAAAAUCGGUUUUUUCCCGGUCAAACCCGGUUUUUGACCGGCUUUGACCGGGUUUUAAAAUUUCCGGUUUUCUAAUAUGACUCGGACCGGCUACCUGGCCGAUUCCCGGUUCGACCGGCCGGUCCGGUCCGAGUUUUAAAACAGAGGUGGCAAACCAACCCACUUAACUAAAUUUACCCAUACCCGUCCAUGAAUAGAUGGGUAUGAGUAUCUUAAAAUUUUGUAGAUGGAUAUGAAUUAUAAAUGGAUAUUAUUGGGUAACCCAUCAAACCCAAUUAACCCAUUUAGAAUUCUCUUCCCCUAAGUCUCUUCUCUUCCCCCACCCAUUUUUUUUUUUCAAAUUUUUCAUUUUGUCAUGAUAUUAACUACUUUUGUUUCAUUAUUAUUAUUAUUUGUUGAUUUUAUCUUAUUAUUUUAUUUUCUCUUAGUUUGUUAACUUGCUCAUUUUUUAGCAUUACUAAUUUAUGAUAAGUUUUAGCCUCUUUUCUUAUCUUUCUAAAAUGAAAUUUUAAAUUUAUAUAUGAAAAAAAUGUUAGGGGUUAAAAAUUUUUGGAUUAAAUUUUUAUAUUAACUUUUAUAGUACUUAGUUCAAAUUUUUUUAUUCUUAUUAUUCAAUUAUUAAAUAAUAUCUAAUUUUGUGACAUAGAGUAUAAAUGGGAAAAAAUUGGUAAUUAGGCUUAUUGAGCAUUAUAAGUAAAUAUUUAAAAUUAAUAAUGGGUACAAAGAGAGGUAUAAAUUGAUAACUUAGUUUGCAAAAAUAAAUUUAAAUGAGUUUACAAAAAAUUAAAAUAAAUGGGUUAUAAAUGGGUAAUUGGGUUAUUCAAUUCAUUUUUUGACUUAUCCAUUUAUACCCAUCUAAUUAAAUGGGUAUAAAUGCGUUGACUCACUUAUAUCCAUUACUUAUUUUACCCAACCCAAACCCACCCAAGUCACCCAUUUUGACACCUCUAGUUAUAAGCAACAAGGUCCUCGUUGUUAGAUGACAAGGUGAGAAGUAAGCGUCGCCCAGACACCGUUUCAGCAGCACGGGCACUCUAAAAAGUUUGUAAAAUCUUUGUCAAACUGAUCCAAAUACGGGAGCAGGCACACUUCUAGGACUUGUUUUUCCUAUGUAAAUGUUGCCUUUGCUCAGUGGCAUGCCUUUCUGAGUCACCAGCCCUCUAGGAACCUGGAGCCAGGUAAGUAAAUUAGUCAAUAAUUUUUCAAAUUGACAGCAAGGAAUCAAUCACAUUAGUUUGUUUAACAUAAUUGGACGACUUAGUAAAACUUUUUAUAGAUUGAAACUAAAUUGAACAUCUUAAAAAAGUUAAAAGGGUAAUUUACCACUAAAUUACAGGAGGGGGGAAUCACUAUUUUAGUCCUUACAACUUCUUUAACUUGAACCAGUGUCAUCCUUCAUCUUCUAUUUGGCUGAAUUUAGAGCCAAUUGAAUCCUUGUACUUGGCACCACCAAUUAAAUUGUGUUUUGCUCAAAAUCUUCCGGCCAACAAAGGGUGAUUGAGGAACUUCAAGCCAAGGCCGUAUAAAACAAGCAAAGAAAAUUGAAAUUUGCAUUAUUAGAUUGGGAGGUAUACACAAAUUUGCAUUAGAUUGUGCAAUUGGAAAGUCACGAUGUCAGUGCUUCAAAGUCGCUCACGUGAUUUGGGAAUUUGGAAAUCUGGGAGUCAAGUGGCUGUCGUGACUGAAAAUGAAAUAUCAAUUAAGUUGUUUUUACAUAAUAUGAUAGAAAAUAGAAAAUAUUCUAAUUAAUUCUACCUGGAAAACUAUUUUGGGUAAAUAGUUUUGGCAGGACCUUUGAGAAUAUGAAGGCUGGUGAUGGAGGUUAGGUUGAGAGAUAAGGGCGAGAUCAUACAUUUUUAUUUUCUAUUUUGACGUCCAACUUUAUAGCUAAUGCAUGUUCUGUUCCCUGAAACAACGGAAAAUUUUUGUUUUUCCUCUUUUUAGUAAAAUACUUGGCUUGUGGUUCCUAAACUGCCCUUGUUUGGCUAGAGAUAUUGAGCAAAACAUAAUUCAAUUGGUGGGGUGCCGCUCUAAAAGUAUUCUAUUGGCAACAAAAUUCACAUUUUCAUCAUUAUCAUUAUCAUUAAUGUACGAUGAGUCUUGACAAUAGGGAGUGCAAGAAUGCAAGCAUAUUUUGAUUUUAGUUUUUGUUAUGGCUAAAUUGUCCUAAUGCCUUUUAAUUGGAGUUAUUACAUCCCUUUUAAUUACAGUUAUUGCAUUUCAAUGAUGACACUAAUUAGAGUUAUUGUUAUGCCUAAAUUACCCUCAUGCCUUCUGACAAAAAAAAAGGAAAAAUUAAUAGUUUCAAGAAAUUACAUCUCAAAAAUGUUGGUAAUUAAAAUUUAAAAUUGUCCAAUUACAACUACAUUCACCAAUCAUUUCCCUCAUCUCCAAUUAUUGUAUGUGUUAAAAUUAUAUCCAAUUAUUAUAUUGUUAUGCAUGAUAAUUAAAGUUAACUAUAUUUUAUAUACAUAUUGGUUUAGAAGAAAAUCAUGAUUAAUAAGAAGACAAAAAGUUAUAAACAAUUUAUAAGAAAAUAAAAGGUUAAACUGAUGAUUAAAUUCAUUAUGUCAUAUUGAUUAAGAAAACUCCCAAAAAAAGUUGUCUACAGCUACUGAAAUUAAUAAAGAUUUGUUGUAUCCAAAUCAGACUGUUUUAGAAUAUAUUUUGCUCACGUUUUAUUGCAUACAUGGCUUAACACAACAUAGAAAAUUUUCCCUUCUUACUAUUAUAAUCCAAAUAAAAAAUGCAACAACUUAGUUUAGAUACAAUAUUAUUCCAUUUUUAGAGUUUUGUAAUUGUAAUAUGCACAAUAAACUUUUAAUUAGUUUGUUAAUAUUAAACAUUUUGUACAACUAACAAUUGCUUAAUUUUGUUUAUUCUAUGGUUUCUUAGGCAAUAUUAUACCAACAACUUAACUUAAAUAUGAUAAUAUUCCAUUUUCAAAGUUUUUAUAACUGUAAAAUACACAAUAAACUUUUAAUUGCUCUGUAUACAAUAAACAUUUUGUACCACUAUCAAUUGUUUAAUUUUGUUCAUUAUACAGUUUCUUAGUUUAUAUUGUGCCAAUAAUCAAAGUUUUACAUAGAAAUUUAGUAUAUUAAAGGUUUUAUUUCUGGGAAAAAUAUAUUCACGUACAAAGCGUGUGAAUUAUUACUAGUUAAAUAAAAUAUGGGGGAUGAAAUUGGUUUAACGUAACAAAGAUGGUGGACUAAAUUAACAAAUUUCCCUUACACGAAUUCUUAAGUUCACUAAGACUUCCUUAAGCAAUAUAAGUUAGGUGAUAGUAUCUGCAGGUAAGGUCUAUAUGUGACCACUUCAGUUCGGUCAAAUUUUCAAAGUAAAAAAAAAAAAAAUUGGAAAUGAUGUAGCCCAAUUUGAACCAUAAAAAGCACUCUGUUGCAAUCUACUCAAGGGGAGGGGCAUCGGAUCCUUUUUUUACGUUAGCAAUUAUGAGACAUUCAUUGACCGGAAAGAAGAGAAUAAGGUCACAAGAUUGCCACACCUGAGACAGCCAGUGAAGACUAUAGCAAGAGUGUAUAAAAUGCAUGGAGUUGUCCGGAAAAAGUUUUCCAUGGAAUGACCCGGGCAUAGCUGCAAUGAAGCAUGACCCUGGACUGCGUUCGUAAUACUUCUCAAGUCUUUGAUAAAAAAAUUAGGCAAUUAUUGGAAAAUGGAAUUGAAAUCGUUGGACACUCGAUCAGUCAAGAAAACUUGUAUCCUAGGUAGCUCAAGAUAAAUUUUCGAGUCAUGGCAUUCUCUGUCGAUGUUCUCUAUGAUGUCUUGAAUCGCCAAAAGCGUAUUUGGCCCCUAUGCACAUCCCAGAUCUGUUAUGCUUAUGCACCCUGCUGCUGUUGGUAGGUUGGCUCUGCAAAACUCUUGGAUGCUUUGUUUGAGUUCACUGCUGACCUUCAUUGAUAUUAAUUUCUGAAUGCUAGAAAGUGAUUAGAGAGGUCUCCCUCAUACACAGGGCCGGGAGAAAGAGAUCAUUAAUUGACAUGUAUUAAGGGUCUUAUCGUAUCUCACUUACUUGAAAUGAUGAAUUUUUUCCAUAGCUCGCAUGGUCGUCCCCUCUUCUCAUGUGAAGAACUUGUUGCAGUUCCAUCUUUGCUACUCUUCUGCAAUUUGGAACCAUGGAUUGAACUUCUUCUCUAUGUGUGUACUUGUGUGUGUAGAUCAUGCCUUACUUAGAACCAUAAAACAAAGAACUAGGUCAAACACGAGGUUGUUGUAAAGGGACCCUUUCCUGAUUUAUAUCAUUUUUUACAAGUCUUAUUCUAGUAUAUUAGGUACCGAUCAAUAUUUUGUAAUUAACCUACUAAUCUCAAGGAGUAUCAAUUAAUCUGCUACAAUAAUUGGCGCCUAAACAGUUCUUUAUUCAUCAUGGCAACUUUCACAAGUAUGUUAGUUGACUCGUAACUUUCGCGAGGAUUAUUCGAUUAGAGAAUAGCUAGCUUAAUCCAGUUAAUUAAGAGCUUCUCUGGACCUUCUAUCCCGUGACAUCCUUCUGUUGGCCUUUCCCCUUCACUCCCUCCAGCCCGAAAGAGAAAUCAGAAUCUUCAAAGAGAAACUAAUUAAGCUGGUUUUGCUCCUUAAUUGUAUCCAACAUUAAUUGAUAGCCAAACUCUAAAAUGGAUAUAUCAAGAAAACUUCACCAAAUGAAAUGUUGUAAGAUGAGAAGAUUUGGAACAAACCUAUCCAGAUAGUCGCUAUUUUACCAUAAAGAAAUGGGUAAAUUACAUUUUACCCCCUAUGAUUUAACCUUUUUUACAUAACUCCCCUAUGGUUUCAAAAGCUAUACAUAACCCCCUCAUGGUUUGGAUUAAAGUGUGAAAGUAACGGAAAUAUUCACUCGUAACGGAAUUGAUCUGAGCAAGAUGCACAACAUGAUUUAUGGUUUCGAUCUUACUUUCCGUCAGUAUAUAUUGUAUAUCAGUCAAUAUAUCAGGAAUUGGAAUAGUUUUUUGCAGUAUCUGUGAUUGAACUCAGCUGCAGGAUUUUUGGAAGUUGGAUUUCUGGUAUAGUUUUCCAAAAUAAAACCAAUCAAAGUGAAGAGAUAGAAAUAGCUCUUGGUCCCAAGUUUAGGGAACCAACCUCAGAUUGGCAUACACAACUUCACCGCAUAUUAUGUGUUUUGCAUGGAGUCUUGGAAGUUGCUCCAACUUGAAAUUGAUCAAGGAAUAAGAUCGAAGUACAUAAAAGGCAGCAUCAUUUUCAUUUCCAGUGUCUCUUGACCUAAACCAGAUACCACAUUUUACGAGAUUUCUAUCAUUUUCAAUUGAAAGCCCCUGCAGAAUAAAUCAACUCAAACUGGAAAUGAAAUGCUUCUUGGCAUGGACUUUGUUCAAGCGGAGUUAGAAAAGUAUCACUUACUCCUUCAUUGCCUGCGUAAACUUAUGUACAAAAAUCAGUUUGGCAAUCUUUUUUGGAUCACAGUCAACUUGCCUAGAAAAGUGAGUUUAACAAGUUGAGUGAGCUCAUGCUCGCAAUUCCAUUUUUUUUCUCCUCUUUUCUUUUUUGAUUAAAGUAUUAGAUUAUUUUGUAAUUUUAUUUGCAUUGAUUAAUUUUGUUUUUUCAAAAAUACAAGGUUAAAUAAAAAUUGAUAAAGCCCCACCACCAUAAUAAUACUACUAUAUAUGAUCCACCAUGGCCUAGAUUUGUCCCAACCACAUUUUGGGUACAAAAUUUUUCCCGAUUAAUUAUUUGGUGUGGUAUGCAAAUAUGUGCUUGAUUUUCUCAUAUUGGGAUUCUUAAAACCCCAGCAAGUAGAACAUAUUGUUCUUUUUGGAUUUUGGUUGUAUUCAUUGGUCUGUACCUUUUUCUUGAGACUGAGCUGCUAUUUUUUUUUGUUAUCCUCUCGUGUUGGAUAGCAGAAACUAGAGCAAAUGCAUUAAAUUUUGCCAAUGAUUUGGUACACGUAAGGUCAAUCCGUGGUGCUACACUACGAAUACGCAUUCAAUUGUUCAUUCUGUUAAAUAUUCAGCUUAUAUGACAUAACCAUGAAAUUAGUACCUUCAUUAAAGGUCAUGAAUUGAUGCUUGGUUUUAUACUUUGUUGGCUAAACAAAGCCAAAAGAAGAUGAUGUUCCGUUCCAACUUCCUAGCAAGCAAGCAUGCAAGAAAGCAGAAAAGAGUCAGUCCAGAUGCCACUGCCAGUACUGUACUCACCAGUCAGUAGCCAUUUUCUCUGAGAUGGCGCCCCCCCCUUCCCUUUCCAAAUUCAGGUUCUCUGAAAUGUCUGACCAGCUUGUCUCUAGAGUUUCAAACAGUUCACAAAAAAGGAAAAAUCGAAGAUGGGGAAAAGCAUUUAGGAAUGGUGAUGGCUGGUGAUCAUCAUGCAGGCACAGAUGUUAAUGCAGAAUUUGUAUAUCCUAGGAUGGGAAUUGUUGCAAAUAUUCCUGAUGACAAUAGAAAUGGACAAGAUGUUCGAAGCUGCGGCUUUAAGGUUAAGAAUGAUCUGACUAUGAAAGAGUUUAAUCCAAUGACUGUGCAACCAUUCUGGAACUGUGCUACAUUAUCAGGGUAUGCAAUAGUUGAGUUCAACAAGAACUAGGCUGGAUUGUCUUGAGGCUAUGGCUUUUGAUUUUGGGUAAAAAGCAAAGAAUUGGCAAAUAUUGUGACAAGAAUUGGCUUCAAAUCGUGAUAGAAAUCACUUUCCUUUAGGCUUUAUUUGUCCGAUAUAAAGUGCAAUACCUUGGACAAAUAUCCUUCAGGAUAAGAUGAAAUUUUGUUUGUCUUAUACUCUUGCACAAAGCAAGACAAACCCUUUGUGAACUAAGGAGUGCUUUUGAGAGAGUAAGGAUAGUAGGAAAGUGAUUUUCUGCAGCAAACCACUCUCUACUUGAUCUCUUUAUAUAGGAAGAUUGUUUGGGAAACAAAAGAUCUCAUUAAACACUUGUAUGAACAGAUUCAAAGUAUUGUGUACACAUUCAUGCACUUUAAUUCAUGCAUCUCAUGAUCAUUAGAUCAAAACAUGAAUCUAUCCUUUCAUUCAAUAAUUCCCAUAUACAUGAAUACAUUCAUAAAUGAAUGUACAUUUUAGGAACAUUCACAAUACUAUACAUAUACCAAAAAUCAAUGAAUAUACAUUAAUUUCAUGUAUGUACAUCAUACAAAUUUUGAAAAGUUUCCAACAAUCCCCCGCCAUUUUCAAAAUUUAGAAAAUGGAUUUCUAAAAGGUCACCAAGUAAUCUGACACUCAUAUGCAUAAAUAAUGGUGUCUUUCGAUUGAACCACUAUCUUAGUGAAGGUUCUUUGAAAUCAAUCCUUCAAGAUGGUAGACAAGCUUUGAACCACUUGGACAUUGGACCAACCUCAUAAACACAUCACACACUGAGCAAUGCACAACCAUAAGUUCUUCAACGAUACAUUUUACGGCCUUGUAUCACUAUCCUUUCAUGAAUGUUUACAAAGUAAAGUCCUUAACUUUGUGGUUUGCCGAAAACCAACAUUCAUAUAGGCGACAUCUUAGUGCCCCCGCCAUAGAUAGCACUUUUAAGAUUCGUUAAGAGUCCAAUGACUCAUCCUUACAUUUGCACUGGCGAGAAUAACAUGCACUAUUCAACAUUGGGAUGACUAAACUUCACAUAGUGCACCAACCACUAGAAUGGUGUACUUUCACUCAUUGAAUUCAAGACUAGACGUUGUAUCUAGCGUUGAAUUGAGGUUCCACCAUUAGUGAUCAAGAAUUUUGGACUUUAAACCCAUCCCCCUUGAUGUCUUUGACACCAAAUUUCUUGAUAAUCCUUUUGUCAAAGGAUCACUUAAAUUUUCAUUUGAUCUCACAAAGUCAAUUGAUAUGACUCCAUUUGUAAUCAAAUCUUUGACAUAACUAUGUCUCAAACCGAUAUGUCUUGAUUUACCAUUAUACACUUGACUAUAUGCUUUAGCAAGUGUAGCUGCACUAUCACAAUGGAUUGAGAUAGGCGACAAAGGUGUUGGCCACAAUGGUAUAUCACAAAGUAAAUUACGUAGCCAUUCAGCUUCUUUACAGGCCGAAGCAAGUGCUACAAACUCUGCUGCCAUUGUUGAAUCGGUGAUACAAGUCUGUUUCUUAGAACCCCAAGAAAUUGCACCUCCACCAAGCAUAAAGAUCCAACCACUUGUCGACGAGUGAUCAUCUUUAUUGGUGAUCCAACUAGCAUCUAAAAAUCCUUCUAAAACUGAAGGAUAACCGGUAUAACAUAUACCAUAGUCCUUAGUGGCCUUUAAAUACUUUAAAAUUCUGGUUACACCUUGCCAAUGUAACCUACUAGGGUUGCUUGUAUAUCUGCUCAAUAUACCAACUGCAUAUGCAAUAUCAGGUCUAGUACAAGUCAUUGCAUACAUUAAACACCCUAUAACCUUGGCAUAUUCCAUUUGAGAUUUUGGAUCCCCCUCAUUUUUCACAAAAUUUAUUUUGGGAUCCAAUGGUGUUGAGACUGGAAUACAAUCACUUUGAUUGAAUUUGUUAAGAAUCUUUUCAAUAUAAUGUGUUUGAGACAACAUUAUAUUGUUAUCAUGUUUGAAGAUUCUCAUACCAAGAAUGACAUCUGCCUCACCCAUGUCUUUCAUGUCAAAUUUGCUUGAAAGCAAAGUUUUUGUGACUUCAACUUGUUCCAAGUCAGUCCCAAAAAUCAACAUGUCAUCAACAUAUAAACAAAUUAUGACACCUUUGCCAUCAUCAAACUUGCUAUAAAUACAUUUAUCAGAUUCAUUUAUUUUGAACCCACUAGCAAGAAUAACUUGGUCAAAUUUCUGAUGCCAUUGCUUCGGUGCUUGUUUUAGUCCAUAUAAAGACUUUACAAGUUUACACACCUUAUGCUCUUGACCAGGUAUCACAAACCCUUCGGGUUGCUCCAUAUAUAUUUUUUCAUCCAAAUCACCAUUCAAGAAUGCUGUUUUAACAUCCAUUUGGUGAACUAGAUUUUGGAUAGAAGCUAUAGCAAGUAGCACUCUAAUUGUAGCAAUUCUAGCUACUGGUGAAUAUGUGUCAAAAUAGUCCACACCAUACUUUUGUGUGAACCCUUUGGCAACCAACCUGGCCUUGAACUUAUCAAUAGUUCCGUCGAUCUUCAUUUUCUUCUUGAAGAUCCACUUACAACCAAUUGGUUUUGAACCAGGUGGUAAGUCUACUAAUUUCCAGGUUUUAUUACCCAUGAUUGAGUCCAUCUCAUCAUUAAUAGCUUCCUUCCAAAAGGGAGCAUCUUGUGAGUUCAUUGCUUCUUCAUAGGUCUUGGGAUCAGCCUCAAUAUUGAAGCAAUAUGAGAUUUGGUUGCUCACUGUAUCUCUAGUUCCUUCAACUAGAUACAUAUAAAAGUCCGAACCGAAGUCUUUUGACUUUCUAGCUCUUUUGCUCCUUCUCAAUUCAAUGGUUUCAUUUUCACCAUCUUUUGUCAAUUCACUUGAUUUUGGAAUAACAUCUUUUAUAGAGGUGAACCUAUUCUCUUCAAAAAUAGCAUCUCUAGACUCAAUUAUGGUAUUAACCGAAAUUGAAUCAUUAGGUUCAAUUACCAUGAACCUAUAUGCUUUGCUAUUUUGUGCAUAUCCUAAGAAUAUACACUCCACACCUCUUUCUCCCAAUUUCCUUUUUUGAGAUUCUGGGAGUUUUACAACAGCUCUACAACCCCAAACUUUCAAAUAGUUUAGGUUGGGCUUUCUUUUAUUCCAAAAUUCAUAAGGGGUUAUAGAACUCCUUUUAUUAGGAACUCUAUUUAGGAUAUGACAAGCCGUUAACAAGGCUUCACCCCAAAAUCCUUGACUUAAACCAGAUUUUGACAAAAGUGCAUUAACCAUUUCUGUCAAUACACGAUUUUUCCUUUCGGCUACACCAUUUUGUUGUGGUGUGUAAGGAGCAGUCACCUCAUAUUUUAUCCCAACAGACUCAAAAUAGGUAAUAUCAUAAUAUUCCCCACCUCUAUCUGUCCUUAGACAUUUGAUAAAGGAUUCACAAUGAAGUUCAACUUCUGAUUUGUAUGCCUUAAAUUUUUGCAAAGCUUCACCUUUUGAGUGUAACAAGAAAACAUGACAGUAUCUACUAUAAUCAUCAAUAAAAGUCACAAAGUACUUUUUACCACCCAAAGUAGGAGUACCAUGCAAAUCACAUACAUCACUAUGAAUAAGAUCCAAGAUUUUAGAUGAUCUUUCAACUUUAGGAAACGAAUUUCUUGUGAUUUUCGUUAGCAUGCAUGUAUUGCAUUUUCCUUCAAUCUUAUCACAAUAUGGCAGCAAAUCAAGUCUCAUCAUUUCAUGCAUUCUUUUGUAAUUAACAUGACCAAUCCUAUUAUGCCACAAUUCAAAAGAAGACUCAACCAAAUACGCAGAAAUAAUAUCACUCUUAUUAUUUCUAAUAGCAAGUACAUUCAACUUAAACAUCCCAUUGCAAAGAUAACCCUUGCCUACAAACAUACCACCUUUAGACAAAAUAAAUUUGUCAGACUCAAACACAAGUCUAAAGCCAAAUUUAUUUAACAGCCCAGCCGACACCAAGUUCUUCCUAACUUCCGGUACAUAAAACACAUUUGUCAAGGUUACAACAUUUCCGGAAGUAAAUUUUAAUUCUACUUCUCCAAUGCCUUGAACCGGAAUUGUAGCAGAAUUUCCCAUGUAAACAACGGUGCUUUCAUCCACCGGUUUCAUGGACUUGAAGAACGUUCUAUUGUUGCACACGUGUCGCGUAGCUCCAGAAUCAACCCACCAAGCAAAAUCAUCUUCAAUCAUAUUGAUUUCAGAUAUCAUUGCUACAAGAUUUUUGCUUGUGUUUUGGGAAGACUCUUGCUUCUUCUUCUUGUUUUGAAGAAUCUUGCACUCGGACUUGUAGUGUCCCUCUUUCUUGCAAUAGAAGCAUUGUCCCUUCUUUCUUUUCUUGGAUUGAUUUUUGGGUUGUUGGCCCUUCUUGCUUCCUUGAGACUUUUCAGUUUGCCUCUCUUCAAUCACAUGCACUUUUGAAGUAGAAUCUUUGUUCUCUUCAAGGAUUUGACUAUCUUUCUUUUCUUGCAUGCGAAUUUCCUCUUCUACUCGAAGAGAUUUAGCAAGAAUCUCAAGAGAGAUAUCCUCUUUCUUAUGUUUGAGGUCUCUUUUGAAAUCUUUCCAAGAAGGUGGUAACUUAUCUAUUAUAGAGCAAACAAUAAUGGCUUCAUCCAUGUGUAGAUUGUGUUGUGUGAAGUGAUUAAGAAGCCUUUCAAUCUCACUAAAUUGCUCCAUAACAGACUUAUUAUCUACCAUUUUAUAAUUAUUAAAAGACGAGACAAGAAACUUCUUACUUGUAGCAUCUUCUUGCAUGUACUUGGACUCCAAUCGAUCCCAAAGUUCCUUGGCGGUAGCAAUUGAAUGGUAGACAUCGAACAGGUUGUCACUCAUGGUAUUGAGGAUGUGACCACGGCAUAUUUCAUCGUCGUUCUCCCAUUUCUGACGGUUUCGGAUGUCUUCAAGAGUUUCUUCAUCGGGAUUGAUCAAUGGUUUUGGUGUGGUCAAAACAUAGACCACUUUGAGUGCAGUGAGAAGGAAACGAACACGUUUUUGCCAACGAAUGAAAUUCCCUCCAUCAAACCUCUCGAGCUUGACAAUAUUGGAUGCCAAAUCUUUCAAGGUACCGGCCAUUGUAGAGUAUAAAUAAAGCCUAAAGAUUUUUGGGUAAAAAGCAAAGAAUUGGCAAAUAUUGUGACAAGAAUUGGCUUCAAAUCGUGAUAGAAAUCACUUUUCUUUAGGCUUUAUUUGUCCGAUAUAAAGUGCAAUACCUUGGACAAAUAUCCUUCAGGAUAAGAUGAAAUUUUGUUUGUCUUAUACUCUUGCACAAAGCAAGACAAACCCUUUGUGAACUAAGGAGUGCUUUUGAGAGAGUAAGGAUAGUAGGAAAGUGAUUUUCUGCAGCAAACCACUCUCUACUUGACCUCUUUAUAUAGGAAGAUUGUUUGGGAAACAAAAGAUCUCAUUAAACACUUGUAUGAACAGAUUCAAAGUAUUGUGUACACAUUCAUGCACUUUAAUUCAUGCAUCUCAUGAUCAUUAGAUCAAAACAUGAAUCUAUCAUUUCAUUCAAUAAUUCCCAUAUACAUGAAUACAUUCAUAAAUGAAUGUACAUUUUAGGAACAUUCACAAUACUAUACAUAUACCAAAAAUCAAUGAAUAUACAUUAAUUUCAUGUAUGUACAUCAUACAAAUUUUGAAAAGUUUCCAACAGAGCUAGAAAGUCAAAAGACUUCGGUUCGAACUUUUAUAUGUAUCUAGUUGAAGGAACUAGAGAUACAGUGAGCAACCAAAUCUCAUAUUGCUUCAAUAUUGAGGCUGAUCCCAAGACCUAUGAAGAAGCAAUGAACUCACAAGAUGCUCCCUUUUGGAAGGAAGCUAUUAAUGAUGAGAUGGACUCAAUCAUGGGUAAUAAAACCUGGAAAUUAGUAGACUUACCACCUGGUUCAAAACCAAUUGGUUGUAAGUGGAUCUUCAAGAAGAAAAUGAAGAUCGACGGAACUAUUGAUAAGUUCAAGGCCAGGUUGGUUGCCAAAGGGUUCACACAAAAGUAUGGUGUGGACUAUUUUGACACAUAUUCACCAGUAGCUAGAAUUGCUACAAUUAGAGUGCUACUUGCUAUAGCUUCUAUCCAAAAUCUAGUCAUUCACCAAAUGGAUGUUAAAAUAGCAUUCUUGAAUGGUGAUUUGGAUGAAGAAGUAUAUAUGGAGCAACCCGAAGGGUUUGUGAUACCUGGUCAAGAGUAUAAGGUGUGUAAACUUGUAAAGUCUUUAUAUGGACUAAAACAAGCACCGAAGCAAUGGCAUCAGAAAUUUGACCAAGUUAUUCUUGCUAGUGGGUUCAAAAUAAAUGAAUCUGAUAAAUGUAUUUAUAGCAAGUUUGAUGAUGGCAAAGGUGUCAUAAUUUGUUUAUAUGUUGAUGACAUGUUGAUUUUUGGGACUGACUUGGAACAAGUUGAAGUCACAAAAACUUUGCUUUCAAGCAAAUUUGACAUGAAAGACAUGGGUGAGGCAGAUGUCAUUCUUGGUAUGAGAAUCUUCAAACAUGAUAACAAUAUAAUGUUGUCUCAAACACAUUAUAUUGAAAAGAUUCUUAACAAAUUCAAUCAAAGUGAUUGUAUUCCAGUCUCAACACCAUUGGAUCCCAAAAUAAAUUUUGUGAAAAAUGAGGGGGAUCCAAAAUCUCAAAUGGAAUAUGCCAAGGUUAUAGGGUGUUUAAUGUAUGCAAUGACUUGUACUAGACCUGAUAUUGCAUAUGCAGUUGGUAUAUUGAGCAGAUAUACAAGCAAUCCUGGUAGGUUACAUUGGCAAGGUGUAACCAGAAUUUUAAAGUAUUUAAAGGCCACUAAGGACUAUGGUAUAUGUUAUACCGGUUAUCCUUCAGUUUUAGAAGGAUUUUCAGAUGCUAGUUGGAUCACCAAUAAAGAUGAUCACUCGUCAACAAGUGGUUGGAUCUUUAUGCUUGGUGGUGGUGCAAUUUCUUGGGGUUCUAAGAAACAGACUUGUAUCACCGAUUCAACAAUGGCAGCAGAGUUUGUAGCACUUGCUUCGGCCUGUAAAGAAGCUGAAUGGCUACGUAAUUUGCUUUGUGAUAUACCAUUAUAGCCAACACCUUUGUCGCCUAUCUCAAUCCAUUGUGAUAGUGCAGCUACACUUGCUAAAGCAUAUAGUCAAGUGUAUAAUGGUAAAUCAAGACAUAUCGGUUUGAGACAUAAUUAUGUCAAAGAUUUGAUUACAAAUGGAGUCAUAUCAAUUGACUUUGUGAGAUCAAAUGAAAAUUUAAGUGAUCCUUUGACAAAAGGAUUAUCAAGAAAUUUGGUGUCAAAGACAUCAAGGGGGAUGGGUUUAAAGUCCAAAAUUCUUGAUCACUAAUAGUGGAACCUCAAUUCAAUGCUAGAUACAACGUCUGGUCCUGAAUUCAAUGAGUGAAAGUACAUCAUUCUAGUGGUUGGUGCACUAUAUUAAGUUUAGUCAUCCCAAUGUUGAAUAGUGCAUGUUAUUCUCGCCAGUGCAAAUGUAAGGAUGAGUCAUUGGACUCUUAACGAAUCUUAAAAGUGCUAUCUAUGGCGGGGGCACUAAGAUGUCGCCUAUAUGAAUGUUGGUUUUCGGCAAACCACAAAGUUAAGGACUUUACUUUGUAAACAUUCAUGAAAGGAUAGUGAUACAAGGCCGUAAAAUGUAUCGUUGAAGAACUUAUGGUUGUGCAUUGCUCAGUGUGUGAUGUGUUUAUGAGGUUGGUCCAAUGUCCAAGUGGUUCAAAGCUUGUCUACCAUCUUGAAGGAUUGAUUUCAAAGAACCUUCACUAAGAUAGUGGUUCAAUCGAAAGACACCAUUAUUUAUGCAUAUGAGUGUCAGAUUACUUGGUGACCUUUUAGAAAUCCAUUUUCUAAUUUUGAAAAUGGCGGGGGAUUGUUGGAAACUUUUCAAAAUUUGUAUGAUGUACAUACAUGUAAUUAAUGUAUAUUCAUUAAUUUUUGGUACAUGUAUAGUAUUGUGAAUGUUUCUAAAAUGUACAUUCAUUUAUGAAUGUAUUCAUGUAUAUGGGAAUUAUUGAAUGAAAGGAUAGAUUCAUGUUUUGAUCUAAUGAUCAUGAGAUGCAUGAAUUAAAGUGCAUGAAUGUGUACACAAUACUUUGAAUCUAUUCAUACACAAUACUUUGAAUCUAUUCAUAAUGGAUCUUUUGUUUCCCAAACAAUCUUCCUAUAUAAAGAGGUCAAGUAGAGAGUGGUUUGCUGCAGAAAAUCACUUUCCUACUAUCCUUACUCUCUCAAAAGCACUCCUUAGUUCACAAAGGGUUUGUCUUGCUUUGUGCAAGAGUUUAAGACAAACAAAACUUCAUCUUAUCCUAAAGGAUAUUUGUCCAAGGUUAUUGCACUUUAUAUCGGACAAAUAAAGCCUAAAGGAAAGUGAUUUCUAUCACGAUUUGAAGCCAAUUCUUGUCACAAUAUUUGCCAAUUCUUUGCUUUUUACCCAACAAUCUUUAGGCUUUAUUUAUACUCUACAAUGGCUGGUACCUUGAAAGAUUUGGCAUCCAAUAUUGUCAAGCUCGAGAGGUUUGAUGGAGGGAAUUUCAUUCGUUGGCAAAAACGUGUUCGUUUCCUUCUCACUGCACUCAAAGUGGUCUAUGUUUUGACCACACCAAAACCAUUGAUCAAUCCCGAUGAAGAAACUCUUGAAGACAUCCGAAACCGUCAGAAAUGGGAGAACGACGAUGAAAUAUGCCGUGGUCACAUCCUCAAUACCAUGAGUGACAACCUGUUCGAUGUCUACCAUUCAAUUGCUACCGCCAAGGAACUUUGGGAUCGAUUGGAGUCCAAGUACAUGCAAGAAGAUGCUACAAGUAAGAAGUUUCUUGUCUCGUCUUUUAAUAAUUAUAAAAUGGUAGAUAAUAAGUCUGUUAUGGAGCAAUUUAGUGAGAUUGAAAGGCUUCUUAAUCACUUCACACAACACAAUCUACACAUGGAUGAAGCCAUUAUUGUUUGCUCUAUAAUAGAUAAGUUACCACCUUCUUGGAAAGAUUUCAAAAGAGACCUCAAACAUAAGAAAGAGGAUAUCUCUCUUGAGAUUCUUGCUAAAUCUCUUCGAGUAGAAGAGGAAAUUCGCAUGCAAGAAAAGAAGGAUAGUCAAAUCCUUGAAGAGAACAAAGAUUCUACUUCAAAAGUGCAUGUGAUUGAAGAGAGGCAAACUGAAAAGUCUCAAGGAAGCAAGAAGGGCCAACAACCCAAGAAUCAAUCCAAGAAAAGAAAGAAGGGACAAUGCUUCUAUUGCAAGAAAGAGGGACACUACAAGUCCGAGUGCAAGAUUCUUCAAAACAAGAAGAAGAAGCAAGAGUCUUCCCAAAACACAAGCAAAAAUCUUGUAGCAAUGAUAUCUGAAAUCAAUAUGAUUGAAGAUGAUUUUGCUUGGUGGGUUGAUUCUGGAGCUACGCGACACGUGUGCAACAAUAGAACGUUCUUCAAGUCCAUGAAACCGGUGGAUGAAAGCACCGUUGUUUACAUGGGAAAUUCUGCUACAAUUCCGGUUCAAGGCAUUGGAGAAGUAGAAUUAAAAUUUACUUCCGGAAAUGUUGUAACCUUGACAAAUGUGUUUUAUGUACCGGAAGUUAGGAAGAACUUGGUGUCGGCUGGGCUGUUAAAUAAAUUUGGCUUUAGACUUGUGUUUGAGUCUGACAAAUUUAUUUUGUCUAAAGGUGGUAUGUUUGUAGGCAAGGGUUAUCUUUGCAAUGGGAUGUUUAAGUUGAAUGUACUUGCUAUUAGAAAUAAUAAGAGUGAUAUUAUUUCUGCGUAUUUGGUUGAGUCUUCUUUUGAAUUGUGGCAUAAUAGGAUUGGUCAUGUUAAUUACAAAAGAAUGCAUGAAAUGAUGAGACUUGAUUUGCUGCCAUAUUGUGAUAAGAUUGAAGGAAAAUGCAAUACAUGCAUGCUAACGAAAAUCACAAGAAAUUCGUUUCCUAAAGUUGAAAGAUCAUCUAAAAUCUUGGAUCUUAUUCAUAGUGAUGUAUGUGAUUUGCAUGGUACUCCUACUUUGGGUGGUAAAAAGUACUUUGUGACUUUUAUUGAUGAUUAUAGUAGAUACUGUCAUGUUUUCUUAUUACACUCAAAAGGUGAAGCUUUGCAAAAAUUUAAGGCAUACAAAUCAGAAGUUGAACUUCAUUGUGAAUCCUUUAUCAAAUGUCUAAGGACAGAUAGAGGUGGGGAAUAUUAUGAUAUUACCUAUUUUGAGUCUGUUGGGAUAAAACAUGAGGUGACUGCUCCUUACACACCACAACAAAAUGGUGUAGCCGAAAGGAAAAAUCGUGUAUUGACAGAAAUGGUUAAUGCACUUUUGUCAAAAUCUGGUUUAAGUCAAGGAUUUUGGGGUGAAGCCUUGUUAACGGCUUGUCAUAUCCUAAAUAGAGUUCCUAAUAAAAGGAGUUCUAUAACCCCUUAUGAAUUUUGGAAUAAAAGGAAGCCCAACCUAAACUAUUUGAAAGUUUGGGGUUGUAGAGCUGUUGUAAAACUCCCAGAAUCUCAAAAAAGGAAAUUGGGAGAAAGAGGUGUGGAGUGUAUAUUCUUAGGAUAUGCACAAAAUAGCAAAGCAUAUAGGUUCAUGGUAAUUGAACCUAAUGAUUCAAUUUCGGUUAAUACCAUAAUUGAGUCUAGAGAUGCUAUUUUUGAAGAGAAUAGGUUCACCUCUAUAAAAGAUGUUAUUCCAAAAUCAAGUGAAUUGACAAAAGAUGGUGAAAAUGAAACCAUUGAAUUGAGAAGGAGCAAAAGAGCUAGAAAGUCAAAAGACUUCGGUUCGGACUUUUAUAUGUAUCUAGUUGAAGGAACUAGAGAUACAGUGAGCAACCAAAUCUCAUAUUGCUUCAAUAUUGAGGCUGAUCCCAAGACCUAUGAAGAAGCAAUGAACUCACAAGAUGCUCCCUUUUGGAAGGAAGCUAUUAAUGAUGAGAUGGACUCAAUCAUGGGUAAUAAAACCUGGAAAUUAGUAGACUUACCACCUGGUUCAAAACCAAUUGGUUGUAAGUGGAUCUUCAAGAAGAAAAUGAAGAUCGACGGAACUAUUGAUAAGUUCAAGGCCAGGUUGGUUGCCAAAGGGUUCACACAAAAGUAUGGUGUGGACUAUUUUGACACAUAUUCACCAGUAGCUAGAAUUGCUACAAUUAGAGUGCUACUUGCUAUAGCUUCUAUCCAAAAUCUAGUCAUUCACCAAAUGGAUGUUAAAACAGCAUUCUUGAAUGGUGAUUUGGAUGAAGAAGUAUAUAUGGAGCAACCCGAAGGGUUUGUGAUACCUGGUCAAGAGCAUAAGGUGUGUAAACUUGUAAAGUCUUUAUAUGGACUAAAACAAGCACCGAAGCAAUGGCAUCAGAAAUUUGACCAAGUUAUUCUUGCUAGUGGGUUCAAAAUAAAUGAAUCUGAUAAAUGUAUUUAUAGCAAGUUUGAUGAUGGCAAAGGUGUCAUAAUUUGUUUAUAUGUUGAUGACAUGUUGAUUUUUGGGACUGACUUGGAACAAGUUGAAGUCACAAAAACUUUGCUUUCAAGCAAAUUUGACAUGAAAGACAUGGGUGAGGCAGAUGUCAUUCUUGGUAUGAGAAUCUUCAAACAUGAUAACAAUAUAAUGUUGUCUCAAACACAUUAUAUUGAAAAGAUUCUUAACAAAUUCAAUCAAAGUGAUUGUAUUCCAGCCUCAACACCAUUGGAUCCCAAAAUAAAUUUUGUGAAAAAUGAGGGGGAUCCAAAAUCUCAAAUGGAAUAUGCCAAGGUUAUAGGGUGUUUAAUGUAUGCAAUGACUUGUACUAGACCUGAUAUUGCAUAUGCAGUUGGUAUAUUGAGCAGAUAUACAAGCAACCCUAGUAGGUUACAUUGGCAAGGUGUAACCAGAAUUUUAAAGUAUUUAAAGGCCACUAAGGACUAUGGUAUAUGUUAUACCGGUUAUCCUUCAGUUUUAGAAGGAUUUUCAGAUGCUAGUUGGAUCACCAAUAAAGAUGAUCACUCGUCGACAAGUGGUUGGAUCUUUAUGCUUGGUGGAGGUGCAAUUUCUUGGGGUUCUAAGAAACAGACUUGUAUCACCGAUUCAACAAUGGCAGCAGAGUUUGUAGCACUUGCUUCGGCCUGUAAAGAAGCUGAAUGGCUACGUAAUUUACUUUGUGAUAUACCAUUGUGGCCAACACCUUUGUCGCCUAUCUCAAUCCAUUGUGAUAGUGCAGCUACACUUGCUAAAGCUUAUAGUCAAGUGUAUAAUGGUAAAUCAAGACAUAUCGGUUUGAGACAUAGUUAUGUCAAAGAUUUGAUUACAAAUGGAGUCAUAUCAAUUGACUUUGUGAGAUCAAAUGAAAAUUUGAGUGAUCCUUUGACAAAAGGGUUAUCAAGAAAUUUGGUGUCAAAUACAUCAAGGGGGAUGGGUUUAAAGUCCAAAAUUCUUGAUCACUAAUGGUGGAACCUCAAUUCAACGCUAGAUACAACGUCUAGUCUUGAAUUCAAUGAGUGAAAGUACACCAUUCUAGUGGUUGGUGCACUAUGUGAAGUUUAGACAUCCCAAUGUUGAAUAGUGCAUGUUAUUCUCGCCAGUGCAAAUGUAAGGAUGAGUCAUUGGACUCUUAACGAAUCUUAAAAGUGCUAUCUAUGGCGGGGGCACUAAGAUGUCGCCUAUAUGAAUGUUGGUUUUCGGCAAACCACAAAGUUAAGGACUUUACUUUGUAAACAUUCAUGAAAGGAUAGUGAUACAAGGCCGUAAAAUGUAUCGUUGAAGAACUUAUGGUUGUGCAUUGCUCAGUGUGUGAUGUGUUUAUGAGGUUGGUCCAAUGUCCAAGUGGUUCAAAGCUUGUCUACCAUCUUGAAGGAUUGAUUUCAAAGAACCUUCACUAAGAUAGUGGUUCAAUCGAAAGACACCAUUAUUUAUGCAUAUGAGUGUCAGAUUACUUGGUGACCUUUUAGAAAUCCAUUUUCUAAUUUUGAAAAUGGCGGGGGAUUGUUGGAAACUUUUCAAAAUUUGUAUGAUGUACAUACAUGUAAUUAAUGUAUAUUCAUUAAUUUUUGGUACAUGUAUAGUAUUGUGAAUGAUUCUAAAAUGUACAUUCAUUUAUGAAUGUAUUCAUGUAUAUGUGAAUUAUUGAAUGAAAGGAUAGAUUCAUGUUUUGAUCUAAUGAUCAUGAGAUGCAUGAAUUAAAGUGCAUGAAUGUGUACACAAUACUUUGAAUCUAUUCAUACACAAUACUUUGAAUCUAUUCAUACAAGUGUUUAAUGAGGUCUUUUGUUUCCCAAACAAAUCUUCCUAUAUAAAGAGGUCAAGUAGAGAGUGGUUUGCUGCAGAAAAUCACUUUCCUACUAUCCUUACUCUCUCAAAAGCACUCCUUAGUUCACAAAGGGUUUGUCUUGCUUUGUGCAAGAGUUUAAGACAAACAAAACUUCAUCUUAUCCUAAAGGAUAUUUGUCCAAGGUUAUUGCACUUUAUAUCGGACAAAUAAAGCCUAAAGGAAAGUGAUUUCUAUCACGAUUUGAAGCCAAUUCUGGUCACAAUAUUUGCCAAUUCUUUGCUUUUUACCCAACAAUCUUUAGGCUUUAUUUAUACUCUACAAUGGCUGGUACCUUGAAAGAUUUGGCAUCCAAUAUUGUCAAGCUCGAGAGGUUUGAUGGAGGGAAUUUCAUUCGUUGGCAAAAACGUGUUCGUUUCCUUCUCACUGCACUCAAAGUGGUCUAUGUUUUGACCACACCAAAACCAUUGAUCAAUCCCGAUGAAGAAACUCUUGAAGACAUCCGAAACCGUCAGAAAUGGGAGAACGACGAUGAAAUAUGCCGUGGUCACAUCCUCAAUACCAUGAGUGACAACCUGUUCGAUGUCUACCAUUCAAUUGCUACCGCCAAGGAACUUUGGGAUCGAUUGGAGUCCAAGUACAUGCAAGAAGAUGCUACAAGUAAGAAGUUUCUUGUCUCGUCUUUUAAUAAUUAUAAAAUGGUAGAUAAUAAGUCUGUUAUGGAGCAAUUUAGUGAGAUUGAAAGGCUUCUUAAUCACUUCACACAACACAAUCUACACAUGGAUGAAGCCAUUAUUGUUUGCUCUAUAAUAGAUAAGUUACCACCUUCUUGGAAAGAUUUCAAAAGAGACCUCAAACAUAAGAAAGAGGAUAUCUCUCUUGAGAUUCUUGCUAAAUCUCUUCGAGUAGAAGAGGAAAUUCGCAUGCAAGAAAAGAAGGAUAGUCAAAUCCUUGAAGAGAACAAAGAUUCUACUUCAAAAGUGCAUGUGAUUGAAGAGAGGCAAACUGAAAAGUCUCAAGGAAGCAAGAAGGGCCAACAACCCAAGAAUCAAUCCAAGAAAAGAAAGAAGGGACAAUGCUUCUAUUGCAAGAAAGAGGGACACUACAAGUCCGAGUGCAAGAUUCUUCAAAACAAGAAGAAGAAGCAAGAGUCUUCCCAAAACACAAGCAAAAAUCUUGUAGCAAUGAUAUCUGAAAUCAAUAUGAUUGAAGAUGAUUUUGCUUGGUGGGUUGAUUCUGGAGCUACGCGACACGUGUGCAACAAUAGAACGUUCUUCAAGUCCAUGAAACCGGUGGAUGAAAGCACCGUUGUUUACAUGGGAAAUUCUGCUACAAUUCCGGUUCAAGGCAUUGGAGAAGUAGAAUUAAAAUUUACUUCCGGAAAUGUUGUAACCUUGACAAAUGUGUUUUAUGUACCGGAAGUUAGGAAGAACUUGGUGUCGGCUGGGCUGUUAAAUAAAUUUGGCUUUAGACUUGUGUUUGAGUCUGACAAAUUUAUUUUGUCUAAAGGUGGUAUGUUUGUAGGCAAGGGUUAUCUUUGCAAUGGGAUGUUUAAGUUGAAUGUACUUGCUAUUAGAAAUAAUAAGAGUGAUAUUAUUUCUGCGUAUUUGGUUGAGUCUUCUUUUGAAUUGUGGCAUAAUAGGAUUGGUCAUGUUAAUUACAAAAGAAUGCAUGAAAUGAUGAGACUUGAUUUGCUGCCAUAUUGUGAUAAGAUUGAAGGAAAAUGCAAUACAUGCAUGCUAACGAAAAUCACAAGAAAUUCGUUUCCUAAAGUUGAAAGAUCAUCUAAAAUCUUGGAUCUUAUUCAUAGUGAUGUAUGUGAUUUGCAUGGUACUCCUACUUUGGGUGGUAAAAAGUACUUUGUGACUUUUAUUGAUGAUUAUAGUAGAUACUGUCAUGUUUUCUUAUUACACUCAAAAGGUGAAGCUUUGCAAAAAUUUAAGGCAUACAAAUCAGAAGUUGAACUUCAUUGUGAAUCCUUUAUCAAAUGUCUAAGGACAGAUAGAGGUGGGGAAUAUUAUGAUAUUACCUAUUUUGAGUCUGUUGGGAUAAAACAUGAGGUGACUGCUCCUUACACACCACAACAAAAUGGUGUAGCCGAAAGGAAAAAUCGUGUAUUGACAGAAAUGGUUAAUGCACUUUUGUCAAAAUCUGGUUUAAGUCAAGGAUUUUGGGGUGAAGCCUUGUUAACGGCUUGUCAUAUCCUAAAUAGAGUUCCUAAUAAAAGGAGUUCUAUAACCCCUUAUGAAUUUUGGAAUAAAAGGAAGCCCAACCUAAACUAUUUGAAAGUUUGGGGUUGUAGAGCUGUUGUAAAACUCCCAGAAUCUCAAAAAAGGAAAUUGGGAGAAAGAGGUGUGGAGUGUAUAUUCUUAGGAUAUGCACAAAAUAGCAAAGCAUAUAGGUUCAUGGUAAUUGAACCUAAUGAUUCAAUUUCGGUUAAUACCAUAAUUGAGUCUAGAGAUGCUAUUUUUGAAGAGAAUAGGUUCACCUCUAUAAAAGAUGUUAUUCCAAAAUCAAGUGAAUUGAUAAAAGAUGGUGAAAAUGAAACCAUUGAAUUGAGAAGGAGCAAAAGAGCUAGAAAGUCAAAAGACUUCGGUUCGGACUUUUAUAUGUAUCUAGUUGAAGGAACUAGAGAUACAGUGAGCAACCAAAUCUCAUAUUGCUUCAAUAUUGAGGCUGAUCCCAAGACCUAUGAAGAAGCAAUGAACUCACAAGAUGCUCCCUUUUGGAAGGAAGCUAUUAAUGAUGAGAUGGACUCAAUCAUGGGUAAUAAAACCUGGAAAUUAGUAGACUUACCACCUGGUUCAAAACCAAUUGGUUGUAAGUGGAUCUUCAAGAAGAAAAUGAAGAUCGACGGAACUAUUGAUAAGUUCAAGGCCAGGUUGGUUGCCAAAGGGUUCACACAAAAGUAUGGUGUGGACUAUUUUGACACAUAUUCACCAGUAGCUAGAAUUGCUACAAUUAGAGUGCUACUUGCUAUAGCUUCUAUCCAAAAUCUAGUCAUUCACCAAAUGGAUGUUAAAACAGCAUUCUUGAAUGGUGAUUUGGAUGAAGAAGUAUAUAUGGAGCAACCCGAAGGGUUUGUGAUACCUGGUCAAGAGCAUAAGGUGUGUAAACUUGUAAAGUCUUUAUAUGGACUAAAACAAGCACCGAAGCAAUGGCAUCAGAAAUUUGACCAAGUUAUUCUUGCUAGUGGGUUCAAAAUAAAUGAAUCUGAUAAAUGUAUUUAUAGCAAGUUUGAUGAUGGCAAAGGUGUCAUAAUUUGUUUAUAUGUUGAUGACAUGUUGAUUUUUGGGACUGACUUGGAACAAGUUGAAGUCACAAAAACUUUGCUUUCAAGCAAAUUUGACAUGAAAGACAUGGGUGAGGCAGAUGUCAUUCUUGGUAUGAGAAUCUUCAAACAUGAUAACAAUAUAAUGUUGUCUCAAACACAUUAUAUUGAAAAGAUUCUUAACAAAUUCAAUCAAAGUGAUUGUAUUCCAGUCUCAACACCAUUGGAUCCCAAAAUAAAUUUUGUGAAAAAUGAGGGGGAUCCAAAAUCUCAAAUGGAAUAUGCCAAGGUUAUAGGGUGUUUAAUGUAUGCAAUGACUUGUACUAGACCUGAUAUUGCAUAUGCAGUUGGUAUAUUGAGCAGAUAUACAAGCAAUCCUAGUAGGUUACAUUGGCAAGGUGUAACCAGAAUUUUAAAGUAUUUAAAGGCCACUAAGGACUAUGGUAUAUGUUAUACCGGUUAUCCUUCAGUUUUAGAAGGAUUUUCAGAUGCUAGUUGGAUCACCAAUAAAGAUGAUCACUCGUCGACAAGUGGUUGGAUCUUUAUGCUUGGUGGAGGUGCAAUUUCUUGGGGUUCUAAGAAACAGACUUGUAUCACCGAUUCAACAAUGGCAGCAGAGUUUGUAGCACUUGCUUCGGCCUGUAAAGAAGCUGAAUGGCUACGUAAUUUGCUUUGUGAUAUACAUUAUUGUGGCCAACACCUUUGUCGCCUAUCUCAAUCCAUUGUGAUAGUGCAGCUACACUUGCUAAAGCAUAUAGUCAAGUGUAUAAUGGUAAAUCAAGACAUAUCGGUUUGAGACAUAGUUAUGUCAAAGAUUUGAUUACAAAUGGAGUCAUAUCAAUUGACUUUGUGAGAUCAAAUGAAAAUUUAAGUGAUCCUUUGACAAAAGGAUUAUCAAGAAAUUUGGUGUCAAAGACAUCAAGGGGGAUGGGUUUAAAGUCCAAAAUUCUUGAUCACUAAUGGUGGAACCUCAAUUCAAUGCUAGAUACAACGUCUGGUCCUGAAUUCAAUGAGUGAAAGUACAUCAUUCUAGUGGUUGGUGCACUAUAUUAAGUUUAGUCAUCCCAAUGUUGAAUAGUGCAUGUUAUUCUCGCCAGUGCAAAUGUAAGGAUGAGUCAUUGGACUCUUAACGAAUCUUAAAAGUGCUAUCUAUGGCGGGGGCACUAAGAUGUCGCCUAUAUGAAUGUUGGUUUUCGGCAAACCACAAAGUUAAGGACUUUACUUUGUAAACAUUCAUGAAAGGAUAGUGAUACAAGGCCGUAAAAUGUAUCGUUGAAAAACUUAUGGUUGUGCAUUGCUCAGUGGGUGAUGUGUUUAUGAGGUUGGUCCAAUGUCCAAGUGGUUCAAAGCUUUUCUACCAUCUUGAAGGAUUGAUUUCAAAGAACCUUCACUAAGAUAGUGGUUCAAUCGAAAGACACCAUUAUUUAUGCAUAUGAGUGUCAGAUUAAUUGGUGACCUUUUUGAAAUCCAUUUUCUAAAUUUUGAAAAUGGCGGGGGAUUGUUGGAAACUUUUCAAAAUUUGUAUGAUGUACAUACAUGAAAUUAAUGUAUAUUCAUUGAUUUUUGGUACAUGUAGAGUAUUGUGAAUGGUUCUAAAAUGUACAUUCAUUUAUGAAUGUAUUCAUGUAUAUGGGAAUUAUUGAAUGAAAGGAUAGAUUCAUGUUUUGAUCUAAUGAUCAUGAGAUGCAUGAAUUAAAGUGCAUGAAUGUGUACACAAUACUUUGAAUCUAUUCAUACACAAUACUUUGAAUCUGGAGGUUUGAUGGAGGGAAUUUCAUUCGUUGGCAAAAACGUGUUCGUUUCCUUCUCACUGCACUCAAAGUGGUCUAUGUUUUGACAACACCAAAACCAUUGAUCAAUCCCGAUGAAGAAACUCUUGAAGACAUCCGAAACCGUCAGAAAUGGGAGAACGACGAUGAAAUAUGCCGUGGUCACAUCCUCAAUACCAUGAGUGACAACUUGUUCGAUGUCUACCAUUCAAUUGCUACCGCCAAGGAACUUUGGGAUCGAUUGGAGUCCAAGUACAUGCAAGAAGAUGCUACAAGUAAGAAGUUUCUUGUCUCGUCUUUUAAUAAUUAUAAAAUGGUAGAUAAUAAGUCUGUUAUGGAGCAAUUUAGUGAGAUUGAAAGGCUUCUUAAUCACUUCACACAACACAAUCUACACAUGGAUGAAGCCAUUAUUGUUUGCUCUAUAAUAGAUAAGUUACCACCUUCUUGGAAAGAUUUCAAAAGAGACCUCAAACAUAAGAAAGAGGAUAUCUUUCUUGAGAUUCUUGCUAAAUCUCUUCGAGUAGAAGAGGAAAUUCGCAUGCAAGAAAAGAAGGAUAGUCAAAUCCUUGAAAAGAACAAAGAUUCUACUUCAAAAGUGCAUGUGAUUGAAGAGAGGCAAACUGAAAAGUCUCAAGGAAGCAAGAAGGGCCAACAACCCAAGAAUCAAUCCAAGAAAAGAAAGAAGGGACAAUGCUUCUAUUGCAAGAAAGAGGGACACUACAAGUCCGAGUGCAAGAUUCUUCAAAACAAGAAGAAGAAGCAAGAGACUUCCCAAAACACAAGCAAAAAUCUUGUAGCAAUGAUAUCUGAAAUCAAUAUGAUUGAAGAUGAUUUUGCUUGGUGGGUUGAUUCUGGAGCUACGCGACAUGUGUGCAACAAUAGAACGUUCUUCAAGUCCACGAAACCGGUGGAUGAAAGCACCGUUGUUUACAUGGGAAAUUCUGCUACAAUUCCGGUUCAAGGCAUUGGAGAAGUAGAAUUAAAAUUUACUUCCGAAAAUGUUGUAACCUUGACAAAUGUGUUUUAUGUACCGGAAGUUAGGAAGAACUUGGUGUCGGCUGGGCUGUUAAAUAAAUUUGGCUUUAGACUUGUGUUUGAGUCUGACAAAUUUAUUUUGUCUAAAGGUGGUAUGUUUGUAGGCAAGGGUUAUCUUUGCAAUGGGAUGUUUAAGUUGAAUGUACUUGCUAUUAGAAAUAAUAAGAGUGAUAUUAUUUCUGCGUAUUUGGUUGAGUCUUCUUUUGAAUUGUGGCAUAAUAGGAUUGGUCAUGUUAAUUACAAAAGAAUGCAUGAAAUGAUGAGACUUGAUUUGCUGCCAUAUUGUGAUAAGAUUGAAGGAAAAUGCAAUACAUGCAUGCUAACGAAAAUCACAAGAAAUUCGUUUUCUAAAGUUGAAAGAUCAUCUAAAAUCUUGGAUCUUAUUCAUAGUGAUGUAUGUGAUUUGCAUGGUACUCCUACUUUGGGUGGUAAAAAGUACUUUGUGACUUUUAUUGAUGAUUAUAGUAGAUACUGUCAUGUUUUCUUGUUAUACUCAAAAGGUGAAGCUUUACAAAAAUUUAAGGCAUACAAAUCAGAAGUUGAACUUCAUUGUGAAUCCUUUAUCAAAUGUCUAAGGACAGAUAGAGGUGGGGAAUAUUAUGAUAUUACCUAUUUUGAGUCUGUUGGGAUAAAACAUGAGGUGACUGCUCCUUACACACCACAACAAAAUGGUGUAGUCGAAAGGAAAAAUCGUGUAUUGACAGAAAUGGUUAAUGCACUUUUGUCAAAAUCUGAUUUAAGUCAAGGAUUUUGGGGUGAAGCCUUGUUAACGGCUUGUCAUAUCCUAAAUAGAGUUCCUAAUAAAAGGAGUUCUAUAACCCCUUAUGAAUUUUGGAAUAAAAGGAAGCCCAACCUAAACUAUUUGAAAGUUUGGGGUUGUAGAGCUAUUGUAAAACUCCCAGAAUCUCAAAAAAGGAAAUUGGGAGAAAGAGGUGUGGAGUGUAUAUUCUUAGGAUAUGCACAAAAUAGCAAAGCAUAUAGGUUCAUGGUAAUUGAACCUAAUGAUUCAAUUUCGGUUAAUACCAUAAUUGAGUCUAGAGAUGCUAUUUUUGAAGAGAAUAGGUUCACCUCUAUAAAAGUUGUUAUUUCAAAAUCAAGUGAAUUGACAAAAGAUGGUGAAAAUGAAACCAUUGAAUUGAGAAGGAGCAAAAGAGCUAGAAAGUCAAAAGACUUCGGUUCGGACUUUUAUAUGUAUCUAGUUGAAGGAACUAGAGAUACAGUGAGCAACCAAAUCUCAUAUUGCUUCAAUAUUGAGGCUGAUCCCAAGACCUAUGAAGAAGCAAUGAACUCACAAGAUGCUCCCUUUUGGAAGGAAGCUAUUAAUGAUGAGAUGGACUCAAUCAUGGGUAAUAAAACCUGGAAAUUAGUAGACUUACCACCUGGUUCAAAACCAAUUGGUUGUAAGUGGAUCUUCAAGAAGAAAAUGAAGAUCGACGGAACUAUUGAUAAGUUCAAGGCCAGGUUGGUUGCCAAAGGGUUCACACAAAAGUAUGGUGUGGACUAUUUUGACACAUAUUCACCAGUAGCUAGAAUUGCUACAAUUAGAGUGCUACUUGCUAUAGCUUCUAUUCAAAAUCUAGUCAUUCACCAAAUGGAUGUUAAAACAGCAUUCUUGAAUGGUGAUUUGGAUGAAGAAGUAUAUAUGGAGCAACCCGAAGGGUUUGUGAUACCUGGUCAAGAGCAUAAGGUGUGUAAACUUAUAAAGUCUUUAUAUGGACUAAAACAAGCACCGAAGCAAUGGCAUCAGAAAUUUGACCAAGUUAUUCUUGCUAGUGGGUUCAAAAUAAAUGAAUCUGAUAAAUGUAUUUAUAGCAAGUUUGAUGAUGGCAAAGGUGUCAUAAUUUGUUUAUAUGUUGAUGACAUGUUGAUUUUUGGGACUGACUUGGAACAAGUUGAAGUCACAAAAACUUUGCUUUCAAGCAAAUUUGACAUGAAAGACAUGGGUGAGGCAGAUGUCAUUCUUGGUAUGAGAAUCUUCAAACAUGAUAACAAUAUAAUGUUGUCUCAAACACAUUAUAUUGAAAAGAUUCUUAACAAAUUCAAUCAAAGUGAUUGUAUUCCAGUCUCAACACCAUUGGAUCCCAAAAUAAAUUUUGUGAAAAAUGAGGGGGAUCCAAAAUCUCAAAUGGAAUAUGCCAAGGUUAUAGGGUGUUUAAUGUAUGCAAUGACUUGUACUAGACCUGAUAUUGCAUAUGCAGUUGGUAUAUUGAGCAGAUAUACAAGCAAUCCUGGUAGGUUACAUUGGCAAGGUGUAACCAGAAUUUUAAAGUAUUUAAAGGCCACUAAGGACUAUGGUAUAUGUUAUACCGGUUAUCCUUCAGUUUUAGAAGGAUUUUCAGAUGCUAGUUGGAUCACCAACUUAUGAAUUUUGGAAUAAAAGGAAGCCCAACCUAAACUAUUUGAAAGUUUGGGGUUGUAGAGCUGUUGUAAAACUCCCAGAACUCAAAAAAGGAAAUUGGGAGAAAGAGGUGUGGAGUGUAUAUUCUUAGGAUAUGCACAAAAUAGCAAAGCAUAUAGGUUCAUGGUAAUUGAACCUAAUGAUUCAAUUUCGGUUAAUACCAUAAUUGAGUCUAGAGAUGCUAUUUUUGAAGAGAAUAGGUUCACCUCUAUAAAAGAUGUUAUUCCAAAAUCAAGUGAAUUGACAAAAGAUGGUGAAAAUGAAACCAUUGAAUUGAGAAGGAGCAAAAGAGCUAGAAAGUCAAAAGACUUCGGUUCGGACUUUUAUAUGUAUCUAGUUGAAGGAACUAGAGAUACAGUGAGCAACCAAAUCUCAUAUUGCUUCAAUAUUGAGGCUGAUCCCAAGACCUAUGAAGAAGCAAUGAACUCACAAGAUGCUCCCUUUUGGAAGGAAGCUAUUAAUGAUGAGAUGGACUCAAUCAUGGGUAAUAAAACCUGGAAAUUAGUAGACUUACCACCUGGUUCAAAACCAAUUGGUUGUAAGUGGAUCUUCAAGAAGAAAAUGAAGAUCGACGGAACUAUUGAUAAGUUCAAGGCCAGGUUGGUUGCCAAAGGGUUCACACAAAAGUAUGGUGUGGACUAUUUUGACACAUAUUCACCAGUAGCUAGAAUUGCUACAAUUAGAGUGCUACUUGCUAUAGCUUCUAUCCAAAAUCUAGUCAUUCACCAAAUGGAUGUUAAAACAGCAUUCUUGAAUGGUGAUUUGGAUGAAGAAGUAUAUAUGGAGCAACCCGAAGGGUUUGUGAUACCUGGUCAAGAGCAUAAGGUGUGUAAACUUGUAAAGUCUUUAUAUGGACUAAAACAAGCACCGAAGCAAUGGCAUCAGAAAUUUGACCAAGUUAUUCUUGCUAGUGGGUUCAAAAUAAAUGAAUCUGAUAAAUGUAUUUAUAGCAAGUUUGAUGAUGGCAAAGGUGUCAUAAUUUGUUUAUAUGUUGAUGACAUGUUGAUUUUUGGGACUGACUUGGAACAAGUUGAAGUCACAAAAACUUUGCUUUCAAGCAAAUUUGACAUGAAAGACAUGGGUGAGGCAGAUGUCAUUCUUGGUAUGAGAAUCUUCAAACAUGAUAACAAUAUAAUGUUGUCUCAAACACAUUAUAUUGAAAAGAUUCUUAACAAAUUCAAUCAAAGUGAUUGUAUUCCAGCCUCAACACCAUUGGAUCCCAAAAUAAAUUUUGUGAAAAAUGAGGGGGAUCCAAAAUCUCAAAUGGAAUAUGCCAAGGUUAUAGGGUGUUUAAUGUAUGCAAUGACUUGUACUAGACCUGAUAUUGCAUAUGCAGUUGGUAUAUUGAGCAGAUAUACAAGCAACCUAGUAGGUUACAUUGGCAAGGUGUAACCAGAAUUUUAAAGUAUUUAAAGGCCACUAAGGACAAUUUAGUGAGAUUGAAAGGCUUCUUAAUCACUUCACACAACACAAUCUACACAUGGAUGAAGCCAUUAUUGUUUGCUCUAUAAUAGAUAAGUUACCACCUUCUUGGAAAGAUUUCAAAAGAGACCUCAAACAUAAGAAAGAGGAUAUCUCUCUUGAGAUUCUUGCUAAAUCUCUUCGAGUAGAAGAGGAAAUUCGCAUGCAAGAAAAGAAGGAUAGUCAAAUCCUUGAAGAGAACAAAGAUUCUACUUCAAAAGUGCAUGUGAUUGAAGAGAGACAAACUGAAAAGUCUCAAGGAAGCAAGAAGGGCCAACAACCCAAGAAUCAGUCCAAGAAAAGAAAGAAUGGACAAUGCUUCUAUUGUAAGAAAGAGGGACACUACAAGUCCGAGUGCAAGAUUCUUCAAAACAAGAAGAAGAAACAAGAGUCUUCCCAAACCACAAGCAAAAAUCUUGUAGCAAUGAUAUCUGAAAUCAAUAUGAUUGAAGAUGAUUUUGCUUGGUGGGUUGAUUCUGGAGCUACGCGACACGUGUGCAACAAUAGAACGUUCUUCAAAUCCAUGAAACCGGUGGAUGAAAACACCGUUGUUUACAUGGAAAAUUCUGCUACAAUUCCGGUUCAAAGCAUUGGAGAAGUAGAAUUAAAAUUUACUUCCGGGAAUGUUGUAACCUUGACAAAUGUGUUUUAUGUACCGGAAGUUAGGAAGAACUUGGUGUCGGUUGGGCUGUUAAAUAAAUUUGGCUUUAGACUUGUGUUUGAGUCUGACAAAUUUAUUUUGUCUAAAGGUGGUAUGUUUGUAGGCAAGGGUUAUCUUUGCAAUGGGAUGUUUAAGUUGAAUGUACUUGCUAUUAGAAAUAAUAAGAGUGAUAUUAUUUCUGCGUACUUGGUUGAGUCUUCUUUUGAAUUGUGGCAUAAUAGGAUUGGUCAUGUUAAUUACAAAAGAAUGCAUGAAAUGAUGAGACUUGAUUUGCUACCAUAUUGUGAUAAGAUUGAAGGAAAAUGCAAAACAUGCAUGCUAACGAAAAUCACAAGAAAUUCGUUUCCUAAAGUUGAAAGAUCAUCUAAAAUCUUGGAUCUCAUUCAUAGUGAUGUAUGUGAUUUGCAUGGUACUCCUACUUUGGGUGGUAAAAAGUACUUUGUGACUUUUAUUGAUGAUUAUAGUAGAUACUGUCAUGUUUUCUUGUUACACUCAAAAGGUGAAACUUUGCAAAAAUUUAAGGCAUACAAAUCAGAAGUUGAACUUCAUUGUGAAUCCUUUAUCAAAUGUCUAAGGACAGAUAGAGGUGGGGAAUAUUAUGAUAUUACCUAUUUUGAGUCUGUUGGGAUAAAACAUGAGGUGACUGCUCCUUACACACCACAACAAAAUGGUGUAGCCGAAAGGAAAAAUCGUGUAUUGACAGAAAUGGUUAAUGCACUUUUGUCAAAAUCUGGUUUAAGUCAAGGAUUUUGGGGUGAAGCCUUGUUAACGGCUUGUCAUAUCCUAAAUAGAGUUCCUAAUAAAAGGAGUUCUAUAACCCCUUAUGAAUUUUGGAAUAAAAGGAAGCCCAACCUAAACUAUUUGAAAGUUUGGGGUUGUAGAGCUGUUGUAAAACUCCCAGAAUCUCAAAAAAGGAAAUUGGGAGAAAGAGGUGUGGAGUGUAUAUUCUUAGGAUAUGCACAAAAUAGCAAAGCAUAUAGAUUCAUGGUAAUUGAACCUAAUGAUUCAAUUUCGGUUAAUACCAUAAUUGAGUCUAGAGAUGCUAUUUUUGAAGAGAAUAGGUUCACCUCUAUAAAAGAUGUUAUUCCAAAAUCAAGUGAAUUGACAAAAGAUGGUGUAUAUGAAACCAUUGAAUUGAGAAGGAGCAAAAGAGCUAGAAAGUCAAAAAACUUCGGUUCGGACUUUUAUAUGUAUCUAGUUGAAGGAACUAGAGAUACAGUGAGCAACCAAAUCUCAUAUUGCUUCAAUAUUGGGGCUGAUCCCAAGACCUAUGAAGAAGUAAUGAACUCACAAGAUGCUCCCUUUUGGAAGGAAGCUAUUAAUGAUGAGAUGGACUCAAUCAUGGGUAAUAAAACCUGGAAAUUAGUAGACUUACCACCUGGUUCAAAACCAAUUGGUUGUAAGUGGAUCUUCAAGAAGAAAAUGAAGAUCGACGGAACUAUUGAUAAGUUCAAGGCCAGGUUGGUUGCCAAAGGGUUCACACAAAAGUAUGGUGUGGACUAUUUUGACACAUAUUCACCAGUAGCUAGAAUUGCUACAAUUAGAGUGCUACUUGCUAUAGAUUCGAUCCAAAAUCUAGUCAUUCACCAAAUGGAUGUUAAAACAGCAUUCUUGAAUGGUGAUUUGGAUGAAGAAGUAUAUAUGGAGCAACCCGAAGGGUUUGUGAUGCCUGGUCAAGAGCAUAAGGUGUGUAAACUUGUAAAGUCUUUAUAUGGACUAAAACAAGCACCGAAGCAAUGGCAUCAGAAAUUUGACCAAGUUAUUCUUGCUAGUGGGUUCAAAAUAAAUGAAUCUGAUAAAUGUAUUUAUAGCAAGUUUGAUGAUGGCAAAGGUGUCAUAAUUUGUUUAUAUGUUGAUGACAUGUUGAUUUUUGGGACUGACUUGGAACAAGUUGAAGUCACAAAAACUUUGCUUUCAAGCAAAUUUGACAUGAAAGACAUGGGUGAGGCAGAUGUCAUUCUUGGUAUGAGAAUCUUCAAACAUGAUAACAAUAUAAUGUUGUCUCAAACACAUUAUAUUGAAAAGAUUCUUAACAAAUUCAAUCAAAGUGAUUGUAUUCCAGCCUCAACACCAUUGGAUCCCAAAAUAAAUUUUGUGAAAAAUGAGGGGGAUCCAAAAUCUCAAAUGGAAUAUGCCAAGGUUAUAGGGUGUUUAAUGUAUGCAAUGACUUGUACUAGACCUGAUAUUGCAUAUGCAGUUGGUAUAUUGAGCAGAUAUACAAGCAACCCUAGUAGGUUACAUUGGCAAGGUGUAACCAGAAUUUUAAAGUAUUUAAAGGCCACUAAGGACUAUGGUAUAUGUUAUACCGGUUAUCCUUCAGUUCUAGAAGGAUUUUCAGAUGCUAGUUGGAUCACCAAUAAAGAUGAUCACUCGUCGACAAGUGGUUGGAUCUUUAUGCUUGGUGGAGGUGCAAUUUCUUGGGGUUCUAAGAAACAGACUUGUAUCACCGAUUCAACAAUGGCAGCAGAGUUUGUAGCACUUGCUUCGGCCUGUAAAGAAGCUGAAUGGCUACGUAAUUUACUUUGUGAUAUACCAUUGUGGCCAACACCUUUGUCGCCUAUCUCAAUCCAUUGUGAUAGUGCAGCUACACUUGCUAAAGCUUAUAGUCAAGUGUAUAAUGGUAAAUCAAGACAUAUCGGUUUGAGACAUAGUUAUGUCAAAGAUUUGAUUACAAAUGGAGUCAUAUCAAUUGACUUUGUGAGAUCAAAUGAAAAUUUAAGUGAUCCUUUGACAAAAGGAUUAUCAAGAAAUUUGGUGUUAAAGACAUCAAGGGGGAUGGGUUUAAAGUCCAAAAUUCUUGAUCACUAAUGGUGGAACCUCAAUUCAACGCUAGAUACAACGUCUAGUCUUGAAUUCAAUGAGUGAAAGUACACCAUUCUAGUGGUUGGUGCACUAUGUGAAGUUUAGACAUCCCAAUGUUGAAUAGUGCAUGUUAUUCUCGCCAGUGCAAAUGUAAGGAUGAGUCAUUGGACUCUUAACGAAUCUUAAAAGUGCUAUCUAUGGCGGGGGCACUAAAAUGUCGCCUAUAUGAAUGUUGGUUUUCGGCAAACCACAAAGUUAAGGACUUUACUUUGUAAACAUUCAUGAAAGGAUAGUGAUACAAGGCCGUAAAAUGUAUCGUUGAAGAACUUAUGGUUGUGCAUUGCUCAGUGUGUGAUGUGUUUAUGAGGUUGGUCCAAUGUCCAAGUGGUUCAAAGCUUGUCUACCAUCUUGAAGGAUUGAUUUCAAAGAACCUUCACUAAGAUAGUGGUUCAAUCGAAAGACACCAUUAUUUAUGCAUAUGAGUGUCAGAUUACUUGGUGACCUUUUAGAAAUCCAUUUUCUAAUUUUGAAAAUGGCGGGGGAUUGUUGGAAACUUUUCAAAAUUUGUAUGAUGUACAUACAUGUAAUUAAUGUAUAUUCAUUAAUUUUUGGUACAUGUAUAGUAUUGUGAAUGAUUCUAAAAUGUACAUUCAUUUAUGAAUGUAUUCAUGUAUAUGGGAAUUAUUGAAUUAAAGGAUAGAUUCAUGUUUUGAUCUAAUGAUCAUGAGAUGCAUGAAUUAAAGUGCAUGAAUGUGUACACAAUACUUUGAAUCUAUUCAUACACAAUACUUUGAAUCUAUUCAUACAAGUGUUUAAUGAGGUCUUUUGUUUCCCAAACAAUCUUCCUAUAUAAAGAGGUCAAGUAGAGAGUGGUUUGCUGCAGAAAAUCACUUUCCUACUAUCCUUACUCUCUCAAAAGCACUCCUUAGUUCACAAAGGGUUUGUCUUGCUUUGUGCAAGAGUUUAAGACAAACAAAACUUCAUCUUAUCCUAAAGGAUAUUUGUCCAAGGUUAUUGCACUUUAUAUCGGACAAAUAAAGCCUAAAGGAAAGUGAUUUCUAUCACGAUUUGAAGCCAAUUCUUGUCACAAUAUUUGCCAAUUCUUUGCUUUUUUUUCCCAACAAUAUUGUUGGAAACUUUUCAAAAUUUGUAUGAUGUACAUACAUGAAAUUAAUGUAUAUUCAUUGAUUUUUGGUAUAUGUAUAGUAUUGUGAAUGUUCCUAAAAUGUACAUUCAUUUAUGAAUGUAUUCAUGUAUAUGGGAAUUAUUGAAUGAAAGGAUAGAUUCAUGUUUUGAUCUAAUGAUCAUGAGAUGCAUGAAUUAAAGUGCAUGAAUGUGUACACAAUACUUUGAAUCUGUUCAUACAAGUGUUUAAUGAGAUCUUUUGUUUCCCAAACAAUCAUCCUAUAUAAAGAGGUCAAGUAGAGAGUGGUUUGCUGCAGAAAAUCACUUUCCUACUAUCAUUACUCUCUCAAAAGCACUCCUUAGUUCACAAAGGGUUUGUCUUGCUUUGUGCAAGAGUUUAAGACAAACAAAACUUCAUCUUAUCCUAAAGGAUAUUUGUCCAAGGUUAUUGCACUUUAUAUCGGACAAAUAAAGCUUAAAAGAAAGUGAUUUCUAUCACGAUUUGAAGCCAAUUCUUGUCACAAUAUUUGCCAAAUUCUUUGCUUUUUACCCAACAAUCUUUAGGCUUUAUUUAUACUAUACAAUGGCCAUACCGAUGAAAGAUUUGGCAUCCAAUAUUGUCAAGCUCGAGAGGUUGAUGGAGGGAAUUUUCAUUCGUUGGCAAAACGUGUUCGUUUCCUUCUCACUGCACUCAAAGUGGUCUAUGUUUUGACCACACCAAAAUCAUUGAUCAAUCCCGAUGAAGAAACUCUUGAAGACAUCCGAAACCGUCAGAAAUGGGAGAACGACGAUGAAAUAUGCCGUGGUCACAUCCUCAAUACCAUGAGUGACAACCUGUUUCGAUGUCUACCAUUCAAUUGCUACCGCCAAGGAACUUUGGGAUCGAUUGGAGUCCAAGUACAUGCAAGAAGAUGCUACAAGUAAGAAGUUUCUUGUCUCGUCUUUUAUAAUUUAUAAAAUGGUUAGAUAAUAAGUCUGUUAUGGAGCAAUUUAGUGAGAUUGAAGGCUUCUGAAUCACUUCAACACACAAUCUACACAUGGAUGAAGCCAUUAUUGUUUGCUCUAUAAUAGAUAAGUUACCACCUUCUUGGAAAGAUUUCAAAAGAGACCUCAAACAUAAGAAAGAGGAUAUCUCUCUUGAGAUUCUUGCUAAAUCUCUUCGAGUAGAAGAGGAAAUUCGCAUGCAAGAAAAGGAUAGUCAAAUCCUUGAAGAGAACAAAGAUUCUACUUCAAAAGUGCAUGUGAUUGAAGAGAGGCAAACUGAAAAGUCUCAAGGAAGCAAGAAGGGCCAACAACCCAAGAAUCAAUCCAAGAAAAGAAAGAAGGGACAAUGCUUCUAUUGCAAGAAAGAGGGACACUACAAGUCCGAGUGCAAGAUUCUUCAAAACAAGAAAAAGAAGCAAGAGACUUCCCAAAACACAAGCAAAAAUCUUGUAGCAAUAAUAUCUGAAAUCAAUAUGAUUGAAGAUGAUUUUGCUUGGUGGGUUGAUUCUGGAGCUACGCGACAUGUGUGCAACAAUAGAACGUUCUUCAAGUCCAUGAAACCGGUGGAUGAAAGCACCGUUGUUUACAUGGGAAAUUCUGCUACAAUUCCGGUUCAAGGCAUUGGAGAAGUAGAAUUAAAAUUUACUUCCGAAAAUGUUGUAACCUUGACAAAUGUGUUUUAUGUACCGGAAGUUAGGAAGAACUUGGUGUCGGCUGGGCUGUUAAAUAAAUUUGGCUUUAGACUUGUGUUUGAGUCUGACAAAUUUAUUUUGUCUAAAGGUGGUAUGUUUGUAGGCAAGGGUUAUCUUUGCAAUGGGAUGUUUAAGUUGAAUGUACUUGCUAUUAGAAAUAAUAAGAGUGAUAUUAUUUCUGCGUAUUUGGUUGAGUCUUCUUUUGAAUUGUGGCAUAAUAGGAUUGGUCAUGUUAAUUACAAAAGAAUGCAUGAAAUGAUGAGACUUGAUUUGCUGCCAUAUUGUGAUAAGAUUGAAGGAAAAUGCAAUACAUGCAUGCUAACGAAAAUCACAAGAAAUUCGUUUUCUAAAGUUGAAAGAUCAUCUAAAAUCUUGGAUCUUAUUCAUAGUGAUGUAUGUGAUUUGCAUGGUACUCCUACUUUGGGUGGUAAAAAGUACUUUGUGACUUUUAUUGAUGAUUAUAGUAGAUACUGUCAUGUUUUCUUGUUAUACUCAAAAGGUGAAGCUUUACAAAAAUUUAAGGCAUACAAAUCAGAAGUUGAACUUCAUUGUGAAUCCUUUAUCAAAUGUCUAAGGACAGAUAGAGGUGGGGAAUAUUAUGAUAUUACCUAUUUUGAGUCUGUUGGGAUAAAACAUGAGGUGACUGCUCCUUACACACCACAACAAAAUGGUGUAGUCGAAAGGAAAAAUCGUGUAUUGACAGAAAUGGUUAAUGCACUUUUGUCAAAAUCUGAUUUAAGUCAAGGAUUUUGGGGUGAAGCCUUGUUAACGGCUUGUCAUAUCCUAAAUAGAGUUCCUAAUAAAAGGAGUUCUAUAACCCCUUAUGAAUUUUGGAAUAAAAGGAAGCCCAACCUAAACUAUUUGAAAGUUUGGGGUUGUAGAGCUAUUGUAAAACUCCCAGAAUCUCAAAAAAGGAAAUUGGGAGAAAGAGGUGUGGAGUGUAUAUUCUUAGGAUAUACACAAAAUAGCAAAGCAUAUAGGUUCAUGGUAAUUGAACCUAAUGAUUCAAUUUCGGUUAAUACCAUAAUUGAGUCUAGAGAUGCUAUUUUUGAAGAGAAUAGGUUCACCUCUAUAAAAGUUGUUAUUUCAAAAUCAAGUGAACUGGCAAAAGAUGGUGAAAAUGAAACCAUUGAAUUGAGAAGGUGCAAAAGAGCUAGAAAGUCAAAAGACUUCGGUUCGGACUUUUAUAUGUAUCUAGUUGAAGGAACUAGAGAUACAGUGAGCAACCAAAUCUCAUAUUGCUUCAAUAUUGAGGCUGAUCCCAAGACCUAUGAAGAAGCAAUGAACUCACAAGAUGCUCCCUUUUGGAAGGAAGCUAUUAAUGAUGAGAUGGACUCAAUCAUGGGUAAUAAAACCUGGAAAUUAGUAGACUUACCACCUGGUUCAAAACCAAUUGGUUGUAAGUGGAUCUUCAAGAAGAAAAUGAAGAUCGACGGAACUAUUGAUAAGUUCAACGCCAGGUUGGUUGCCAAAGGGUUCACACAAAAGUAUGGUGUGGACUAUUUUGACACAUAUUUACCAGUAGCUAGAAUUGCUACAAUUAGAGUGCUACUUGCUAUAGCUUCUAUUCAAAAUCUAGUCAUUCACCAAAUGGAUGUUAAAACAGCAUUCUUGAAUGGUGAUUUGGAUGAAGAAAUAUAUAUGGAGCAACCCGAAGGGUUUGUGAUACCUGGUCAAGAGCAUAAGGUGUGUAAACUUAUAAAGUCUUUAUAUGGACUAAAACAAGUACCGAAGCAAUGGCAUCAGAAAUUUGACCAAGUUAUUCUUGCUAGUGGGUUCAAAAUAAAUGAAUCUGAUAAUGUAUUUAUAGCAAGUUUGAUGAUGGCAAAGGUGUCAUAAUUUGUUUAUAUGUUGAUGACAUGUUGAUUUUUGGGACUGACUUGGAACAAGUUGAAGUCACAAAAACUUUGCUUUCAAGCAAAUUUGACAUGAAAGACAUGGGUGAGGCAGAUGUCAUUCUUGGUAUGAGAAUCUUCAAACAUGAUAACAAUAUAAUGUUGUCUCAAACACAUUAUAUUGAAAAGAUUCUUAACAAAUUCAAUCAAAGUGAUUGUAUUCCAGUCUCAACACCAUUGGAUCCCAAAAUAAAUUUUGUGAAAAAUGAGGGGGAUCCAAAAUCUCAAAUGGAAUAUGCCAAGGUUAUAGGGUGUUUAAUGUAUGCAAUGACUUGUACUAGACCUGAUAUUGCAUAUGCAGUUGGUAUAUUGAGCAGAUAUACAAGCAAUCCUGGUAGGUUACAUUGGCAAGGUGUAACCAGAAUUUUAAAGUAUUUAAAGGCCACUAAGGACUAUGGUAUAUGUUAUACCGGUUAUCCUUCAGUUUUAGAAGGAUUUUCAGAUGCUAGUUGGAUCACCAAUAAAGAUGAUCACUCGUCAACAAGUGGUUGGAUCUUUAUGCUUGGUGGUGGUGCAAUUUCUUGGGGUUCUAAGAAACAGACUUGUAUCACCGAUUCAACAAUGGCAGCAGAGUUUGUAGCACUUGCUUCGGCCUGUAAAGAAGCUGAAUGGCUACGUAAUUUGCUUUGUGAUAUACCAUUAUAGCCAACACCUUUGUCGCCUAUCUCAAUCCAUUGUGAUAGUGCAGCUACACUUGCUAAAGCAUAUAGUCAAGUGUAUAAUGGUAAAUCAAGACAUAUCGGUUUGAGACAUAAUUAUGUCAAAGAUUUGAUUACAAAUGGAGUCAUAUCAAUUGACUUUGUGAGAUCAAAUGAAAAUUUAAGUGAUCCUUUGACAAAAGGAUUAUCAAGAAAUUUGGUGUCAAAGACAUCAAGGGGGAUGGGUUUAAAGUCCAAAAUUCUUGAUCACUAAUAGUGGAACCUCAAUUCAAUGCUAGAUACAACGUCUGGUCCUGAAUUCAAUGAGUGAAAGUACAUCAUUCUAGUGGUUGGUGCACUAUAUUAAGUUUAGUCAUCCCAAUGUUGAAUAGUGCAUGUUAUUCUCGCCAGUGCAAAUGUAAGGAUGAGUCAUUGGACUCUUAACGAAUCUUAAAAGUGCUAUCUAUGGCGGGGGCACUAAGAUGUCGCCUAUAUGAAUGUUGGUUUUCGGCAAACCACAAAGUUAAGGACUUUACUUUGUAAACAUUCAUGAAAGGAUAGUGAUACAAGGCCGUAAAAUGUAUCGUUGAAGAACUUAUGGUUGUGCAUUGCUCAGUGUGUGAUGUGUUUAUGAGGUUGGUCCAAUGUCCAAGUGGUUCAAAGCUUGUCUACCAUCUUGAAGGAUUGAUUUCAAAGAACCUUCACUAAGAUAGUGGUUCAAUCGAAAGACACCAUUAUUUAUGCAUAUGAGUGUCAGAUUACUUGGUGACCUUUUAGAAAUCCAUUUUCUAAAUUUUGAAAAUGGCGGGGGAUUGUUGGAAACUUUUCAAAAUUUGUAUGAUGUACAUACAUGAAAUUAAUGUAUAUUCAUUGAUUUUUGGUAUAUGUAUAGUAUUGUGAAUGUUCCUAAAAUGUACAUUCAUUUAUGAAUGUAUUCAUGUAUAUGGGAAUUAUUGAAUGAAAGGAUAGAUUCAUGUUUUGAUCUAAUGAUCAUAAGAUGCAUGAAUUAAAGUGCAUGAAUGUGUACACAAUACUUUGAAUCUGUUCAUACAAGUGUUUAAUGAGAUCUUUUGUUUCCCAAACAAUCUUCCUAUAUAAAGAGGUCAAGUAGAGAGUGGUUUGCUGCAGAAAAUCACUUUCCUACUAUCCUUACUCUCUCAAAAGCACUCCUUAGUUCACAAAGGGUUUGUCUUGCUUUGUGCAAGAGUAUAAGACAAACAAAACUUCAUCUUAUCCUGAAGGAUAUUUGUCCAAGGUUAUUGCACUUUAUAUCGGACAAAUAAAGCCUAAAGGAAAGUGAUUUCUAUCACGAUUUGAAGCCAAUUCUUGUCACAAUAUUUGCCAAUUCUUUGCUUUUUACCCAACAAUCUUUAGGCUUUAUUUAUACUCUACAAUUCUGGUACCUUGAAAGAUUUGGCAUCCAAUAUUGUCAAGCUCGAGAGGUUUGAUGGAGGGAAUUUCAUUCGUUGGCAAAAACGUGUUCGUUUCCUUCUCACUGCAUUCGAAGUGGUCUAUGUUUUGACCACACCAAAACCAUUGAUCAAUCCCGAUGAAGAAACUCUUGAAGACAUCCGAAACCGUCAGAAAUGGGAGAACGACGAUGAAAUAUGUCGUGGUCACAUCCUCAAUACCAUGAGUGACAACCUGUUCGAUGUCUACCAUUCAAUUGCUACUGCCAAGGAACUUUGGGAUAGAUUGGAGUCCAAGUACAUGCAAGAAGAUGCUACAAGUAAGAAGUUUCUUGUCUCGUCUUUUAAUAAUUAUAAAAUGGUAGAUAAUAAAUCUGUUAUGGAGCAUUUUAGUGAGAUUGAAAGGCUUCUUAAUCACUUCACACAACACAAUCUACACAUGGAUAAAGCCAUUAUUGUUUGCUCUAUAAUAGAUAAGUUACCACCUUCUUGGAAAGAUUUCAAAAGAGACCUCAAACAUAAGAAAGAGGAUAUCUCUCUUGAGAUUCUUGCUAAAUCUCUUCGAGUAGAAGAGGAAACUCGCAUGCAAGAAAAGAAGGAUAGUCAAAUCCUUGAAGAGAACAAAAAUUCUACUUCAAAGGUGCAUGUGAUUGAAGAGAGACAAACUGAAAAGUCUCAAGGAAGCAAGAAGGGCCAACAACCCAAGAAUCAAUCCAAGAAAAGAAAGAAGGGACAAUGCUUCUAUUGCAAGAAAGAGGGACACUACAAGUUCGAGUGGAAGAUUCUUCAAAACAAGAAGAAGAAGCAAGACAAUACUAUACAUGUACCAAAAAUCAAUGAAUAUACAUUAAUUUCAUGUAUGUACAUCAUACAAAUUUUGAAAAGUUUCCAACAAUUCCCCGACACUUUCAAAAUUUAGAAAAUAGAUUUCAAAAAGGUCACCAAUUAAUCUGACACUCAUAUGCAUAAAUAAUGGUGUCUUUCGAUUGAACCACUAUCUUAGUGAAGGUUCUUUGAAAUCAAUCCUUCAAGAUGGUAGACAAGCUUUGAACCAUUUGGACAUUGGACCAACCUCAUAAACCCAUCACACACUGAGCAAUGCACAACCAUAAAUUCUUCAACGAUACAUUUUACGGCCUUGUAUCACUAUCCUUUCAUGAAUGUUUACAAAGUAAAGUCCUUAACUUUGUGGUUUGCCGAAAACCAAUAAUUCCCAUAUACAUGAAUACAUUCAUAAAUGAAUGUACAUUUUAGAAACAUUCACAAUACUAUACAUGUACCAAAAAUUAAUGAAUUUACAUUAAUUACAUGUAUGUACAUCAUACAAAUUUUGAAAAGUUUCCAACAAUCCCCCGCCAUUUUCAAAAUUAGAAAAUGAAUUUCUAAAAGGUCACCAAGUAAUCUGACACUCAUAUGCAUAAAUAAUGGUGUCUUUCGAUUGAACCACUAUUUUAGUGAAGGUUCUUUGAAAUCAAUCCUUCAAGAUGGUAGACAAGUUUUGAACCACUUGGACAUUGGACCAAUCUCAUAAACACAUCACACACUGAGCAUUUGUCCGAUAUAAAGUGCAAUACCUUGGACAAAUAUCCUUCAGGAUAAGAUGAAGUUUUGUUUGUCUUAUACUCUUGCACAAAGCAAGACAAACCCUUUGUGAACUAAGGAGUGCUUUUGAGAGAGUAAGGAUAGUAGGAAAGUGAUUUUCUGCAGCAAACCACUCUCUACUUGACCUCUUUAUAUAGGAAGAUUGUUUGGGAAACAAAAGAUCUCAUUAAACACUUGUAUGAACAGAUUCAAAGUAUUGUGUACACAUUCAUGCACUUUAAUUCAUGCAUCUCAUGAUCAUUAGAUCAAAACAUGAAUCUAUCCUUUCAUUCAAUAAUUCCCAUAUACAUGAAUACAUUCAUAAAUGAAUGUACAUUUUAGGAACAUUCACAAUACUAUACAUAUACCAAAAAUCAAUAAAUAUACAUUAAUUUCAUGUAUGUACAUCAUACAAAUUUUGAAAAGUUUCCAACAAUCCCCCGCCAUUUUCAAAAUUUAGAAAAUGGAUUUCUAAAAUGAAUGUAUUCAUGUAUAUGGGAAUUAUUGAAUGAAAGGAUAGAUUCAUGUUUUGAUCUAAUGAUCAUGAGAUGCAUGAAUUAAAGUGCAUGAAUGUGUACACAAUACUUUGAAUCUAUUCAUACACAAUACUUUGAAUCUGUUCAUACAAGUGUUUAAUGAAAUCCUUUGUUUCCCAAACAAUCAUCCUAUAUAAAGAGGUCAAGUAGAGAGUGGUUUGCUGCAGAAAAUCACUUUCCUACUAUCAUUACUCUCUCAAAAGCACUCCUUAGUUCACAAAGGGUUUGUCUUGCUUUGUGCAAGAGUUUAAGACAAACAAAACUUCAUCUUAUCCUAAAGGAUAUUUGUCCAAGGUUAUUGCACUUUAUAUCGGACAAAUAAAGCUUAAAAGAAAGUGAUUUCUAUCACGAUUUGAAGCCAAUUCUUGUCACAAUAUUUGCCAAUUCUUUGUUUUUUACCCAACAAUCUUUAGGCUUUAUUUAUACUCUACAAUGGCCGGUACCUUGAAAGAUUUGGCAUCCAAUAUUGUCAAGCUCGAGAGGUUUGAUGGAGGGAAUUUCAUUCGUUGGCAAAAACGUGUUCGUUUCCUUCUCACUGCACUCAAAGUGGUCUAUGUUUUGACCACACCAAAACCAUUGAUCAAUCCCGAUGAAGAAACUCUUGAAGACAUCCGAAACCGUCAGAAAUGGGAGAACGACGAUGAAAUAUGCCGUGGUCACAUCCUCAAUACCAUGAGUGACAACCUGUUCGAUGUCUACCAUUCAAUUGCUACCGCCAAGGAACUUUGGGAUCGAUUGGAGUCCAAGUACAUGCAAGAAGAUGCUACAAGUAAGAAGUUUCUUGUCUCGUCUUUUAAUAAUUAUAAAAUGGUAGAUAAUAAGUCUGUUAUGGAGCAAUUUAGUGAGAUUGAAAGGCUUCUUAAUCACUUCACACAACACAAUCUACACAUGGAUGAAGCCAUUAUUGUUUGCUCUAUAAUAGAUAAGUUACCACCUUCUUGGAAAGAUUUCAAAAGAGACCUCAAACAUAAGAAAGAGGAUAUCUCUCUUGAGAUUCUUGCUAAAUCUCUUCGAGUAGAAGAGGAAAUUCGCAUGCAAGAAAAGAAGGAUAGUCAAAUCCUUGAAGAGAACAAAGAUUCUACUUCAAAAGUGCAUGUGAUUGAAGAGAGGCAAACUGAAAAGUCUCAAGGAAGCAAGAAGGGCCAACAACCCAAGAAUCAAUCCAAGAAAAGAAAGAAGGGACAAUGCUUCUAUUGCAAGAAAGAGGGACACUACAAGUCCGAGUGCAAGAUUCUUCAAAACAAGAAGAAGAAGCAAGAGUCUUCCCAAAACACAAGCAAAAAUCUUGUAGCAAUGAUAUCUGAAAUCAAUAUGAUUGAAGAUGAUUUUGCUUGGUGGGUUGAUUCUGGAGCUACGCGACACGUGUGCAACAAUAGAACGUUCUUCAAGUCCAUGAAACCGGUGGAUGAAAGCACCGUUGUUUACAUGGGAAAUUCUGCUACAAUUCCGGUUCAAGGCAUUGGAGAAGUAGAAUUAAAAUUUACUUCCGGAAAUGUUGUAACCUUGACAAAUGUGUUUUAUGUACCGGAAGUUAGGAAGAACUUGGUGUCGGCUGGGCUGUUAAAUAAAUUUGGCUUUAGACUUGUGUUUGAGUCUGACAAAUUUAUUUUGUCUAAAGGUGGUAUGUUUGUAGGCAAGGGUUAUCUUUGCAAUGGGAUGUUUAAGUUGAAUGUACUUGCUAUUAGAAAUAAUAAGAGUGAUAUUAUUUCUGCGUAUUUGGUUGAGUCUUCUUUUGAAUUGUGGCAUAAUAGGAUUGGUCAUGUUAAUUACAAAAGAAUGCAUGAAAUGAUGAGACUUGAUUUGCUGCCAUAUUGUGAUAAGAUUGAAGGAAAAUGCAAUACAUGCAUGCUAACGAAAAUCACAAGAAAUUCGUUUCCUAAAGUUGAAAGAUCAUCUAAAAUCUUGGAUCUUAUUCAUAGUGAUGUAUGUGAUUUGCAUGGUACUCCUACUUUGGGUGGUAAAAAGUACUUUGUGACUUUUAUUGAUGAUUAUAGUAGAUACUGUCAUGUUUUCUUGUUACACUCAAAAGGUGAAGCUUUGCAAAAAUUUAAGGCAUACAAAUCAGAAGUUGAACUUCAUUGUGAAUCCUUUAUCAAAUGUCUAAGGACAGAUAGAGGUGGGGAAUAUUAUGAUAUUACCUAUUUUGAGUCUGUUGGGAUAAAACAUGAGGUGACUGCUCCUUACACACCACAACAAAAUGGUGUAGCCGAAAGGAAAAAUCGUGUAUUGACAGAAAUGGUUAAUGCACUUUUGUCAAAAUCUGGUUUAAGUCAAGGAUUUUGGGGUGAAGCCUUGUUAACGGCUUGUCAUAUCCUAAAUAGAGUUCCUAAUAAAAGGAGUUCUAUAACCCCUUAUGAAUUUUGGAAUAAAAGGAAGCCCAACCUAAACUAUUUGAAAGUUUGGGGUUGUAGAGCUGUUGUAAAACUCCCAGAACCUCAAAAAAGGAAAUUGGGAGAAAGAGGUGUGGAGUGUAUAUUCUUAGGAUAUGCACAAAAUAGCAAAGCAUAUAGGUUCAUGGUAAUUGAACCUAAUGAUUCAAUUUCGGUUAAUACCAUAAUUGAGUCUAGAGAUGCUAUUUUUGAAGAGAAUAGGUUCACCUCUAUAAAAGAUGUUAUUCCAAAAUCAAGUGAAUUGACAAAAGAUGGUGAAAAUGAAACCAUUGAAUUGAGAAGGAGCAAAAGAGCUAGAAAGUCAAAAGACUUCGGUUCGGACUUUUAUAUGUAUCUAGUUGAAGGAACUAGAGAUACAGUGAGCAACCAAAUCUCAUAUUGCUUCAAUAUUGAGGCUGAUCCCAAGACCUAUGAAGAAGCAAUGAACUCACAAGAUGCUCCCUUUUGGAAGGAAGCUAUUAAUGAUGAGAUGGACUCAAUCAUGGGUAAUAAAACCUGGAAAUUAGUAGACUUACCACCUGGUUCAAAACCAAUUGGUUGUAAGUGGAUCUUCAAGAAGAAAAUGAAGAUCGACGGAACUAUUGAUAAGUUCAAGGCCAGGUUGGUUGCCAAAGGGUUCACACAAAAGUAUGGUGUGGACUAUUUUGACACAUAUUCACCAGUAGCUAGAAUUGCUACAAUUAGAGUGCUACUUGCUAUAGCUUCUAUCCAAAAUCUAGUCAUUCACCAAAUGGAUGUUAAAACAGCAUUCUUGAAUGGUGAUUUGGAUGAAGAAGUAUAUAUGGAGCAACCCGAAGGGUUUGUGAUACCUGGUCAAGAGCAUAAGGUGUGUAAACUUGUAAAGUCUUUAUAUGGACUAAAACAAGCACCGAAGCAAUGGCAUCAGAAAUUUGACCAAGUUAUUCUUGCUAGUGGGUUCAAAAUAAAUGAAUCUGAUAAAUGUAUUUAUAGCAAGUUUGAUGAUGGCAAAGGUGUCAUAAUUUGUUUAUAUGUUGAUGACAUGUUGAUUUUUGGGACUGACUUGGAACAAGUUGAAGUCACAAAAACUUUGCUUUCAAGCAAAUUUGACAUGAAAGACAUGGGUGAGGCAGAUGUCAUUCUUGGUAUGAGAAUCUUCAAACAUGAUAACAAUAUAAUGUUGUCUCAAACACAUUAUAUUGAAAAGAUUCUUAACAAAUUCAAUCAAAGUGAUUGUAUUCCAGCCUCAACACCAUUGGAUCCCAAAAUAAAUUUUGUGAAAAAUGAGGGGGAUCCAAAAUCUCAAAUGGAAUAUGCCAAGGUUAUAGGGUGUUUAAUGUAUGCAAUGACUUGUACUAGACCUGAUAUUGCAUAUGCAGUUGGUAUAUUGAGCAGAUAUACAAGCAAUCCUAGUAGGUUACAUUGGCAAGGUGUAACCAGAAUUUUAAAGUAUUUAAAGGCCACUAAGGACUAUGGUAUAUGUUAUACCGGUUAUCCUUCAGUUUUAGAAGGAUUUUCAGAUGCUAGUUGGAUCACCAAUAAAGAUGAUCACUCGUCGACAAGUGGUUGGAUCUUUAUGCUUGGUGGAGGUGCAAUUUCUUGGGGUUCUAAGAAACAGACUUGUAUCACCGAUUCAACAAUGGCAGCAGAGUUUGUAGCACUUGCUUCGGCCUGUAAAGAAGCUGAAUGGCUACGUAAUUUACUUUGUGAUAUACCAUUGUGGCCAACACCUUUGUCGCCUAUCUCAAUCCAUUGUGAUAGUGCAGCUACACUUGCUAAAGCAUAUAGUCAAGUGUAUAAUGGUAAAUCAAGACAUAUCGGUUUGAGACAUAGUUAUGUCAAAGAUUUGAUUACAAAUGGAGUCAUAUCAAUUGACUUUGUGAGAUCAAAUGAAAAUUUAAGUGAUCCUUUGACAAAAGGAUUAUCAAGAAAUUUGGUGUCAAAGACAUCAAGGGGGAUGGGUUUAAAGUCCAAAAUUCUUGAUCACUAAUGGUGGAACCUCAAUUCAACGCUAGAUACAACGUCUGGUCCUGAAUUCAAUGAGUGAAAGUACAUCAUUCUAGUGGUUGGUGCACUAUGUGAAGUUUAGUCAUCCCAAUGUUGAAUAGUGCAUGUUAUUCUCGCCAGUGCAAAUGUAAGGAUGAGUCAUUGGACUCUUAACGAAUCUUAAAAGUGCUAUCUAUGGCGGGGGCACUAAGAUGUCGCCUAUAUGAAUGUUGGUUUUCGGCAAACCACAAAGUUAAGGACUUUACUUUGUAAACAUUCAUGAAAGGAUAGUGAUACAAGGCCGUAAAAUGUAUCGUUGAAGAACUUAUGGUUGUGCAUUGCUCAGUGUGUGAUGUGUUUAUGAGGUUGGUCCAAUGUCCAAGUGGUUCAAAGCUUGUCUACCAUCUUGAAGGAUUGAUUUCAAAGAACCUUCACUAAGAUAGUGGUUCAAUCGAAAGACACCAUUAUUUAUGCAUAUGAGUGUCAGAUUACUUGGUGACCUUUUAGAAAUCCAUUUUCUAAAUUUUGAAAAUGGCGGGGGAUUGUUGGAAACUUUUCAAAAUUUGUAUGAUGUACAUACAUGAAAUUAAUGUAUAUUCAUUGAUUUUUGGUAUAUGUAUAGUAUUGUGAAUGUUCCUAAAAUGUACAUUCAUUUAUGAAUGUAUUCAUGUAUAUGGGAAUUAUUGAAUGAAAGGAUAGAUUCAUGUUUUGAUCUAAUGAUCAUGAGAUGCAUGAAUUAAAGUGCAUGAAUGUGUACACAAUACUUUGAAUCUGUUCAUACAAGUGUUUAAUGAGAUCUUUUGUUUCCCAAACAAUCAUCCUAUAUAAAGAGGUCAAGUAGAGAGUGGUUUGCUGCAGAAAAUCACUUUCCUACUAUCAUUACUCUCUCAAAAGCACUCCUUAGUUCACAAAGGGUUUGUCUUGCUUUGUGCAAGAGUUUAAGACAAACAAAACUUCAUCUUAUCCUAAAGGAUAUUUGUCCAAGGUUAUUGCACUUUAUAUCGGACAAAUAAAGCUUAAAAGAAAGUGAUUUCUAUCACGAUUUGAAGCCAAUUCUUGUCACAAUAUUUGCCAAUGUGUACACAAUACUUUGAAUCUGUUCAUACAAGUGUUUAAUGAGAUCUUUUGUUUCCCAAACAAUCUUCCUAUAUAAAGAGGUCAAGUAGAGAGUGGUUUGCUGCAGAAAAUCACUUUCCUACUAUCCAUUACUCUCUCAAAAGCACUCCUUAGUUCACAAAGGGUUUGUCUUGCUUUGUGCAAGAGUUUAAGACAAACAAAACUUUAUCUUAUCCUGAAGGAUAUUUGUCCAAGGUAUUGCACUUUAUAUCGGACAAAUAAAGCCUAAAGGAAAGUAUAUGGGAAUUAUUGAAUGAAAGGAUAGAUUCAUGUUUUGAUCUAAUGAUCAUGAGAUGCAUGAAUUAAAGUGCAUGAAUGUGUACACAAUAAUUUGAAUAUGUUCAUACAAGUGUUUAAUGAGAUCUUUUGUUUCCCAAACAAUCUUCCUAUAUAAAGAGGUCAAGUAGAGAGUGGUUUGCUGUAGAAAAUCACUUUCCUACUAUCCUUACUCUCUCAAAAGCACUCCUUAGUUCACAAAGGGUUUGUCUUGCUUUGUGCAAGAGUAUAAGACAAACAAAACUUCAUCUUAUCCUGAAGGAUAUUUGUCCAAGGUAUUGCACUUUAUAUCGGACAAAUAAAGCCUAAAGGAAAGUAUAUGGGAAUUAUUGAAUGAAAGGAAGCAAAGAAUUGGCAAAUAUUGUGACAAGAAUUGGCUUCAAAUCGUGAUAGAAAUCACUUUCCUUUAGGCUUUAUUUGUCCGAUAUAAAGUGCAAUAACCUUGGACAAAUAUCCUUUAGGAUAAGAUGAAGUUUUGUUUGUCUUAAACUCUUGCACAAAGCAAGACAAACCCUUUGUGAACUAAGGAGUGCUUUUGAGAGAGUAAUGAUAGUAGGAAAGUGAUUUUCUGCAGCAAACCACUCUCUACUUGACCUCUUUAUAUAGGAAGAUUGUUUGGGAAACAAAGGAUCUCAUUAAACACUUGUAUGAACAGAUUCAAAGUAUUGUGUAUGAAUAGAUUCAAAGUAUUGUGUACACAUUCAUGCACUUUAAUUCAUGCAUCUCAUGAUCAUUAGAUCAAAACAUGAAUCUAUCCUUUCAUUCAAUAAUUCCCAUAUACAUGAAUACAUUCAUAUUUUGAAGCAGAGCAUCUUGAUAGGAGGGAUUACUAUGAAGCAUAUAACGGGUGAUAAGCAUGGUUCAAAGUCAUGGUCGCGGCUCGGACCGUUCCACAUCAGUCUCGGCAUAUCGGUCACGGUCACGGUCUCGGUGAGAUGCAAAUUUUGAAGUAUUUAAUAUUCUAAAAAUUAUAAACAAUAUUCAAAAAUAUGCUAAACAAAAAUAAUUAAAAAAUUAGUAAAAUAAAAUCUGUAAAAUAUAAAUUUGCAAGCUGACUCGGGCAGAUCCGGCCGAGACUAUCCGUAUCAGAGACUUCUCAAUCGAGUUCUCGACGAGUCAAAUAUCUCGGAAUCAUCUCGUCUUGGUAUCAUAUCGGAGGGGUCGUUUCACUAACGACUCGGCCGAGUCGUCUCGGUCUCAGCUGAGACUUUGAACCAUGCUUGUGGGUGAUAAGUGGUAUAGAUGGGUUGCCUGUGCUGAUGAUUAUCAUUCAUCGGAAUUAAUUGGAGAAUAUCUUCAAGAGAAGGCAGAUUUGAAGACUAUUGCUGAUAUUAAAGCAGAAGUGAAGCAAAUAACUUCACGGCUUAUUGACAAUCUUACCAAGGAAAUACAAGAUAACAGCAGGUCCCUCAGGGUUUGUGAGCGUAAAUACAAUGAAAGUAUUAUACUGUCAUUCGAUUUGAUGACUUGAAAGGAUGAGAUGGAUCGAUUCCAUAAUGAAGGUGUGUACUCAUUCCUCACAUCCAGAGAAUGAUAUCUUUAGUUGUUAAAUGAUUUGAUGCAGUGUUUUUUGCUUUCACUCUUUUCACAAGUGACAAUAUCUGCAUUGAUUUUCCCUCACUUCUUCCAUUUCACAUGAAUCAGAGAUAGAAAGAUGCUGGAUAGCAUGCCAAUCAGUUGAAAAGGUAUCUUCAGAGGAUGCAGCUAGAGGCAUGGAAACAAAAGCUGAUUGAGCGUAAGAAAGAAUUGGAGAAAUGGGAGGCUCAGAAUGAAAUAGAGAGGCAAAAACUUGAACUACAGAACAAAGUGGUACAUAUCUGAACAUACCAUUGAACGUAUGCAAUACUAGAAUAUGGAACUGCAAGCAGAAAAAGAGAGCAACAAUCAACAGAGGAAUAGCAUUCCAGCAGUUGAAAUAUAAACCACUCAAAUCAAAAGCUAAAAGAUUUCGCAACCUAAUGAAAUUGUUAGCCUUGUUUUGUUGUUUGAUAGAUGAAACUUGAUACUCCUGUACCCUUCAUCUUUUGAGUUAUUCAACAAGGAUAUAUGUUAUGUUCCAGUUGCUGAACAGUUUCUGUAGUUAAGCGGUUCCCAUAUCUAUGAACUUCUGUCAAAACUGGUAAUCAAUUUAGAAAACAGAUAUUUGUCUGCUGUGUCAUGAUAUGCGACUAAACUAGCUGGAAAAUGUGAAGAGAGCUGCACGUUUGUUCAAUAACUACUUGUAAAACUGAAAGAGUCUCCUAUAUGUUUUAGGUCAUUUGUAAUUCACACAAGCUGAAGUCCUUUGAGACGUGAUUGGACCAUUGUCUCCUCGAUUCUUGAUUUACUGACUAGCAAAUCAUUGGUAAAGCUGCUGCAGCAAGUCUAUAAUCUUAAAUUACCUGAGACAACUUCAUUUUAACACUUACACUUUUUAGUUGAAGUCUUCGUAGUAGAUGUUGUCAAAGAAUAAACAAGAUUUGUUCAUUCAGACUGAUUGACGAAUUUAAUCCUUUAAUAUGCCCCAAGCUUGCAUCAAAACUAUGUUAGACAAGUUUGCCUUAAUACAGUCGUAAAUUUCUCCUCUGAUGGAAUGCUGAUCUCAUAUUAAACUAAAGCACAUUAUAUGGUUGAUCAAAUACAACUCAAGUCUUGACAUUUAACUCAUUAUAAUCUCGCCUUGGAAUAGAUUAAGAAGAUAUUAAAUGCCUUUCACUUCCUUGUACCGGAUCAAAUCCUCAAUAUUCCACCUUCACUCCAAAAAGCCAACAGGAUCAAGUUCUUGGUGAGGGAUCAAUUGUGAUGUGACAACAGUCUUAAAAACAGAACCAGGUGGUGGAAGUUUACAUUGUUAGUUUGCAGAUGACGGAAAUGCUAUAAUCUGCUGGUCCUUGAAAGACUUCCCAUGUCUUUGGCUUUCUGGCGGAGAACAAAUUUUUGUAUUUUUCCUGUUGAAGUUUUUGGCAAUUCCCCAAAAACAACAGUUCGUGGAGCCAUAUAAUGUGGCAAAUGAUCACGGCAAUACUUGAUAAUUUCAUCUGCAUUUGCAUUACAAUCAUCCUUCAAUUUGACAAAUGCACAAGGUGUUUCACCCCAAUAAUCAUCUGGUCUUCCAACAACUGCAGCUUCCAGAACUGCGGGAUGGCUAUAAAUCACUGAUUCCACCUCAAUCGAGCUAAUAUUCUCCCCUCCUGAGAUGAUAAUGUCUUUGGAUCGAUCUUUUAAUUCUAUGUAUCCAUCAGGGUGUCUCACCCCCACGUCCCCACUUCGAAACCAUCCACCUUUAAAAGCAUCAGCUGUUGCUUUACUAUCCUUAAAGUAUCCAUUCAUGAUGGUGUUGCCUCUGAACAUCACCUCACCCCUUGUUUUUGUGUCCGGUGGUACGCUUUGCAUUGUUUCUGGAUCUUUGAUAUCGAGUUCUUCCAUGCCAAGGUGGUGCAACCCUUGACGAGCCUUGACCUUGGCCUUUGCAUCAGGUGGUAGUGAAUUCCACUCAGGUUUCCAAGUGCAAACUGUUCCAGGAUCCUAUGUUUCGGUCAAGCCAUAGGAAUGAGUAACAUUGAAUCCCAGCUCCUCCAUCUUAAAAAGUACAUGAGGAGGAGGGGGGCAGCGCCUGUCAUCACUAUCACUUUUCCUAGAAGCAGUCUCCGAUCAACAGACGGUGCAUUAAUUAUCAUAUUUAAUACUGUAGGUGCACCACCCAUGUGGCUCACUUGGUGCUUAGCUAUGCACUCAAAAAUCCCUUUUGCAGUUACAUUUCUUAGACAAACAUUUGUGCCGCCCUGUGCUGCAACAGCCCAAGUAAGGCACCAGCCAUUGCUAUGGAACAUCGGAACAGUCCACAAAUAAACAGGCAUGGAUGGCAUUUCGUUUAAAAGAGCAGCAGCCAGAGAAUUGAGGUAGGCUCCUCUGUGACUGUAGACAACACCUUUGGGGCUUGAUGUUGUACCUGAAGUGUAAUUCAAAGCAAUAGGAUCCCACUCAUCAUGUGGCCUUAUAACCUCAAAGUCUGGUCUUCCUGAUGCCAAGAAAGAUUCGUACUCUAAAUUGUCAUUAUUGAAAUACAUGUCACUAACCCUGGAAGAUGAGCUAGCUUGGUCGGGAAUCACAACUAAUUUAGGCGUCUUGCUGCUUGUCUUUAGUAGAAUUCCUAAUGCCCCUUUUGCAAUAUGAAGUAACUGAUAAUCAACAAAAAUGACUUUUGCACCUGAGUGUUUUAGCAAUGUCGACACCAUUGCUGAAUCAUGACGUAUAUUGAGAGUACAGAGAACUGCUCCUGCCAUUGGAACUCCAAAGUGCAGCUCGUAGAUUGCAGGAAUAUUUGGGGCGAGGACAGCGACCUACACAUGUAAUCAAAAGCUUAAAUACAAGGUAUCAGAAGAGACACAUCACAUCAGGUGGUUUAGACAAGAGAACACAGUCUUCUGUUGCAUAUGCACGCAAACUGUUUGACUUGUAAUCCAUGAAAUACAGGGAAAUCUAUGAAAGGAAAGAAAAGUUUUAAGGUUCUGAGGUAGUUCAUGUUUUCAGCUAUACUUGACGAGUUCUAGUGUGCUCUGUGUAUAACUUGACAAUAUUUUAGGGAGAAAUGUGGAGGAGUCCAUUCAAUAGGCCAUGGACAAGUUGGAUUCAAAGUUUCAAACUUUUCAUAAAGCUCAAGCCCUCAGGUCUAGCUAAUUCAGUGUACCUAUAUCUUAGGAAACUCAACCUUACUUUCAAAUUUAAGCAUGUGACAAGACUUGAUUUAGAAGAUCUUCUAGGCACUCAAUGUUCUAUAUCAAAACGUUUACUUUUAGCCUCAUCACAAACCAGCAGAAAUAUUUUCAGCCAGCAGAAGUAUUACUUCCAGCUCAUCAAGUCCUCUAUCAGAAGUAUCAUUAACCAGCAGAUGGAAUUUCUGGUAUACUUAUCAAGAAAGGAACCUCAUCAUUGUACCAUAACUGAACAGCAAGACAUAGCUAGACUGCAGGAUUCAAAGAACUUUGCCAAAACAUUCCAAUGGUUAAAGCACACAGAUAUUAGCACCAGAGAUGCUUUGAUAGGGUACAAUUUGUUAGUAAUUUUAUUAUUAAUUUUCCCUUUUAUCCCUGAUAAAUAUUGUGUUAAUUGCUGAUAUUUACUCAUAUUUGGUAUCUGGACUUAAUUUCAGGAAUGAAGCAGAAAACUACCAAAAAGGAGGGAUUUUAUGAAAAAUAUGGAGACUUCUAAGGGCUUCAAUUCUUGGGCCCUUGAAUUGGUGGGGACCACAAGCUAAUGAAAGGCAUUGAGUCAUUUGGGCUCUUCAAAGAAAGUUACGUAGAAAGACUUGGAACAAGAAGUACUUUGGAGGCUUUGUCCACAUGUGUGGGGACCACCUAGAUAGCCCUUAGUCAUCUUUCUUUUGUUGGUUAAAUAGGGAUAACGUAGAGAGCAGAUCCUCUGUCCAAUAUUUUGUGUCCAAUUUCCUGUCCAAUGUGAAACUACGUAGUUUCACUUAUUAUAUCUGCUGAUGUGACAACUAAAAAUAGGUGGCUGUUUGGCUGCCUUAUACUUUUUUUUCUUUUUUCUUUUUUGGGUUUCUUUUGUUUACACAACAAAUUCCCAUCUUUUUUAAAUAUUCUUUUGUAUUUGAAAUCUUUAAUACUUUGUUUUAAAAAAAUGAGAAUUGCAACAAAGUUAUGUAAACAAAGGAAACCCAAAAAAGAAGAAAGAAAAGAAGUAGAAGGCAGUCAAACAGCCACCUAUUUUUAGUUGUCACAUCAGCAGAUAUAAUAAGUGAAACUACGUAGUUUUACAUUGGACAGGAAAUUGGACACAAAAUAUUGGACAGAGGAUCUGCUCUAACGUAGGGGAGGAAAGGGACAUCUCUAGUUUUUAGUCUUUUAGGGUAGCUUUAGUUUUUCUUUCUUCUGACUGGCUUCUGACACACGCCAGGUGUUCGACAAAAUUCCCCAACGGGAAAAACAUCUUUUAUUCCUUGCUUUCUAGUAAAAAAACGCUAUGCCUUUGCAAUCCAUUAAUUCGUGUGAUGAUUUAAUUAUGCGGCGUGGCUAAGUCUUCCAUCUAGUCAAGGGUCAACUCGACGGCGCAGUCCCGAAAAUCUGUGAAAUCUAAUUAGUUUUCACGCGUUCCUUAAUUUAUUAAUAUUUGCACGUUGUCUGCUUGAAUUUUCAUGGGAUUAUUUUAUUAAUUGGAUGUCAAGGGCCCGAUGUUCAAUGUGAUUUAUUAAUCUCGUGCCAAUUUAGUCAAUUAAAUCCGUAAUUGUUUGAUUGAUUAAUAUUAGUGGCAACUGGUGUAUUUACACAUUAGGGGAACGUGCGAUCUAAUUUAAAUAACCCUCGUAGCGUGUUAUUGAUUAGGGCUAGGUUUUUCUGGUUAUUAAUGCAAUUGGAAAAUUAAUUCCUACGGUCGUAUCUAGGAGUACUUCUCUGGUUAGGGGUGAUCAAUGGUCGUACCUUGGUCAUCUAUAAAUUAAGGAAAAAUUGGUCAUUAGAGUUCAUCGAUGGCUAUAACUAGCCUAUUUAUAAAUUAAGUGAACCUCUCUUGCAUCAAUGAUCGGAUAAAUGGACUGUGCCUGAGUAGUUGUAUCCUUGGCUAGAAUUUAUUUAUUCUUGAUUUAAUUCCUGCUUUACUUGUGCUAGUUAUUUAUUUAUUCUUAGUUGAAUUGUUUAAUUGUUUUUUUAGUUUUACUCCAGUGAAAUCCCCCCUUACCAAUUGAAAUUUAAAAGAGACGAAUAUCUCCAGUCCCUGAGGAGACGACCCUACUUGCCACUGUCUACUAUUUAGUAAUCUUUGUCAACUAAUUGAUUCUGGUAUAUCGGAUUAAGCAAACUCUUCGGGAACAUGGUGAAUCAAGUAACCCAUUGCAUACCUAGAGUCCCUGCUCCAGUACCUAGGAUUAAUUAUUGGCUGCUUUUAGUGGUAGUUAGGUUCUAUAUUUAUUAUUGCACAGGUUCGGCACCUGUCAAUUUUUGGCGCCGUUGCCGGGGACUGGCGUUAUUAUUUGUUUCUUUUUAAAUUCAUUUUUUGUCCUAAUUUUCUGGUUUUCUUCUAGUGUAUGUCUCGAUCUUCUCGUACAAGUGAUUUGAUUUUUGACCCUGAGAUAGAGAAGACCGCGCGUAGAACGAGAAAGGAAACCAGACAGCUCAGAGAAGAGCACUCCAGUGCUACAUCUCAGAGACCCGAGUCAGAAGUUGAACCAACAGAUUCGUUUGGUAACACUUCGAGUGACUCUGACCAGGAGGAAGGCACCAUGGCUAAUGCACGAACAUUAAGGGAGUUGGCUGCUCCUGAUUUAACUCAACAGCCUUUAUGCAUUACUUUCCCGAGUUUGAGUGAUAACACUUCAUUUGAAUUGAAAUCAGGUCUAAUUCAUCUUUUACCUUCUUUUCAUGGCUUACCAGGUGAGGAGCCGUAUAAGCAUCUGCAGGAGUUUGAUGUCGUGUGCAAUAGUAUGAAACCCCCGGGAAUCACAGAAGAGCAGAUAAAAAUGAGGGCGUUCCCCUUCUCCUUGAAAGAUUCUGCGAAGGACUGGCUGUACUACCUGUCACCAGGUAGCAUCACCACGUGGGACCAAUUGAAGAAAAAAAUUUUGGAUAAAUAUUUUCCUGCGUCCAAGGCUGCAAGUCUAAGGAAAGAAAUUUGUGGGAUCAAGCAGCAUCCAGGGGAGUCAAUCUAUGAGUAUUGGGAACGGUUCAAGAACUUGUUGCACAGGUGCCCCCAACACCAAAUAAGUGAGCAGUUGAUCAUACAGUAUUUUUAUGAGGGGCUCCUUUUCAGAGACAGGAGCAUAAUUGAUGCUGCAAGUGGAGGGGCGCUGGUGAACAAAACCCCUCAGGAAGCACGGGAGCUAAUAGAGGGGAUGGCAGAAAAUUCACAACAAUUUGGUACGAGAAAGGAUAUUCCAAUACGCAGGGUGAAUGAGGUAGAGACACCCUCUAUGCAGCAGCAGCAAACUGAGUUGACCGCGUUUGUUAGGCAACUGGCUAUGAGAAAUGCAUCACAAGCCAGGGUAUGCGGGAUUUGCACUGGUAUAGGUCACUCUGCAGACAUGUGCCCAAUGAUUCAGGAAGAAACUGUGGAGCAAGUGAACAUGGCUGGUUACGCGCCCGCGCCAAGGAAUCAAUAUGACCCAUAUUCGAACACCUACAAUCCUGGUUGGAGGGACCACCCCAACCUCAGUUAUGGAGGGAACAGGCAGUCCAAUUUCGUACCAAAUAAACAACCAGGGUACCAGCAGCAAUACCAACCCCGACCACCUCCGCCCCCAAGCUCUGGUCCAUCUUUGGAGGAGAUGAUGAAACAGAUGAUGGCAACCAUUACACAAAAUCAGCAAAGGACGGAAGCAACCAUUACGCAAAAUCAGCAAAGGACGGACUCCGAAAUGCAGGCAAUAAGAAAUCAAAUAAGUCAAAUGGCCACAAAAAUCAACCGUUUGGAGUCCCAAGUAAAUGGAAGAUUGCCAUCCCAACCUGAACUGAACCUGAAGAACGUAAGUGCAAUGACUUUAAGGAGCGGGAAGGAAAUUCAGGGGCCUGAACCUAUGAUCCCUAAGGAUAAGGAUGAGGAAAAGAUUGAAAAUGAACUUGAGAGGGAGGACAGCAAUGGUGCAGAUCUAAAGGUACUUCCAGACCCAAUAAUUACAGUUAAAACUAAUCCCCCUCCAUUUCCUUGCAGGUUGGAAAAAUCGAAGAAGCAGGACAAGGAGAAAGAGAUCCUGGAGGUGUUUCGCAAGGUAGAGAUCAAUAUCCCCCUACUAGACGCCAUCAAGCAAGUGCCGAAGUAUACAAAAUUUCUGAGGGACCUAUGUGUCAAUCGAAGGAGGCUGAGGGGAGAUGAAAGAGUCAUUGUUGGGGAGAAUGUGUCAGCAGUUCUCCAAAAAAAGCUACCACCAAAGUGUGGGGAUCCAGGUAGGUUUACUGUCCCAUGCAAGAUAGGUAAUACUCUGAUUAGAAAUACCUUGCUGGACUUAGGAGCAUCGAUCAACGUAAUGCCAAAAUCUAUGUAUGCUUCUCUGAAUCUCGGUCCAUUAAAAGAAACCGAGAUAAUAAUUCAAUUUGUUGACAGAACAAAUGCAUACCCUGAUGGGUUGGUCGAGGAUGUGCUGGUUAAAGUUAAUGAAUUGAUAUUCCCGGCUGACUUUUAUGUACUUGACAUGGAUGAUGAUAAUUCCCCUGACCCCUCACCUUUGCUACUAGGUAGACCCUUUUUGAGCACAGCACAGACAAAAAUUGACGUUAAUAAGGGUACAUUGUCCAUGGAAUUUGAUGGAGAACUAGUCCACUUUAAUAUUUUCGAUACAAUAGAACAUCCUGUUAACUCUCACCCUGUGUUUGCUAUUCAUGCUAUUAAUCCCUCUGUGCAAGAAUUUUCUGAGUUUGCUUGUAGGGAUAAAUUCAAACUUAUUGAGAACAAGUAUAAGGGGAUGAAAGCACUGUAUGAGGUGAAAAGGAGUAGAAAACUCAGAAAGGAGGUUGCCCUUAAAGGCUAUUUGGAUCCUGGAGGAGGGCUACCCAUUUCCAGGAAAAUUGAGUUACACCCAGAUUGAAGAGUGGUGUUCAAUGUCUAGCCAAAGACGUUAAAGAAAGGCGCUUUUGGGAGGCAACCCAAAUAUUGAUUUUAUUGUUUUUAGUGUUUCAUUUCUUUCACUUUGUCGUUUCCUCGUUGGGUAGUAUCAGUAUUAAUAUUGCCUUCACUGCAAUCAGGAAGUGAGAUCUUGGCGUGCCCACGCGGUGUUGGUGUCUCCUGAGAUCAGAGGACGAAGGCCAAUCUUGGCGUGCCCACGCGGUGUUUGUGCCUCCUGAGAUCAGAGGACGAAGACCAAUCUUGGCGUGCCCACGCGGUGUUUGUGUCUCCUGAGCUCCGUCUGCAGCCCGCAAGUGGCCAGCUCGUGGCCAAGGCCCGCGCGCCGCCUGCCGCUACCACCAGCGCGCCGCGCCUGCACCAGCUCGCUCCACCUCAGCCACCACCUCACGAGCUCGCCAAGCUCCGCGCGCAGCCCAGUCGCCCUCGCGCGCGGCCCUCUCAAUCAGCUUCACCUGCGCACGCAUCUCCUCCACUGCCGCUGCUGUCCAGCGCCACCACUGCCCUCACGCGCCUCUCUCCCUCUCUCUCCAGAGGACUACGCCCUCGCUGCCCCCUCUUCGCUGCGACGCCAGGCCGCGCGCCAUCUCCUCCUCCUCGCAGACAGCCGCGCGUCACCACCUGUCCCAAUUGACAGGUGGAGGUAUUGUACACCCUUCUCCUAUUAGUAUCAAUUACUGGAAUUUGUGGUUGGAUAGAAGGGGGUGUUGAUUUGGGUAAUUUCUAUGGUAAUUUUAGACAGAUUUGGGCUUCAUUGACUACUAGGGAAUUUUGUGGCGCUAUAUAUAUAUUUUUUAGUCGAUUACUUCUGUUGCUGGAUUUGCUAGCUCUUUGGGUUAAUUGCUGAUUUUAGUAACCUUUUUGGGGUAAUAGACUGUCCAUUUAGGGACAGUGACGCCGGUUUUAGGUCCACGUGUGUUUGAUUCAUAUAUUUGGUGUCCAAUUGUGGGUGAAUUGCUGCGAUUGCUGGUUAAAUUUGGGGGCGCCCGUGACGCUUAUAUCUGCUUAUUGGGGGCGCCCGUGACGCUUAUAUUUGCUUAUUGGGGGCGCCCGUGACGCUUAUAUUUGCUACUCGGUUGGUUUGAUUUGUCUGUUGGUCACCAUGGUGAAGCCUCGAUCUUCUUCUAAGUCUAGGACCCCUAGGACCCCUCAACCCCCUCCACCCCAGCAUUCCAUUCCCGCCUCUGACCCCUCGCACGAUCCUUCCUCCUCUGGGAGGCGGGCUCGUCUUGGGCGACAAAGAGGCGUCCAUAUCUCUGACCCUGCACAUUUUGGGGGUCAUUUGGACUUCACCAGGGCAGCCGACAAGCGGCGCUAUGAAGCGGCUUGUGAACGACGGAUUAUUCCUUAUUGUUAUCGGGACGCCGCCACCUUGGGCCUUCUAAAUAUUAGCGUCCCCUUCCACGAUUUGAUUGAGGCCAUAGGGUGGCUCCCCUAUUCUCGUAUUACUGACCUCCCAGCCUUUGUUGAGUUAGUUAGGGAAUUCUAUGCCACAUUUGAAUUCAACCUUCCCACUGGUUACACAGUUUCCACCCCUGAUGUCAUCCGUUUCCGUUUAAUGGGUCAGGAGUUCCACCUUUCCAUAACUGACUUCAACCUUGCCCUUGGUUUCAUUGAUCAUGCCUAUGCUGAGUCUAGGGAGUAUGCCGAGAGUGCCUGUGACUAUGUCCAGCCGUUUUUCUCCCGCUAUCGCUUUAUUUGGGAUGAGAUGUCCGUAGACAGGGAUAACUAUGACCCUCGUCUAUCUAAGGGUUCUUAUCUGAAGGACCCGGCCUCUCGCUAUAUCCACCAUUUUUUGGCUUACAGUUUCUCGAGUAGGCGAGAUAGUUCGGGCAUUCUGUCUAAGCCUGAAUUUUUCUUUAUAUGGUGCAUGCAUAACAAUAUUAAGGUUAACAUUGGGUGUUGGCUCGCUUCUCAGUUCAAGUCCAUUUUGCCUAAAAAGAAGCGCCCCUUGAUUCUUGGGUCUUACAUUAUUCACUUGGCUAUUAAUUUGCAUGUACUUGAUAUUUCUAACCAUAACUUGCAUAUAGCCUGUCAAAUGGAGCCUUUGGAUAUCCCGUGCUUAGAGAAAAUGGGCUUAGUUCGGGAGGGCGCCAAUGGUUGGGAGGUAGUUCCCCCGGGUCCGCUACGCCCUCCCCCUCGGUCAUCUUUUGCCCGAGCUUCCACUGAGGGCGGCAAGCCUGGCCCAUCGUCCUCCGCUCCACCCCCUCCCGGCCCAAUGACCGAAGAAUGGCACCAUCUCCGAAACACGGUUGAGCGGCUUGAGAUGCGGUAGAAACACAUGGACGUUAACGUGCACAAUAUGGCGCAGAAUCUAGCGGCUUUUAUGCAGCAAGUCGGGUUCCCUCCUCAGUUUCCGCCUAACCCUCCCUUGUCUUGACGACUUCAGAGAAGUACCGUUGCCCCGCCCCUUUUUCUGCUAUUGUAUUUUCACAUUGAGGGCAAUGUGUGACUUAAGUGUGGGGGGGUCAGUUUGGGUGCUAGUUAUUCCCAGUUCUCGUUUCUUUAUUAUUUUUCCUCUUGUUUUCUGUUUAGGUGUUGUUCCUUUAUCCCUUUUGGGUGUCUUUCCCUUGCUUCUAUCUUGGUGAAUAUUUUUGGCAGCUCACUUUUUCUUGUUAGUUGUGGUUUGUACUAUGAGUUGAGUUACAGUGGCAAGUAAGAGCAUGUUGUCUUGGUGAAUAUUUUGAGUUUAACGACUUGGUGCAAUUUAUGGCUGACUUGUUUAGGCAAUAUAAAUAUUUUGCUGGCAUUGUUGUGUAGAUUGGUCUCCUGUUUACCUUAGUUCUCCAUAUUUGGGACAUGACGCAGGCUAUGAUCAGUAAUUACUUGAUAUUUUGGUGUUUAUUGGUGAAUAACGUAUGGCUAUACUCCGCUAGUGUCGCCACCCAGUAACCGGGAGUUUUCACCACAAGUGUCGGCUCUCGCGUCAAAAAGUGGCGAUAUCUAUGAGUAAGUGGUCCUGGAGCUGUGAAAAGUUGAGUAACUGGGCUCUUUCAUCUAAAAAUGUCAGAGUUCAUGUCAAAAGACUUGAAUAGCUUGGGACUUAGCCUUAUUCGUGCAAUAAAAAAAAAUAGAAGAAAACGGAAAAGAAAAAAAAAAGAAAGAAAGACAAAAUCAGAUGUGGACAAUGUGUGAGUUUAUGAUCAUAUUGGCCUGCCGAUCCUUGGUUCGUAAUGUUGAGAUUUCGGUUGCCAGUUGACUUAAUUACUGACUGUUGCUAGUUAAUAUUUGGAUUCCCUAAGCGAAUUAGCUAUGAAUUGGACAGGUCUAUGAACUUAGGAGUUAACCGGGAGAGAUAUGUCUUGACACUUAGUCACUAGAUCUUGAUUUUGGGUAUAAGCACAGCUGGCUAUGAUAAUGUGAAAGCUAGCCAUUGUUGAGUUGAAUUUUCCCCAUGCUUGAGGGCAAGCAUGAUUCAGGUGUGAGGGGAAUUGAUAGGGUACAAUUUGUUAAUAAUUUUAUUAUUAAUUUUCCCUUUUAUCCCUGAUAAAUAUUGUGUUAAUUACUGAUAUUUACUCAUAUUUGGUAUCUGGACUUAAUUUCAGGAAUGAAGCAAAAAAUUACCAAAAAGGAGGGACUUUAUGGAAAAUAUGGAGACUUCUAAGGGGUUCAAUUCUUGGGCCCUUGAAUUGGUGGGGACCACAAGCUAGUGAAAGGCAUUGAGUCAUUUGGGCUCUUCAAAGAAAGUUACGUAAAAAGACUUGGAACAAGAAGUACUUUGGAGGCUUUGUCCACAUGUGUGGGGACCACCUAGAUAGCCCUUAGUCAUCUUUCUUUUGUUGGUUAAAUAGGGAUAACGUAGGGGAGGAAAGGGACAUCUCUAGUUUUUAGUCUUUUAGGGUAGCUUUAGUUUUUCCUUCUUCUGACUGGCCUCUGACACACGCCAGGUGUUCGACAAAAUUUCCCAACGAGAAAAACAUCUUUUAUUCCUUGCUUUCUAGUAAAAAACGCUAUGCCUUUGCAAUCCAUUAAUUCGUGUGAUGAUUUAAUUAUGCGGCGUGGCUAAGUCUUCCAUCUAGUCAAGGGUCAACUCGACGGCGCAGUCCCGAAAAUCUGUGAGAUCUAAUUAGUUUUCACGCGUUUCUUAAUUUAUUAAUAUUUGCACGUUGUCUGCUUGAAUUUUCAUGGGAUUAUUUUAUUAAUUGGAUGUCAAGGGCCCGAUGUUCAAUGUAAUUUAUUAAUCUCGUGCCAAUUUAGUCAAUUAAAUCCGUAAUUGUUUGAUUGAUUAAUAUUAGUGGCAACUGGUGUGUUUACACAUUAGGGGAACGUGCGAUCUAAUUUAAAUAACCCUCGUAGCGUGUUAUUGAUUAGGGCUAGGUUUUUCUGGUUAUUAAUGCAAUUGGAAAAUUAAUUCCUACGGUCGUAUCUAGGAGUACUUCUCUGGUUAGGGGUGAUCAAUGGUCGUACCUUGGUCAUCUAUAAAUUAAGGAAAAAUUGGUCAUUAGAGUUCAUCGAUGGCUAUAACUAGCCUAUUUAUAAAUUAAGUGAACCUCUCUUGCAUCAAUGAUCGGAUAAAUGGACUGUGCCUGAGUAGUUGUAUCCUUGGCUAGAAUUUAUUUAUUCUUGAUUUAAUUCCUGCUUUACUUGUGCUAGUUAUUUAUUUAUUCUUAGUUGAAUUGUUUAAUUGUUUUUUUAGUUUUACUCCAGUGAAAUCCCCCCUUACCAAUUGAAAUUUAAAAGAGACGAAUAUCUCCAGUCCCUGAGGAGACGACCCUACUUGCCACUGUCUACUAUUUAGUAAUCUUUGUCAACUAAUUGAUUCUGGUAUAUCGGAUUAAGCAAACUCUUCGGGAACAUGGUGAAUCAAGUAACCCAUUGCAUACCUAGAGUCCCUGCUCCAGUACCUAGGAUUAAUUAUUGGCUGCUUUUAGUGGUAGUUAGGUUCUAUAUUUAUUAUUGCACAGGUUCGGCACCUGUCAUGCUUGAAGCUACAUUCAAACUUGAAAAAGCACCUGAAAUUCAGAUAUCAAGAUUAGACCUAUUCAAAUACAAAAGGUCAACAUUUUUGUAGCGUACUUGCUAGGAAAGUAGUGUUCGACAAACUCUGUCGUAAAUGGCUGCUGAGAAACCAAAAUUGACCCUCAAAUGCACAAUUCCAUAAGUUAGCAAUUUCAUAGUGAUAUCUUUACUAUAAUGCUCCAGACACUCAAAAGCUUCUUGAUAGGUUAGCAUGUCUUUUACAGGUUUCAAGUAAUCUGGUUCCAUUAGGUGCCAAAUUCCCCUUCCCCCACCAUAUCCAUGCGACCUUUCUUUUUUUUUUUUUAACAAAAUAAAAAAGAAAAAGGUUGAAAGAAUUUAGAGUUGGGUAACAGCAAUAAAUUGCAUAAUUAAACCUCCGACUACUACAAAGUCACUGAAUUGAGGCAUGAAAAUGACCCACCAAAAAAAUAUAUAUAAGGGGCAGUUGGUCCCUUGUCGGCUCAUUGAAAUGGAAUCAAUCUAUAGUAAUGAUGUCAAUGCAUGUCUAUUCAACAACCCGUGCAAUGAUUGAUAGAGACAAAAAAUACCCAGAUGAUAUCAUUCCAAACAAAGGCAGAAAUCAUUUUUAACAUUCCAACUAGCUCCCAACAACCAAGUAAUCAGAAGAAAAUUACAAUCCCAAAAAAAAAAAAAGAUUCAAUCGUGAUAAUUAACCAACAACAGAACAAAUUGAAGGACUUUUAAUUACAGAACAAAUUGAAGCAUAGAAAUUAAAGAAAACAAAACGAACUGGACAAGAAGAAAAUGCAGGUAAAUUGUGAAUAACAAAGAAAGCCCAGAAAAUUCAAGGAUUAAAUGGGAACUUACAACAUCAUGACGGGAGAUUCCGAGGGAGUGAAGAGCAGAAGCGAGUCUGGCGCAUCUGUCACGAGUUUCUGCCCAAGUGAACUUUAAAUCGCCAUGCACUACUGAAAUCCUGUCUCUGUAUACAAUUGCCGAACGCUCCAAGAAAUUUAUGGGCGUCAGAGGUACAUAAUUUGCUGAGCAUUUGACAGUACCCUCCAUUGAUGAUUCUAUCCUUUUAUCUGAAAAUCCAAAAGAGCGCUUCUACUAUCAACGGGAAAGUAGAUAAGAGAGGUUGUUUUCCGGUUGAAACUUGGGCGAUGGAUUGUGCAGUAUCGUUGAAGUCUGCUACAAAUAAAUGGACCUUUCCUUGCGUGGGGUGUGAAUUUACCGAAUGAGGCCUUUGUUGACUCAGCUUCAUUGUUUGUCAGCAGAUUUAUUUGCUUUUUCACAUGAUUAAUUUCUAGUUUUAUCUGUGUUUUUGCCUUUUUGGCCUAUUGGUGAGACUGCGUGCGGGUCUCUGCCUAUCUUUGUAUAACCUACUCUAUCCUAAUCUAGGGGAAGGGGAGCCUAAGGAAGCAGUUGUAGAGGCUAGUGGAUAUACAGACCCAACUAGACCAAGGGAGUACUAUGGCACAACCUUUAGAUUUUUUUCGCUGUUGAUGAGGUUUGAACCCUCACCAACAGCCCAAAGAGGGACUGAAGUCCCUCCCUGGUGGCCACUGAGCCAUUGGCCCAGUGGUUGUGCGGGUCUCUUUUUUUUUUUUCAGAAACGAUAGAUUAAUUUAUUUCUACGAAUAGAGAAAAUACAAUAUAUGAGCAAGGGCUCAAGUUCUGGUUUACAAAGGUGUACUGAGACACCGAGGAUGAACGAACUCCUCAUCAAAAUAGAUGUGCGUUGCUUGCUUACUCAGUUCAUAACUGAGUGUAUUAGUACUAACAUUACUAGGCAGGCAAACAAAUGAGCAUGUCCUAAACAUUAAGCUGAGAUAAGUGAUGCACUCGAGAUGGCCUGCUAUAAGAAAGUUGCUUGGACUUUGGCAGCGUAUCAUCUUUAAAAUGUGGUUGCAUGAAAUAUGAACCUGUAUGUUUUGCAAGUCCCGUUCCUUUAGCUUACACAGAGCCAGUUGUAUCGCCACCAAGUUGUCCAGCACAGACGAUCCAGUACUUCUUUCUCUGAGCAUCCACCCUACCCCAAGCUGGUUGUGCGGGUCUCUGCCUAUCGAUCAUUUGGAUUUUGCUCCCGCAGAUUGGCAGCAAUAGUGAUGGUGCACUGACAAUGACCAAACCAUCAGAAGAGCCGUGUUUGAACAGUGUAUCACUUAAACUCGAGCUAAUUUAAAAUGUUUGAGUUUGAACUCGUCAAUCAAGCUUUUAAAACUUGAACUCAAAGCUCAAAUUUUGACAAAUUGAGUUCAAUUGGAUUUAAGUAAUAUGAAGUGAUACUUUAUACACUUUUAAAUAAAAAAAAAAAAAAAAGAUAGAUGCUUUACAUAGCAGUAAAUAUAAGAAUACAAGUUAAGAUGUAUUGUUAUACUUGAACAAGUAUUGAGUUCGAUUAUUCUUAAUGAACUUUUGAAUCUCACAUAUAGAGUUUGAACUUCUCAAACUAUUCGAUCUGCUUGAAAUCGAGCUUAAAUUUUGACCAAAAACUCGCGAAUAGUUAGAUUAAACUUGGCUACGUAGGUGCAUUUGUGCUGGCGAUUUGGUUUAUUGUGACAAUAAUUGAGACCCAAGAAGGAGGAGAUAAAGUGAUUUGACUUGAACGAUCAUCUUAGAGUAUUUCCUACACUACCUUGACACGCUUUUGUUUAGGGUGCAAAACCUAUUGACAUUCUGUCAUUAAAAACUGGUACGUUGUUUAUUGAUACGUAGAAGGAAGUGGAUGAUAAAGCCUGAAGCAUUCCCUUUGCGCAAAACUAUACGGUCAACAAAUUUGUAUACUAAAGCUGAGAUGUAAUUGUAUUUUGUGUGUGAUUUUAUUCCCUACACGGGAACAACUGCACUUGCAUAAUACUAACUGAUAGUUUUAACAAUAAAUGCCCAUCGAAAAAAAUCGUGUGCAAACCAAAUCCUCUUAGGUGAUUUGGCCACAAAGCAAUAAACAAAUAUGUAAUUCUGACAAUAGGUUAAGAAUUCAAACCCUUUUAAAAUGGUAGUGGGACUCUUUAAUUUAGAAGUUAGUUUCUGUCCCUACCUCCUAUAGUCCACUUGAGUAUUCUCUUAAUAUAAAAUAGCUUAACGAUAAGAGUAGGAAUAGAGUUAGAUAUUAGCGAUUGAAAUGAAAAAAAGGUGUAACACGACUACCCAAUUAAUUGAUAUCCCUCACAAGAAGAAAAUUCAGCUUCCACAGGCCUUGUAGGACAAUUCAUAGGUAAAUAUUAUUUGAACCAUAGAUUAUUAAUGAAAUUUAGUAGAGUGCUCGUAUGAAUUCAAGAACAUUAUUCUUCAAGCAUUAGACUUCCGGUGUGCAAAGAUUACAAAAUAAGUGAAUAUAAGGCGAUAUAAGGCAAGGAACAAUAUUCCUUAAUUUGAAUAUAACAUUAGAUAGUAUACAUGUUCUUCCUCUUUCAUAUUUUAGAAAGGGAAACAACCAAAUUGUUGAUGGACGAGUCCUUGAUCUUUCCAUGAUAUUGUGAGAUUUUGGCGGAGAAUUUGCUGAACAAAUUGUUGAUAAUAGCAUCCCCAAAAUGAGCUUGAAUAAGGGGUUCAUAAAUAGCUCUCAAGUUCCUAGAAGACCUUCUAGGCACUGAAAAUGUUCUAUAUCAAAACGCUUGCUUCCCGAGAUGCUUCCAAGAUACUAUGAAACUUGAAAAAACACCUGGAAUUCAGAUAUCAAGAUUCAAGAUUAGACCUAUUUGUAGCGUAAGUUUUCACAAACUCUGGCGUAAAUGGUCACCGAGAAACCAAAAUUGACCACAAAUGCACAAUUCCAUAGGGUUAGCAAUUUCGGGAAUGGGGCAGCUACAAUUAGCAAUAGGUGCGGCUGUUUUACUUUUUUAAUGAUUUAGUGUACACUUACAUAAUUUUGAUGUAUUUCAUGAUUUGAUGUACAUUUAUGUAACUUUUUAUUGUGCUAGUAAUAGUUCACGUACUUUGCAUGUAAUUAUAUUAACCUAAAUAUAAACAUAACAUCUCUUAUAUAUAAACUUUUUUUUUGUGAAAUUUGAUUGUUUACAUGAUAAUAGAAUAUUUUCUAUUUUCUAUUUCUUUAAUCAAUUAUUGUUACAAAGACUAUGUAAAUACGAACUCUUUGAUCCAUUGAUUUUUGAAUUUAUUUUGAGCUUUUUGGUAAUUUAUGGAUUCAACAAUUCUUAAUAUGGUUAUGUUGUGUACUCACAAUAUUUUUACCAUUAAAUCAUAAUAAUAUUUUUUAAUUUUGUACAAAAGAUGUUGUUAAACCGGAAAUGCAUGUAUACAUGUCAAGCGUGAGCCUAGUAAAUAAAAUUUGUAAUUAUUAGCAAAGUAAGGACUAAAAUUGUAAAAUCAAUUUCUGGAAGUGUAUCAGAGUAAAUAAAUUGGCUUGUUAGAUUUUGUCAUUCUAAUUAUUUUCACCAAACUCAUCCCUUCUUUUACCCUUGGAAAGUUCAUUUACCAGCCAGAAUCUAGAUCCGCCUUUUUUUCACUUAAAAAUAAAACCCAUAGUUAAGUUUCUAAUGAAAUCAACAAAUUUAAAAAAUGAAAAAAAUUUGUAUCAAUAUUUUGAAUGCUAUUUGCCAUAACAUUUUGAAUGUUAUUUUUCCUUGGUAAGACAAACAAAAUGGAAUUGUACAAUUAGAAUGAAUUAAUUAUUUAAGAAUAAAAUAUAUGAGCUAUGCUUAUGCCCAACCUCGCAUGAACAUUUAAUUACUCUGCUUUAUAUCUUUUAGCUCAACUUUUCAAUUUUUUCUUUUGUGAAUUUGAAUUGAAUAAUGUGAGGUGCAUUAUUGAAUUUGGAUUGUUUACAUUUUUUUUCUAAGUAUUAUUGAGUUUAGUAAAGAAUGUAAAUGAUUUAUACUGCUUAAUUAUCUUAGACUGUGUAAUUUAAUUGCCAAUGGACAUUCAAUUGAUAGAAAUAAUUGGAUCCUUUUACGUGUUCUUUCUUUCAAUAUUUCUUCACACUAAUAAAAAGCCCAUAAUUAUACAUCUGUCUUGUGAUAUUCAUAGCAAGAUUCUCCAAAUGAGUAUGGACUCUUUUCUUCUUAUAUAUUUCUCUUUUGCUUCAAGAGCAUCUAUUUUUUUGAUACAAAUAUUUUUUACAAUCUUAAAUUAUAGCUAAUGCAAUCGGUCACACUAUUUCGAAUAAGAAAUUAUUUUGGCUAAGAAACUUUAACACACAUAAGGAUUGGAGAUGAAGUGUAAGGGUCACUAAAUAGUUUUAAUAUGGAGUUUUUCAUUUUAAUUACCCUUUUUAUUGAGAUUUAGUUAUUUGGAAUGUUUCAUAUUUUUAAUUACUACUACAAUUAUAAUGCAAUAAUUCUAAUUGAAAGAUAGAGAUAAUAUGGGCACAACAAAACUAAGAUCAAAAAGUGCAUGCAACUUACAAUGCCAAGACUUUUUAAUAUAGUAAAAAAUAGAUGAUAUAAAAUACAUCAAAGUUGUGUGAAUGUACAUCAAAUCAUUAAAAAAAAAAAAAAGUAAAACAACCGCACUAACCGCACCUAUUGCUAACCAUAGCUACCCCAAACCCUGCAAUUUCAUAGUGACAUCUUAAAUUGAAGCGGAUCACUAAGCAAUACAGACUGGAAGAUAUGCACCUAAUGCAACGCAUAUCAACUAUUAGCAAUGUAACAAGGAGAAAAUUGGAUUCUUUGCUUAUUAUAGAUGCUAUAAUGCUCCAAACACUCAAAAGCUUCGUGAUAGAUAGGUCAGUGUGUUUUUUACAGGUUUCAAGUAAUGUGGUUGCAUUAGGUGCCAAAUCCCUCUUCCCCCACUAUAUCUAUGUGACCUUUUGUUUCACAAAAUAAAAGAGUUAUACGAAUUUAGAGUUGAGUAGCAGCAAUAAAUUGCAUAAUUAUACCUCCAACUGCUAGAAGUUACUGAAUUGGUCCCUUGUGGGCUCAUUGAAAUGUCAAUCCAUGGCUAUUCAACAACUUUGUGGAAUGACCCAUUGAGACAAAAAUGCCCAGACGACAUCGUUCCAAACGAAGGUAGAAAUCAUUUUUAACAUUCCAACUAGUUUCGCAAUACUUACCAAAAAAAAAAAAUCAGCAAAUUAAAAAGGAUAAUUUCAGAAACCUGACAAUUUCACUCAGUGCCCUCAAACUUUAAAAAAUCUCAUUUGGCUCUCUUGUUUUAAGCGUUUUGUAACAUUUGAAAUCCAUUUCAAAAUAUAAUAUUAAAAAACUCAUUUUGAGAGAGAGAGAGAGAGUACAAUUUCAUUCCAAAUUUGUCCUUUCUUGCGAUUUUUUAAUUGUCAUAACACACCAAAUUUGUUGCUUAUCUUUUGUAAAUUGAUUGAUGUAGUUCUUUAAUGAAAAUCUAAGAGUUGGUAACAAGAUCAAAAAAACUCUUUAAUAAUUUUUGUAUCAUUUGUUCGGACAAAAAAUGUUAAAUUACUUAAAAUUAUGAGUCAUUUACACUACUCUUAAAAAUAACUUGCAAUAAUUCAUAACCAGGAGAAUACCUUUUGCACUAACUUAAAAAUAAUACAAACAAUUAUAUAUAUAAAUUUUAGCAUGUUGUAUCUUUUUAGUUGUCAAACCAUCGAUUUGGACGUCUAAAUUAAAAAAAUAAAAAAAAUGUGUAAAUGAUUUAUAUAUUAGCUCAAAACACAUAUAUUUGAAGUAGAGAAAACGUCAUUUGCAUUUGGAUUGCGAUUUUCUUAAAAAAAUUUCGUUACUUGUUUCUCUUUGUCCAUGAUACUAAUUGAUAAAUGCUUCACAUUUUUCCAGUCUCAGCUCUGUUAGCUUGGAGUUCUGCUUUCAACUAUAAAGUACUACUCUUUGGAAUUGUCAGAGCACUACUCUUUCUAUUUUUUUUUCAGCAAUAUUAUAAGUAACUAGUUUUGUACCCGUUCGUUGAACGGGAAUCAUUGAAAAAUAAUAAACUUUAGUCAAUUUAUAAAAAUAUCGAUAUAAAAUACAUAUUUAAUGUAUAAUCUAUUAUAACUUGUCUUAAAUAUAAUACUAUGUGCGCAUUGUAAUGUAAAGUAUUCUUAUAAUAUAAAUUUGAAUAUCUAAUUCAGUGAAUAAUAAUUUAAAAAUAGAAAAAAUAACAUUCAACAAUACCAUAACAUUCAAAAACUUGAAAAUAAAUAAAAAGUGCAGUAAAUAGUAUCAAAUAAUAUUCUAAUAUUCAGAAACUUGUUUUUGUUUUUUUUCUGUUUGAACAUUCUCCUCGAUUUGUCCGUGCAAAUCAGCAUUUAUUGAUUUUCUAUUAUUAAUGCAUGAUAGCAAAGUAGGAUAACUAAGUAUAAAAAAAAUAAAUGAUUUAUCGCAUUCAAGUUUGUGUAUAACAAUACGUAAAGAUUAUAUUUAAGUAAAUGGCCAGAGUCUUUUAAUUAAAUAAUGAAUUUGCAGAUAUAUCUAAUAGAGAUAUUUAUAUCGCAUUACUUUCUAGUACCUUUUGUUUUUUGUUGUUUUUUCUGAAGGCAAAUUAACAAACAUCGUAGUAUAUGAUCACCAAAAUCAAUUAACAAACAUGUUAGAAAAAAUCCUACAAAAAUAACGAUGAAAGCACUUGUUUAAAUUCUAUGUAUUCAUACAAAACAAAUAGAAAAUAAAACAAAAAAAAUAAAAUUCAAGAUAUGUUACUAAGCUCUUACAAUUGAAGAUCAACAUGCCUUUUUAAUAUAUAUAUAUAUAUAUAUAUAUAUAUAUAUAUAUAUAUAUAUAUAUAUAUAUAUAUAUAUAUUGAAAGAAGAUGUACCUGAUAAUCAAGAGAAGUGGAAACCCAAAAUCGAUACUUUAAUAUGCCAACCGUUUGCACUGGAAAUACCUAACCAUGAAUUUGAUGCUUGAAAUCAAUAUAUUAUAGGCUAUAUGUAGUGUAGGCAUAGGAAAUAAAAAUUGAUAAGAAUACAAAGAGAUAUUGAUAAGAACAUUAAAAGUAUGUUUAUCUUAAUUUAAGUUGCUUAAAGUACGUAACUUUGGGUAGGAAAUAAGAAUCGUAUAAUAUUAAGAAUUCUUAUAGGAAAUAAAACCAUAAUCAUCCAAAUAACUUUGGGUAGGAAAUAAGACCUUAUGUGACCCGUACUAUGCACGUAUAUAAACCUGUAUGUAAUAAAUUUACAAAUGCAUUAUCAAGAUAGGUUUUACCGACUUUAAAAGACCACCUCCACUAUAUCGAGUCCUUUAAGUGCAUGAACUCCUAUGAUGUGGGUCCACACACGAAAUACUUCCCACCAUCUAGGCAGAGAUGCAUUGUGAUUAAGGAAUUAUUAGCAAAAAUAUAUUAAAAAAAAGGACGGACGGAGGACACUAUAGACGGAGGCCUUUCUCUUGGAUUGGAGGACACUACGGACGGAGGGUCGGGUAGGGGCCUUCGGGGUGCAAAAACUUCAACAAAUAUCUAAUGUUUUAUCUCAUCUUUCUUUAGCUAUGAUAAUGAGAUUUUAUUUCUUUGGUUGAUGACGCUCCAUUUUUUUUUAUGGACUUUUCCAGAAUUUUUCAAUCAGAUAAAGUGCCAUUUCUCUUUGUACAUCAAUUAUACAUGGGGACUGUUAGUCUUGUAAAAAUUUUCUUGGGCUAACUUUCUUUAAUUUUCAUGUCUAGAUUGUUUGUAUGUUGUUCUAUAUAUAGGUAUAUUAUCUUAAAAUAAAAAGGAUCUAUGAUGAAGCUGUUAAAAAAAAAAAGAAUAGGAUACUAUAAAAAAAUAUAUUAUCAUUUAUUCCUAUAUAUCUAAUAGAGGAGAUUUAUGUCUCUUUUAUUUAUAUCGCAUUACUUUCCAGUUCCUUUUUUGGGUAGGAAAUAAGAAUCAUAUAAUAUUAAGAAUUUUUAUAGGAAAUAAGAAUUGAUAUAUAUCCAAUCAAAAAAGGAGCAAGCCACGUAGGAAACUACUUGCCGUCUCGUUAAGCCACGUAGAAAAGAGAAAAUAUGAAGGGAUAAGUAUGAGGAUACGACUUUAUUAUAUAUAUAUAUAUAUAUAUGAUUGGUCCGCGCAGCGGACUGAAGUGGUCGAUGUGUGAAUGCAAGGCCUUGCUUGGAUUGCUUGUUUCAGUCGGAAAAUAUUGUCGUUUUCCGUGAUCACAUUUCUCUAUCACCUUUUUCCUUCAUAUAUAUCAAAUCGCUAUAGUAAUUUUUCCAUGAAAAAUGAUAGAAAAUGCAAUCCAAACAUAACCUAAGAUUAUGCUGAUCUUUACGGGUCCCACAUGUUGUAUGUUUUAUAUUGUACUAGUAGUAUUCCAAAUGGGUUUUAGAACGUUCUCAAAAUAAAUCGAUCAAUUUGAUUGGGAUCAAAACGUGUGGGGUAAGGUUUUUUAUUUUUACAUAAUUAUUCAGAUAAAACCAACCCAGGCAGACCCAAUUAUCUUUGUAACUUACAAAAAACUUUGAUCAACUUUCAAAUAUAUUAUACACUCUUGACAUUUAAAAAAAGGGAUAAUUUCGCAAGCCUUCCCUGAGGUUUUUAAAAAUUACAGAGAGCUCUCUCUAGGUUUUAAAAAUUACAUAUACCUCCCCUAUUUUUAUUUUUUAGUAAUGAUAUAGGUUCAACAAUAUGGAUUUUCUCACAAAAUUUCUAAAUUGCCCUUUAAACUAAGAAAAAUAUAGUAUACUCAAUUAUUUUCUUCAACACUUUGUACAAAUCAAUAAACCUAGUUUUUAGCAAUCAUUCAAGUAUAAGUUUUAAAACUAAAUAGCAGUCCAAAAGAUCCCAAAUUACAUGUAUAGUAUCAAUACUUGCUACCUAAAAAAAACACACACAUAUACCCCAUUGACAACCAAUUUUAUAUCCCAGAAUUAAAUAUCAAUGCUCAAAUACCUUUUCAAUACAAAUUAAUCUCACUUAGAACUGCUAUUACAACCCUUCUAUGGCCUUAAAAAUAUUAAUAUCUCAAAUAUAUAAAAUAAAUUCUACGUCCACAAUAAAAUCAUAACAAAAAAUUUCUAAUCAAAUGAAAGAAAUCCUUAUGUAAUUAUUGACAUUUUAUAAAAAAAAUUUUAACAAUAAACAAAAUAUGAUAAAUUCAACAUCUUUAAUUCUUUUUCCUAAUUUCAAUCAUCAAUUUCAUUAUUUAUUUUUCUAUCACUACAACUCUCUUCAUUUCCUUCUAAUUUGACAUAUAAUCUACUCCUUCUGUUGAUUUUAAAAUUUCAAUUUGCUAAUAUCCACAAAAUUGAAGAUAAUAAAAAGAAGUUAUAUUAACUAAAAAAGAGAUGAGUGAAAAUAGACAAGAGACAGAAAAAUAAUUUUUUUUUGAGUUUUGUAAAUUUAUUGCCUUAAAUUUAAAAUUUUCAACCAAGUAGAGGGCAUUAUAGGUAUUUUACUAUACCAAGGGAGGUAAGUGUAAUUUUUUAAACCUGAGAGGAACCGAGUGAAAUUGUGACAGGUGCCGAACCUGUGCAAUAAUAAUAAAUAAAUCCUAACUACCACCUGAAACAGUCAGUAAUCAAUUCCAGUACUGGAGCAGGGACUCUAGGUGUGCAAUGGGUUACUUGAUUCACCCUGUUCCCGAAGAGUUUGCUUAAUCCGAUAUACCUGAAUUAAUUAUUUAACUGAAUUUCCUAACUAGUAGACAGUGGUAAGCAGGGUCGUCUCCUCAGGGACUGGAGAGAUAUUUGUUUCUUUUCAAAUCAAGAUUAAUGGGGGGUUUUGGUAUCAAAAACCAACUGAACAAAUUAAAUGCAGAAAAUAAUUAAUUAAAAGAAAUAACUAAGAGAAACUCUAGUCAAGGGUAUACUUCAGAAAUGGUUCAUGCACUGAUCAUUGAUGCAAAAAUAAUCCCAACAUUUAUUAAUAGAUUGGUUAUAGUUGUCAUGCACGCGAUAAACAACCAACCCUUCCUUAAUUUAUCGAUAGCUAAGGUACGACCGUUAGCUAUUUCCCUAACCCAAAAACAAUCCUAGGUACGACCGUAGAAUUUAAUUUCUGGUUUGCAUGAAACCUUAGAAAGACCCAAUCCUAACUAACAAACACGCUACGAGGGUUUGUUUAAGUUAGAUCAUAUAUUCCCCUGAUAUAAACCCAAUUACACCAGUCGCUACUGAGAUAGAGAUAACGAACAAUUACGGAUUCAAUUACCCCUAUUUAGCAAAAUAGCCUAUAUGAAUAAUUAAUUAUUACGCACUAACCAAUCAUACACAAGGCUAUGACAAUUAAAAGCAGGAAACAUAUGAAUACCAAUAAAUGGAGGAAACAAUUAAAAUAAAUUCGAUUUCACAGUAAUUGUUGAACCAAGUCUUCAGUUGUCCCCUUGACUAGAAUUGAGAGGUUAGUCCUCCAUUAAUGGAGAACAACCAUGCGAAAAAGCCAAGAAAAGCAAACUAAAACUAUGCUAAAAACCUAAACUAAAACUAUUGAUUGAUAAACCUCUCGUACGUUUCUCCCUUUUUGAAGCCAAAAGGAAGUCUAAUGCUAUCUCUAGUGGUCCCCACACCAAAUUCAAAGUCUUGUACGUUUCUUUUCCUAGAGUCCAAAUGACUCAUGCUUCUUAUCCGUGGUCCCCGCACAUGUGGACAAAACCUCCAAAGUACUUGUUGUUCCAAGUCUCUCUACGUUGCUUUCUUUGAAAAGCCCAAAUGACUAAAUGCUUUGCACUAGCUUGUGGUCCCCACCAAUUCAAGGACCCAAAGGUUGAAGUCCUUAGAAGUCUGCAUUUUUCCAUACAAGUCCCUCCUUUUUGGUAAUUUUCUGCUUCAAUCCCUGAAAUUGGGUCCAAUACCAAAUAUAAGUAAAUAUUAAUAAUUAAAACAAUAUUUGGCAAGAAUAAAAGGGGAAAUUAACAAUAAAAUACCCAACAAUUUACACCCUAUCAAUUCCCCCCACACCUGAAUCAUGCUUGCCCUCAAGCAUGGGAACAGCAAUUGAACACCAAAAUUUGACAAUGGCUACUGCUCCAACUACCGUAUUGCCAAGAUGCCCAAGAAAAAUAAAUAUCAAGUAUCACAGGUCAAUAUCCAAGAAAAAUCAACCCGGUUAGCCUCUGAACCACCAACUUCUCCAAUUUAAAGCAAACUAAUCUAAGAAAAAGGAAUGGUUGCUCACAUUUAUCAGCAAAUGGUCCAACUAUUAACCAAAAUCUCGACAUUAAGAUCACAAACCGGCAAGCUGAUUUAUUCACAUACUAACACAAUCUUACUUCACUUCUUUUUUUUUUUUUGUUUUUUGUUUUUUGAAUAGCAAAGACUUAGUCUAUAGCCCUUAGAGUUUUUUGACGCGAACUCCAAUAUUUGACAGAUGGAGGAGCCCGGUUACUCAGCUCUAAUUGCUACGGGACCACGCACUCAUAGCAACUACUACCUUUUGACGCGAAAAUCAACACUUUAGGUGAAGAUUCCCGGUUAUUCAGUAGUAAUCACUAGCGGAGUACAGUCAACUCUUAUUUAUAACCAUAUAGCACAAUAACUAAAAAUAACACAAAAAUAACAACAGCCAGCCUCAAAUUUCCAAACAUGGAGAACUAAAAUUAAUAAUUGGACCAAUUCACAAGAAAAAUGCCAACAAUCAUUCCCUAUGCCUAGAAAAGUUAACUAAAAAUUAGAAAAGUCAAGCAAUUAUUGAUAUUCACCAAAAAGAUGUUCCUGAAUUCAACCACAUCAACUCGAUACCUUUUAUUAAUAAACUUGGCAACAUCAGAAUCAGAGACAACAAUCCAACAUCAAAACUUGGUAUUCAUAUGAAGACUGACCAUUAGAAAAAAGAAAAGAAAAGAAAAUAAACGAAAGAUGGACAAAAACAAACAAAAAAAAAUAAAGAUAAACAAAAAACUCUAGAAACUAAAAACAAAAUUACUAGCACCACAAUGAUUCCCCCCCACACCUAAUUCACACAUUGCCCUCAAUGUGAUAAUGUAAAAGUAGAAGGAAGGAGAGGGGCAACGGUACUUCCCUGAAGUCAUCAAAACAGGGGCAGUUCAGGUGGAAAUUGUGGAUCAAGACUUGCAUGGUGACGUCAAUAUGGGUCAUCCGAGUCUCUAGUCUCUCAACUCGCGUCUGGAGCUGGUGCCAUUCGUGGCUUUACCAUGAACUCUAAAUAUCACUCUAAACAACAAGAGACUACCAUUGCCAACAAAUAAUGGAAGCCAAAAAUUCAAAGCAAUAACAAUUUUUAAAGCCAUCCCAAUGAACAAAAUGCACAAUUCAAUCUCCCAUAGAUUAAACCAGACCCCAACACUUAUAGCAAAUGCAAUCAAUAAGUACUCAUGGACCCCAUGUAGUCAAAUUCAGAAUUAAGGCCGUCCAAAGUGCAACAACUGCUCCAAAUACCCCAAGCAAGUCAAUUAAAGGCAACCGACUUCAAUAAGCAAAUGCAAACGGCACAUUCAUAUCCCAAUUCAACGAAUAAAUGCAGGAAAGUAGCCACAAUACUAGAGCACAGCUCCCAAUAAUGCAACAGAACAGCAACUCGAACAAACUAGGAACUGUGCUAGUGUCGUACUAAAUCAACAACUUUCAGCAAUUAGACACAAUCGGACACAAUAUCGCGACAACUAUCGCCAAUUGGACAGAUGAUUGCACACUCAAUCCAACCAAAAGUUCUAGCAACAGCCGUUCAGAAUUGAAGCAACAAAUUAAUCCCAAGAACUCGAAUUUUCAAACAAGCAAGCAUCUCCAAAUAUAAGCAACAACUAUAGUGAGAAGACCCCACCAGUACCACUGGUGGGCACACAAGGAAGAAUUAAAUCAAAUAUGAUCGAUCGAUAGCAGGAGCACCCAAAUUCAAUCAACAACAAGUAAUUCAGACAAACAAAAGCAAAAGAGAAACACAAAAAGGGGCCAGAUAUCGAUCAAACAAAAGCCAUUGCCCACCAUGAAUAAAGAAUACACUAAAAAGCAACAGAUACUGGUAAACCACAGAGGGAAAAAGGGACCGGACACCGUUGUUGGCAGCGAGACCGAGCGCUUGGGGCAGCACGGCAGCGUUUAGGGCAGGCCGUGGGAGGAAGGAAAAGUCACGCGAUGGAGCAAGAGGCUGCUGCAGAGGUGGGAGCGAGCUGGGAGGUCGCGGCGCGCAGCUGGUCAGCGGUGUGCAGCUGUGCGAGGCGCGGGAGCUAGCAGUGACGUGCGCUGGUCAGCUAAGGAGGAGAUGGGCGGCGCUCGACUGUCGCGUGGCUGCGACUUCUGGCUGGAGCUACUGGCGGCGCGCGAGCUUUGUGGAUGGACGCGAGAGGAUCUGGGGUGGUCGAGCGCAGGUGGAGUGAGGUGGAGCUCGAGUGGGUAGCCGCUGUUGGAUGGCGGCUAGUCAGCAGCUGCCGCGGGCUGGAGAUGGCGAUAGAAGCUGCUGGAGUGGGGGCGAGCUGGCGGUGCGCUGGUCUCGGUCGCGCGAUGCUGCCGCGCGGGAGGAAGAGGAGUGCGGCAGCGAUGGCGACUGGGCAGUGGCGCUCUGGGCCGCGGCUUGGGCCAGGCGAGCUUGUGGCGGCGAGGAAGUUGGAGCUGAUGUGGUGGUGGAGAUCGAUGAUUUGGGUGGGAUGGCCGGCGGCCGAAAGAAGAAAAGAAGGAAAAGGGAAAUAGGGAAGAAGAAAGAAAGAAAAGAAGAAGAAAGAAUUUUCUUCUUUUUUUUUUUUUUUGGAAUAAUUUUUUGUUCUAAAUUGAAUUGAGAUUGGAAAAUUCGAUUUUUGAAUACCAAAACUGAAAAUGAAAAAGGAAAUUACUUUUAUAAAAUUUUUUUUUUUUUUCAAAGAACCUCUAGCUUAGGCGUGGGCACGUCUAACUGCUAUAGAGUCCGCAGAUCCUGAACGAAAAUUUCUUUCCCUCAGGCGUGACCACCUGGCGUGGGCACGUCUAACUGCUAUAGAGUUCGCAGAACCUGAACGAAAAUUUCUUCCCCUCAAGCGUGACCACCUGACGAGGGCACGUCUAACUAUUAGCUUCCUGCCACAAAAGCAACAAAUCACUAAAUGCAACUAACACUUAACAAAAAUUCCAAAAAGCAUAAGAAAACUAAAAUAAAGAGUCUUGGGUUGCCUCCCAAGCAGCGCCUUUCUUUAAUGUCUUUGGCUAGACAUUGCCAUAUUUAUUCACGGAGGAUAAAAUCUUGUGGCUCGUUUCAGUGCUUCAUCCUCUAUAUAAUCCUGAUAGCCCUCGUAAAUAGAGUAAUUCUUGAGCACACGAGCUACGGGCUUCCAUGGACUAGUAAAUGGCGCCAAACAAGUCAACGAUAAUUUGCAUUCUCCACUCUCUCCUCCAUCACACGCCUUUAUCGGUUCAAGAUAUUUGACCAUCGUAACUCUUAACUUAUUCCUGUCAUGAAACUCAAAAUCGUCUGGUAUGAUAAAAUCAAUCUCACUAACAGGAAUUAAAGAAUAUGAGUCAGGAAAAUAUUGAUCAAGAAAUGGAGGAGAUGUCACCGCAUUUGGAGAUUGUUCACUGGAUUCAUUCACUUGAACCAUUUGAUGUUGGGGUCUCAUGUCUUGCACUUCAACUUCCUUUUCAACUGCAUUUUUAGAUCCUUCUUCUUGAGAUUCUCGCAGCACCAUGUCAUUCGUCAGGAUAAUUGCACUCUCAUCUUCCUCAUGGUCGAUAAUAGUUUGUGAGGGCAAUUCUUCACUUUGAGAAACCAAUCGAUUUAUUCUGGAUGUCAAAAGACAUAGUUGAUCUGCCAGAUAAUUCAUUGCAUCCUUCAUCAUCUCAUUCCUCAUUUGUGUCUCCUGUUGGAAUUGGUAUGUAUUAGUAGUUAUUGGUUCAACUAUCUCUUCAAGAGACAUACCUGACAUAGAUGACGAUUCUUGAGACUCAUACUGCUGAAAAUUCAUUGGCCCCGUUGUAUAAUUAUAAUUGGAGUUAUCCCACCCUCCUUGAUCAUACCCGUAUGGAUUAGGGUUAUACCACGUUUGAGACCAGGGUGAAAAAUCUCCAUAAUUAUUGAGUGGGACACUCAGAUUAUCUUGAUAUUCGGGGCACAUACUGGUUGAAUGAUCCCUGGCAUAACAAAUUUUACAGGUUGCAGCAGCCAUUCUUUUUCUAAUAGAGUUUACUGCCUCUGCACGUGCAAACUUAGAAAAAAAACUAGUCUCAUCGCCUUCCCCGGAAACAAAAUUUCACCAAAAUACGGAGUGUUAGAAGCCAUAAACUAUAUAAAAAAAAAUAAGAGAAAAAUAAAUAAUAAAAAAAAUGAACUCAAAAAGAAACAAAUUAAUCUGGCACCAGUCCCCGGCAACGGCGCCAAAAAUUGACAGGUGCCGAACCUGUGCAAUAAUAAUAAAUAAAUCCUAACUACCACCUGAAACAGUCAGUAAUCAAUUCCAGUACUGGAGCAGGGACUCUAGGUGUGCAAUGGGUUACUUGAUUCACCCUGUUCCCGAAGAGUUUGCUUAAUCCGAUAUACCUGAAUUAAUUAUUUAACUGAAUUUCCUAACUAGUAGACAGUGGUAAGCAGGGUCGUCUCCUCAGGGACUGGAGAGAUAUUUGUUUCUUUUCAAAUCAAGAUUAAUGGGGGGUUUUGGUAUCAAAAACCAACUGAACAAAUUAAAUGCAGAAAAUAAUUAAUUAAAAGAAAUAACUAAGAGAAACUCUAGUCAAGGGUAUACUUCAGAAAUGGUUCAUGCACUGAUCAUUGAUGCAAAAAUAAUCCCAACAUUUAUUAAUAGAUUGGUUAUAGUUGUCAUGCACGCGAUAAACAACCAACCCUUCCUUAAUUUAUCGAUAGCUAAGGUACGACCGUUAGCUAUUUCCCUAACCCAAAAACAAUCCUAGGUACGACCGUAGAAUUUAAUUUCUGGUUUGCAUGAAACCUUAGAAAGACCCAAUCCUAACUAACAAACACGCUACGAGGGUUUGUUUAAGUUAGAUCAUAUAUUCCCCUGAUAUAAACCCAAUUACACCAGUCGCUACUGAGAUAGAGAUAACGAACAAUUACGGAUUCAAUUACCCCUAUUUAGCAAAAUAGCCUAUAUGAAUAAUUAAUUAUUACGCACUAACCAAUCAUACACAAGGCUAUGACAAUUAAAAGCAGGAAACAUAUGAAUACCAAUAAAUGGAGGAAACAAUUAAAAUAAAUUCGAUUUCACAGUAAUUGUUGAACCAAGUCUUCAGUUGUCCCCUUGACUAGAAUUGAGAGGUUAGUCCUCCAUUAAUGGAGAACAACCAUGCGAAAAAGCCAAGAAAAGCAAACUAAAACUAUGCUAAAAACCUAAACUAAAACUAUUGAUUGAUAAACCUCUCGUACGUUUCUCCCUUUUUGAAGCCAAAAGGAAGUCUAAUGCUAUCUCUAGUGGUCCCCACACCAAAUUCAAAGUCUUGUACGUUUCUUUUCCUAGAGUCCAAAUGACUCAUGCUUCUUAUCCGUGGUCCCCGCACAUGUGGACAAAACCUCCAAAGUACUUGUUGUUCCAAGUCUCCCUACGUUGCUUUCUUUGAAAAGCCCAAAUGACUAAAUGCUUUGCACUAGCUUGUGGUCCCCACCAAUUCAAGGACCCAAAGGUUGAAGUCCUUAGAAGUCUGCAUUUUUUCAUACAAGUCCCUCCUUUUUGGUAAUUUUCUGCUUCAAUCCCUGAAAUUGGGUCCAAUACCAAAUAUAAGUAAAUAUUAAUAAUUAAAACAAUAUUUGGCAAGGAUAAAAGGGGAAAUUAACAAUAAAAUACCCAACAAUUUACACCCUAUCAAAUUGUCAAAAACCUCAAGGGAGGUUUCUGAAAUUAUCCAUAAAAACAUAACAUGAGCAAUGGAAAGAGGGAGUAGAAGUUUUAAUAAUUCAAUGAUUAUUAUCUAUUUCAAAAAAUAAAAGUUCAAUUAAUUUGAGAUCACGAGCUUGAUUAUUGAGACGCUAAGGAGACUAUAACUGUGCGUCUCUAUUUUGAACCAAGAUGCGAAAUAGCUAACCUUAAAAGAAGAGGUGUGUUUCUGUUUAGUGAUGAUAAAAUAAAUUCAAGUGGGCAAAGUGCACCUUAUCCCUAAUUACAUUGGAGAUUAGUGCUAACUGACCCUUUGCUUUAUUUCAAUUUGAUUGCGAGGAGACAAAAGCAAUUUCUUAUCACUCUUGGAUGGAUAUUAUGAACGUGUUUAGAUGGUAGAUUAUUUGAAAUAAUUUUUUAAAAAAGAGUACGAUGGUAUUCUUUUAAAUAUAUAUAACAUAAAAAAUAAUAUAUUAUUUGUAACGUGUGUGAGAUCUAUUAGUGCCCGCGCAAACAUUCAAUCAGAGAAUCAGAGAAUCAGAGAACAUGAAGGCCCCAGCAACAAAGGCAUUUCAAGUGAAAAUGCCAACAAGCCACAGCCCUCAAAAGUGGUUUGGAGAAAUUUCAAGCUUUUGGGUCCCACAUAUUUUGUCACAAUCUUGUGAUUAUCAUUCAAAAACGCAUGGCCACCUGAAAAACGAAGGGAGUAUUUUAAUUGAGUCAAGUCCAUAUUACUUGCCAUUUGUUAAUUGGUGUGUAUUUAUAUCAUUAGCUGUUAGUAAUUGUUCUUUUGUACAAAAUUUUCCCUCUAGUGAUUAAUCCUUUUUGUUCAUUAUAAAAAUUCAAUAGGACUAUUUUGCACUAUUGAGUUUGUGGGGGGAAAUAAUCAGUGAUGAUUUUGCAGUAAUCUAUUAUGAAAGUAAAAAAACCUUUCAAAAGUUUUUAAUGUUGAAAAGAACUACGUGUUUUAAUUUUAAAAUAACAAAAUGCAAUACAAGGUACCAAAAUUCUAUGGAGAAAUCAUCAUUAUAUUUAAGUAUACAUGCAAAACUGGUGGAAAUUAAAAUAAUACUCCCUCGGCUUCAAAUUAUUUGUCUCAUUUCAGGAUUCAAAUUUUUUAAAGAAUAGUAAGUAAUUUGACGGUGAUUUUAGUGGAUUUGUUUUCAAAAUUAUCCUCGAAAAUUCAAAAUUUUAAACUUGGAUUUAGUGCCAAAUAUUGAUUAAUGUGAAAAUAACAUUGAAAAAAGAAAGAGAUUAAAAGUAAAUUUGAGUUUAAUAAAAUAAUAAAUAUUUUAAGACAUUUUAAAAUAAAAAAGUAAAUCGGGAAGGAGUGAAAAAAAUAAAACGAAUAAGAGAGAAACUACAAGACGAUGAGUUAGACGUUAAGCCAAUUUGCUCUCUUACUGCAUUGUGAUAAGGAGGAAUCAGAGAGCCAAUAAGAAAUGUGACCGAAGAGUCAAGUUGCAGGCUGGCUCACACAUGCAAUUGUCGGCAACUUCCUUUGAUAACAGGACAGCUUUUAUGUGUCUUUAGAGUGGCGCUGUGGUCCAUUGUGUCUUUAGAGUCUAAAGCUGUGUCUUUAGAGUGUGCAGUGGAGCCCGGCAUAUUGCAAAGGCGGACAAUUUUCAAAGUCGACUUGCAAAUUUCAUUCCCUAUGAUAGCUGCUGAAGUUGAACCUUUCAUUCCACUUCAAAUUAUUUGUUUCAUUUCAAGAUUAAAUUUUUUUUAAAAUAUUAAAUAACUUGACGGUGAUGUUAGUGAAUUUGUUUCUAAAAUUAUCUUCAAAAAUUCAAAAUUUUAAACUUAAAUUUAGUGCCAAAUAUUGAUUAAUGUGGAAAUAGCAUUGAAAAAAGGUGAUUAAAAGUAAAUUUGAGUUUAAUAAAAUAAUAAAUAUUUUAAGACAUUUUAAAAUAAAAAAGUAAAUCGGGAAGGAGUAAAAAAAAAAUAAAACGAAUAAAAGAGAAACUACAAGAUGAUGAGUUAGACGAUAAUUAAGCCAGUAAGAAGCAGAUGACGAGUUAGACCUGCUUUAUUCCACCCACUGUUUUAGCUGCAAGUUGCAGGUUGGCCAUAUGCUGCAGAUGCGACAAUUUGUCGGCAAGAAGGUGUGGCUACGAAUUGUCGGCAACUUUCAGGAAGUCAGGGUAAAGCGGUAAAAGAAAAGUUCGUUGGUGACGUCUUUGGAGUGUAGCUUUGCAGAGUGAAGCCGGGGGGCAAAUUGCAAAAAGUGGAAAAUUUUGGAAGUGCAAAAAGUUGUGUGGAAAAAUUUUCAUUCCCGCAAGUUUUAGCCUCCACAGAUUUUGCUGCCCUUAGUUGCCAAAGUUGAACCAUAUCCUUCCUUGUCUCAUCGCAGAAAGCAUCCCCCCGUCACCAUUGCAGAACACUUUCAUCCUAAUUCCAAUCCCAAGCGAGAAAAAAUGGCUGAUGCUGCUGUUAGUGCUACCAUUCAGGUUGCGUUGCAGGCGGUUGUUUCCCUUGCCGCUGAUCAUGUUAAUCUGGCUCGUGAAUUCCCAGAGGAGCUGAAGAAACUCAACGAUUCUGCUGAAAUGAUCGGAGGCUUCUUGGCUGGUGCCGACGAGCAAAUGCAUAGCCCAGUGGUGCAAAUUUGGCUCGAGCAGCUGGAAGAAGAGGUUUUCAAAGCCGACAAUGUGCUGGACGAGCUCAACUAUGAAAAUCUUCGUCGGAAGGUGAAGUAUCAAAAUCAACUCACGAAAAAGAAGGUAUUCUUCUGCUUUUCAUUCUUUAAUAAAAUUGGUUUUCGUUGGAGGUUGGGUUCAAUGAUCAGGGAGAUCAACAUGAACCUUCAAAGGAUCCAUCGGGAUGCAGAAGGUUUGGGACUGGCCUACAAGCACCAAGUUGAAGAAGCAUUCCCUACUAUAGCACCUGGAGCCACAACAAGCCGACAGACCGACUCUACCAUUGAUCGAAGAGAUGUCCUUGGAAGAGAUAAGGAUGAAUCAGAAAUAGUUAAGAAGUUGUUGGCCGAAUCUGAAAGUGAUCGUAUUUCAGUUAUUUCCAUAACUGGCCCGCCAGGAUUAGGCAAAACAACUCUAGCUAAAGCCGUUUUCAACACUCCACAAUUUGACAAUCAUUUUAACAAAAAAAUUUGGGUUUGUGUGGCUGAAGAAGUAGAUAAAAUCGAGAAGGUCUUCAAAAUGAUUCUAGAAUCGUCAACAGGAAAAAAGGCUGAAGUGGAUAAUAGGCAAGUAAUAGUUCAAGGAAUUGAAAAUGAACUUAAGGAAAAAAGAUAUUUGCUUGUUCUCGACGAUUUGUGGAAUGAUCAAGAAGGAUUGUUGGAUGACUUUUUCACCACAUUGAAGGCACUCAAACCGAAGAAAGGGAGCUGGUGUCUGGUUACCACUCGUCUGCAAGAAGUGGCAAUUGUUCUGUCUAGACAUCCGCAGAUCAAUUUUACUCGCCAUGAGCUGGGAAAGCUAUGCGAUAAUGAUUGCUGGUCCAUCAUUAAUAAAUGGGUAAAUGUAGGGGAAGAAGUACCAAAAGACAAAAAGGAGCGAGUUUUAAGAAGAUGUGAUGGUCUACCUCUGGCAGCAAAGUUAAUUGGAGGAUUGUUAUCUAAAAAGAGAAAAGAGGAGUGGCUAUCUAUUUUGGAGGAGAGCCUCUUGAAUCAAGGUCAGGGUGGGAUCGAGCAAAUAGUUAAGGUGAGUUUUGAUCAUCUGUCACCUGCACCGGUUAAGAAAUGCUUCGCAUAUUGCUCAAUUUUUGAUCAAGAUACUGAAUUGGAACAAGAUCGACUAGUUGAGCUUUGGAUGGCUGAAGGCUUUCUUCAACCGGAUUCCCAAAAUCAAACGAUGGAGGGAAUGGGAUAUGAGUAUUUCAGAAUUUUGCUGCAAACUUCCUUAUUGGAAGAAGUAAGAGAUUGGAGGAGAACAAGGUAUAAAAUGCAUGAUCUUGUGCAUGAUUUUGCAAAAUCAAUUUUGAAUCGUAACAGCAGCAAUCAGGACCGUUACCUUGCGGCAUCUGAAAGAAUGGUAGAAAACAUGAACGAAAAAAAAUCAGCAUCACUUCGCACAUUAUUUCUGGAGGGUGGCAUAGCUGAUGAAAUGUUAUCAAAGUUCAAAUACUUGCACGUCCUAAAAUUGUUUGGAGCAGAUGCCAAAAAGCUGCCGAAAUCCGUUGGCAAACUAAUACAUUUACACUUACUUGACAUUUCACGUUCUUGUAUUACAACUUUGCCAGAAUCUCUUUGCAAACUUUACUGUUUGCAAACACUGAGAAUUGGCAAGCUUGAAGAAGGUUUUCCAAAGGAGAUGAGCAAUUUGAUUAGCAUGAGACAUCUUCACUAUUUUCAUGAUGAUACAAGACGCAAAAUCCAAAUGCCAUCCGGGAUUGGACGAUGGACUUGUCUUCAAACAUUAGAGUUCUUUAAUAUAGGUCGUCAAGAGGAAGGUCGUGGUAUCCAAGAGCUUGGAACCUUGGAAGAUCUUAAAGGCUCCUUGGAGAUCAGAAAUCUUGAAUUAGUAAAUGGCAAAGAUGAUGCUGAACUGGCAAACCUAUCUAAAAAGCCAAAUCUGCAUCGGUUGGUAUUUGAGUGGGGCAAUAGGGAUCGGGAAAGUAAUAAAUGCGAUGAAAAUGUGUUGGAAGGCCUCCAACCUCACCCAAAUUUAAAAGAGUUAC